rnacentral:lncRNA from 1 species
UGUUUUUGUUGUGAGAAGCUUUUACAUUUAUAUUUUCUGCAGAAGCUUCAGCCUGGUCGAACAGGCCCAAGGGAGAUUUUUUAAGAACUACCUCAAGAAAUGCAACAGCAUUUCUCCCCAAUGUAUUUUAACUUAGCAUGCAUGCAUUCGAUCGUAUAUGAAGAGACUUUACCUGGUUUUAUGUAGAAAACAAGUUGAUGUUUGUGAUGGAAGGGAUGGUUAUGAAGUGAUUGGGGAGCCAGUGCACAGAAAUCAUGCAGAUCAAAGCCACAAAUUUGACACCUGAACCUCCUUCCUGCGCCACACUCCUUGCAGCCCAUGCAUGUAAAAAGGUAUGGCAUGUUAAUUUGAACUAAAGGAUGUUGUGGAUGGCUGAAGUGGAAGAUUUCUUGCCCAUUGGUUGGUUUCCGAAUGGCUGGAGUAUCCAUUGAAGGUGCUGUAGUGGGUUCCUUUUGUGGUUUCUCGACUCCUAAUUAAUUUGCUCGUACUGCUUCCACCCUUGAGAACUAAGCUCUCUUUUAGAUAGCUCAGUAUGGCAUCAAAGAAUUUAUACUGGGAGAAAGUAAAAGUGAGGUGUGAUCUUAGCACAUCUUGUACAGGAUUCCAGUGGACAAGUUAUCGUGCUUAAUGAAUCACUAGCAGCUGUAUUACAUUGGCUACUAAAGCUAACUGUGAUAUUCGCCUGAUAGCCAAUUUCACUCAUUCUACUUUAUUCCAUAAUUAAAACUUCCACAGUAGGUUUGGCAGUUAUUUAUAUUCUUUCUGAAAAAUAUUAUCUAUGUAUGAAUUGUCAAUUUGAAUUUUGUUUUUCUUUUUUUCUUUUGUUGUUGUUGUUGUUGUUGUUAUUUUUUUUUUUUUUAAUUAAGAAUGGGGACUGACUUCAAGCUGGAUUAAACAUUUUGUUAAGUAUUCUUCUAGUGUUUCAUCCACUAUCUGUUUAUGAUUUCUUUUCAUUAUUCAUCUUGACUAAACUCAACAAAAUUAAUCACCAUUAGAAUUAUAUCAGUAUGUUGAUUUCAAUUUAGGUAAAAGCUUGGCUGCCACCAGCACAGGGAAUCGCUGGAAUCUACAUGAAAUUGCAAUUCACCAAAUCACAAAUCAAAUUUUGAUUGCUCGUUGGGAGUUUUUUGUUUUAGGACUUUGCGACAAACAGUGGGACAUCGCAUUCUUUUACCAAGUGCAUGACGCUUGUCGAAAAAGUUCAUGAUGAACUAGAAGAACUUUUCUCAGUAAUACCUAUGGAAGCAUUGAAAAAUUAAAUUUUAUCACGGCAAGAUUUAAGCGAGAUAAUAGGCUCAUCUAUUUAUUUGCUAGAAGCUAUAGAAAAGGAUUAGAAGUGGUUUUUUUCUUUUUUUUUUUUUUUUUUUUUUUUCUAGAGUGGUUAUAAAUCGAAAUUAGAUUGCCAUAAGAACGUCAUUUUUUUUAACCAUGAUUUCGAGGUUGUAAAAGGAAUUAUUAUUCUUUUUAUCACAGAGCAGUGCAAAAAGGUAAGAAUUAUAUGCCUUUUCUUACAAGCUGUCUGUUUGUGGAAUACUCUGCUGAGUAUUACUCUCAGAUUCUUCUUGAUGAUGUGAAUUGAUCGAAAGCGUAGCCGGCCCCUUCAGGUGGGUAGCAUGGUGACCGGCCAAAAAAGGUGCGCUUUCUUUCCCUUUUGCGGGCUUUCUCUUGUGGUUCGUUAUUACUCUUUGCCAAACAUUUCUAUUCUCCAUAAAUGUGGCUUGUACUUCAAUCCAUGUUACUUUUGAAGACACCCUGCGAGAGAACUCUCUUAUAAGAUGCCAGAUUGGGCUUGAUGAUUUCAUCGGGCAUUCAUUCAAUAAGAAACCGAGAAAUGUUUAUAUCUCAAUAAGUAAGAUUGACUGUAUGACUUAUUUAGUGUCCUGGAUCCGCAAGUCUACAUUGGCGGACACCCUUAGUUUAAAUGAUUAGUUUAUUCACCCGCUUAUUUAUGUCUUUGUUUGUUCGCGUUCUAUUAGGAUUUAGGAAUUAGGAGGAGACACUAGACAGCAGCAAGCCAGCAAGCAAAAGCCUCUUAUUACAGGCCAAGGGUGCGUCUCUCUACACCGCAUAAUACAAGGCCGACAACAAUUCUGAAGCUCCCCGAAUCCUCAACGAUCCAAAUUGGCGAAAGGCCCCCAAGCUACGACCAGGCCCAAACGGAAUUACUGACUACUUUGAGGCCCACGAGUGCCUACAAGAGGGCGGGCCGAUGGCUAUAACGCCGUAUUUAGAUAGAUGGACACGAACAAGUAUUUGGGUCGGGAAGGUGGUAUUCAGAACGACCGUCAUUUGCAAACGCAAACGCAAACGGGUCGAACCGGCCUGUGGGCCUCAACACAUGUGACCUCGUGUACGGGUGACAAGACCCAGGUCUGCCUAUCCAAUAGCCUUUGAAAUCCAAAAUCAAAAAUAGUGACCCAGGUCGUACUUAUUACCCCCCUUAUAAUAGUGAAAAGAAGAUAAGGUGUUCCCCAAAUCAGAACUUCUUAAUUGGUAAAAAAAAAUACCAGAAAAAAAAAACCAAAAACACUACAUGCUACAAGCCCUUCAGAAUGUUGUAUUUGUAUGUCGUAUGAUACAUUAUUAACUAAUGAUGAUACUUAAUUAUGAUAUAGAAUAAGUUGAUUGGUUCCCACACGUAUUCCAAAAAUAUAAUAUUAAUUUGCUCCCGGCUUCUUCAACUCAUGUAGUCAACAUUUUACCAAACUAAAGCAUUUUUUUGGAAAAAUAUUCAGUGCAAAUUUGUCAUGUACAACCUAGGUAUUUUUAGCGUCGAUAGAAUAACAAUACAAAUAGCCGUAGAGAGAGCUCCUAGAGGGUGAGCUGUUUUUAUCUUUUUCUCCGGGAAUUAGUUGCUUCUAAAGCUAUUUUAAAGCAUGCAGAACUCUGCUUUGUCAAAGUUCUUAAACUUUAUGUGCGCACAAAUUUCUGAUGUACAUUUAUACGGUUUGCCAUUACAAAUGCAUAAUAAUGCUUACCGAGUACUCUGGCCAUCUUCCUGAUUGUCAAACUUAAAUCUUUAUUUAAACCUAAAACUAAAAUUAAAUUUUAACGAUGCAAAACAAUUGGUUAGAGCACAAGCAUAUAUUGUUACUUAUACGCAAUGGAGGAGACUUUUAGUGGUCCAUAUCUUAUUUAUGGCUACCUCUUGGUACCUAUUUUUUAUUUGACAAGAACCCUUUAAAAAGAUAAAACACGGAAAAAGGAGCAUAAUAAAAAUUGGAUAAUGUCAUUUUCUAUGCUCGUCUUGAUGGCCGUGUUUCAUAGGUAGAGCAAAACAAUAAUACCAUUCAUGUCUCUUCAAACGCGGAGCAAGUCAAGCUCAACAACGUCAGCAAUAGUGAUUCUGUGUUCUGGAUUAAUUUUUAUUUGAUUACGCAAGCCGUGUUCAGAUUGUGGUUCAAUUAAUUGACCUAUUAUAUUUAACUAGCUUAGUGAUAUACCAACGUCUGAUUACAUUUCUAAUGUAUCUGCAAGAUGCUAUUUUACAUUGGCUGACGCUGUUAAUUUAUAUAUUGUGAUUUAUUCGGUUGACUAAACUAACCCAUAUUUGAGAUUUUUCUACAUGUUUGUGAUGUGUCUAAUAAUGAAAUAAACUACAUAAGGUACAUUUUAGCAGAUAAGAACAGCUGGCAUUCCCGUGCUUUGAGGGGGUAUUUCAAAGCAUUAUAUCAUAUGUCGGCUGUUCCAAUUAUUAUUAUUAUUAUUAUUAUUAUUAUUAUUACAUGCGACGUACUCCUUGGAAGGGGAAGGUAUGCUAACGGCCAAUUUGGCAUCUCCCUGCAUACCUAAGAGGGUUUCAUUGGAAGGGGGUACUCUAUAUCCAAGCAACGGGGGUAGCUUGUCUCUACUAUUCUCUGCUCCAAAAAACAAAUAUUAUCUGUUGCAACUGCACACUAACUAGUUCUUUUUUUUGUUUGGGGAAAAUUUUUUUAAAAAAUGUUCUACUAGUUUGCAGUAGCAACAGAUAAUAUUCACUUUUGCAACAGAGAUUAUUAGAGACAAACUAGCAGAAUUAAGAGAACGAAUUGAGGCACUAUUUCAUCAAAAUACGAUCGGUUAGGAAGGUAUCAUCUUGUUCUAAUCAAUAACAAUUUAUCUUUAAACGAAAUUAAGGAGAUCUUCGUAAGUUAGCACAACACAGCUUAUUAUUAGAUUACAGCGAUUUCAAGAUAAAUUAGGCAAUAGAUUGCAUGUAUUUUUUCGGUCUGUAUUCAACACUGGCUCAAUAUAUUCCCAUUAACAUCGGUCUCACAGCGUGAAAAUCAAGAUUUAACAGUUAAUCUUCUUUUAAUAUACAGGAAAUUGGAAAAAAAAAAAAAAAAAAGAAAAAUUGUCAUUAUUGUUGGAUUAUUCUCUACCUGGGUAAUAUUUUUUUUUCUUUUUUUCUAAUCAUUUUAUAACCAUAACCUGGCAACCUCUAUGUACUUGUGUCUUAAUUUUAAAUUGCUUUGAAGUUAUGUCAUUUUGAAUAAAUUUUGGCAUUUAUUUAUUUAUUUUUUUUUUGAGAGAUAGGUAGCACGCUAUCUGUCUCGUUUAUUUCAUUUAAUAAUAAACUUAGUUGAAAAUAUGAAUCAACUAGAAUUCGAACUUAGGAUCUCGUGUACCAACCAUCAAAUUUUUUGCAUUUGGACAAUUCUUGCAAAAUUUUCUUACUUUAAUGAAAAAAUACAUAUCCAUUACAUUAAUAUCUUUCUUCCUCACCAAUACAAGUAUCGUACACAAUUAACCAAGAGGAUAUAAUGAUUAGUAUUCGAAGUUUUAGAUAUAAAAUUUAAUUAUUUUGUAUUCCUAGCUAAGUUUAUAUGUAGAAAAAAUAAAUAAUAUUAGGUUUUUUUGUCCUCUCAAAGAAAAGAAAAAAUAAAAUCCCCCGUUCCGUGCACCCUGAUCAUCAGAUCCAACGGCUGAGGAUGCGCUGGGGUGAGUGUCAUACUCCACGCAGCAUCGACCGUUAAUAGGAUAGGGGAGGGAAAUGAAUCUACGGCAUAUCCAUUAGGUUUUAGCGAACCGCCAAUAUAAAUUUCCCAAUAACUUAUAUCCGGCCCCCUUACUCCUCUUUCUCUCUCUCUCUCUCUCUCUCUCUCUCUCUCUCUCUCUCUCUCUUUCUCUUUUUUGCUCCAACGCCUCCCUCUCUGUUUCUUCCCCUGCUCUUCUUCUCUUCUUUCUUUUUAUUUUAUUUGUUUUUUUCUCUGCCCCGCGAGAAUUCCUUCACCAACCCCCUCUGCGAAAAUGGUUCGAGGUUUCUAAAGGUAAAACAUCAAAUGCUGAGAAAAACCUAAUUCUCCGUUUCUCGAUUGAUCCCUCCGCGGUCUGUUUCUGAGACGCGCGUAUAGAAUGCGUUCUACCUCUCCUUUUGCCGGCUCUACUCUGUUCUAUUUAUUUCAGCGCGUAUAUUUAUCUAUCGGAAGGAGAUAGCCGGUGGAGGAGCUGGCGAUCGAGAGAGAAUCAUCUCCAAAAAGAUAGGCUUUGUGCGGAGUAAGCUGAAGAAAGUUAUGGUAAAAGCUUCUUUCCCUUUUCCCUCGCCCUCCCCUCCUCUGCUUCUUCUUCAUCUUCAUCUUCAUCUUCAUCUUCUUCUUCUUCUUCUUCUUCUUCUUCUUCUUUAAAAAAAAAUCUCCUUUCUGCUUUCUCCUUUCUUUAUAUAAUAUUCUUGCUCGUUUUUUGAGUACUAGCGUGGGGAUGGUUGGUUUUAUGGGGAUAAGAAAUUAACAAUAAAUAAAUAUAGGUGGGUCGGAUGAUUCGGAUGGGGAACGAGGACGCGGGUGGUCCGGCGUGGCUGAGGCCGCUGCUGCAGACGAGCUUCUUCGUGCCCUGCGAGGUCCACGCCGACUCCAGCAAGAGCGAGUGCAACAUGUACUGUCUGGAUUGCACCGGCGACGCCCUCUGCUCCUACUGCCUUCCCCGCCACAAGGACCACCGCGUUGUUCAGGUCCCCCCCCNCCCCCCUCCUUCUCGCUUGCUGGACUGGAUACAUGCUUCUGCUUGCUUUUUGCGAAUUUGAUUGGUUUGUAUUGACUAUUCGUGUGUGUGCGUGUGCGUGUGCGUGUGCGUGUGCGUGUCGAUCGAUUGAACUGAAUUGAACUGAACUGAAUUGAAUUGGCAACUUCCUCUGGGCUUUCUUCUUCUUCUUCUUCCUUAGAUUCGGAGAUCGUCGUACCACAACGUGAUCAGGGUGUCGGAGGUGUCCAAGUUCAUAGACAUUUCGUGCGUGCAGACCUACAUUAUCAACAGCGCCAAGAUCGUGUUCUUGAAUGAGCGGCCGCAGCCGAGGCCCGGGAAGGGCGUCACCAACACCUGCGAAAUCUGCUGCCGCAGCCUCCUCGACUCCUUCCGAUUCUGCUCCCUCGGCUGCAAGGUUAAUUAACUAAUGCGCUCUUUUGCCGUACAUAUCGAUAUGCAAGGGCCCCAUUCUAAUUACACUGCAAAAUAAAAGCUUCCAAAAAAAUUUUCCUUCUCCUCGUUUGGUCCGAUCGUGUAUUUGGCUUUAACAACUUAAAUUGGUUUUCUUUCGAGUAACUUCUACUCUGUUUGAAAUUCUAGGCAACGUGCUCUUCCCUUUUUUUAGUAUGUUUUUGUUUUUUUUUUUUUUGUGUUUUAAAACUCUACUCAACUCAACUGAAACUGAAUACUUCCUUGCGAUAGAGAUAAUGAUGAAUCUUCUUUCGAUGUGAUCGAGCAUUGCUAUAUGUUGUGAACUCGAGGGGUUUUUCUUCGUGUGUUUUUUUGAUCUUGGUUUUAAAAAAACACCCACAUGUCGGUUUUAGCAUCGACGGGUUCUGUAUAAUCUUUCAGGUCGAUGUCUUGAUCAAAUGAGCUACAUAACGCUAUCUUCGGAGACUUAAACGCAAUUCCCACUUUCGGUUUCUUUCCCGUCUGUACCUUAACCUAUUGAUUAGGAUUGAACUUGAAGUGGAACCCAUCACCUACUCUCAUUCCUCGUUGGUCGUACAUAUCGGCCUUUAACCAAAAAUUUUACUAACUGAAAAUGCACUUUCUAUCUUUCCUUUUUUUUUUUUUUUUUUUUUUCUCGUUCAGCUGGGAGGCAUGAAGCGCGACCCGGAGCUGAGCUUCACGCUGCGUCCGAAGCCCAAUCGGGAUUCACUGCACGGAUCAGAGUCCGACGAGUCGUCCACCCCGAGAAAGGUCCGAAGAACGACGGGCUUCAUGAAUCGCUCCAUCGAGAUUCCCAUGGCGCCGUCCGAUGAUGAAGGAGGACACCUGACGAGCAGCAUUUCUCCGGGCACGCCUCCCAUCAUCAGCUACCGCACGUCGAGGCGAAAGGGUACACCACAGCGCGCUCCAUUCUAAUUAGAAAGAGAUAAGAUUCUGCAAAAAGAGCGGGCAAUAAUGAAAGAAUAAUUGAGUAGAAAAGGCAAAGAUCCAAUGCAUGUAGGAAGACAGACAAACAUCCAGCCACAUACAGUAAAUUAUCUUAGAAAUAAUAUACCCCCGGUAUAAUGUAAAGGACAUGCUGAAAUGAUGACUAAACAUAUAGGAGUUUAUAAGAGAGCGUAGGAAAUUACGGAACCCAAAUUAAUAAGCCUUCCACUCUUCUGGUGUGGGUUGUUUUCAGGUUUUCUUUAAUUACGUCCCUAAAAAUGUGUAUAUAUAUACAACUUAACUGUAUGUAUUCUUCCGGAAUCUAUAGGCACGCUGUAGGUCUUUCGAAUGUACAGAUAGCAUGCAGCCGUGUAAAAAGGAAACAAAUUAUUAUGUACAAUAUAUGUAUGUAGACUUCGAUCUCUGCGUUGAUGGAGCACGGUACUCAUCCUUUCAGGUCGUGUUCUGGGAUCGGUUCAUUAUGUAUAAUAAAGCUUUUCUUAAUGCUAUAUUGCUAUAUAUAUAUAUAUAUAUAUAUAUAUAGAGAGAGAGAGAGAGAGAGAGAGAGAGAGAGAGAGAGAGAGGAUUCGUUCUCAUUUAUUUAUGUGUAUAAACUCGAUCGAUCAGUGGAUCAGCUAUUGUCUAUAGUGUGCUUUAGUGACGGCUGCAUCCAUGCGUGGCAUCACCUCCCAUCUCCUCCUGCCAAGGAGAAAAUAGAUAACUUAAAAAUGGGCUCUAUAUUCUCUCUAUGGCAGCAGGUACAAUAAUUUAAGGCCGUCUUUAGUCUUAUAGUUAUUAGCUCCGUGGCAACCUCGCCAAAUACAGAUCGAGCGCGCCUGUGGUGUAAUGAACGGUAUGGUUGAUCACUCGCGCUGGGAGGGCUACGGCUGGGCUACUUGGGUUGUAUUGGGUAAGCGGGUAAUAAUACAUACAUAUGUCGGGCUCGUACAAUCGGGUAUUAUGUACAUAUAUAAUAUUAUGCAACUGUUGGUUGGUUGGUUGGUUGGUUGGUUGGUUGGAUGGAUGGAUGGAUGGAUGGACGGACGGAUGGAUGGUGUUGAACGGAUGGAGAUGCAUCCGGUGGCAUCACAUCGGGGAAGUGACUUGGUGGACACGACACAAGCCAUGGAAAGAGACCUCCGCCUUCGCUCGCUCCUCUCUUUCUCCUUCUCUCUCUCUCUCUCUCUCUCUUCUUUCCCUCUCCCUCUCUCUCUCAAAAAGAGCCGUGAGGAAUCCCGAAAGCUAGAGUGUGAGGGCCAUCCUAUCUUUUCCAUCACUUUCCCACCCCCCACUUAAUCUUAUGCCGCUGCUGCUGCUGCUUGCGAUUACUUCGUCCCUUAAUUAAAUAAUUAAUCUGAUCUAAUCCCCCAAGAAGAUCCAUCCGUGUGAAGUAGACAAAUUAAUUAAACAGCAAAUUAAUAUUAUUAAUUAGUUGGCAUUAUACACGCAUGUAUAGCACCUCCUCUUUAAUUAAUGAAAUGGCUUGCUGAGGUGGGACCGGAUUAUAAUACUAAUCUUGACUAAGAUCGCUUAUUACUCUUGUAGCUGGGGAACUGAUGGAAGAGAUUAUUUUAUUAUUAUUAUUAUUAUUAUUAUUAUUAUUAUUAUUAUUAGUAGUAGUAGUAGUUAAUUCGAUCGAUUAAUAAGUGCUAGAAUCGCGACGGCCCCUAAAGUAACGCCGUGGGAUGAAAACUCCCUUUCCGUUCUCUGAGGCUGGGUCCAAACAGCGACCUUCGUUCUCAUCAAAUCACAUCCAGACGCGGAUGUCAUAGUGUAUCUCUUUUUCUAAAGUUUUUUUUUUUUUAAAAAAAGUUUCUUUUAUUCUAUCCUUUCUUAAUUAAUACCUUUCUUAGGGAAAAUGCGCACUAUUCUAAACAGUACCGGCAUUUAUGUUAUUUAAUUCUCUCUCUACUUCUGAUGGAUGGAAGGGUUGCUCGGUACAAAUUUUUAUGUCCACAAAAAUUUAAUCUAAAUUCCAGUAUCAUUGUUAGAGCUUCGAUGGUAACAAUCCCAAACCUUCCUUUUGAUUUUAUAUCAAAAUUUCAAACUUGAUAUAAUUCAGGCUCUAAAUGAGAACCAAACAUUUGUCUCCUCCUGAGAAGGAAUUAAUAAUAUAUUUUACGCAUUACAAACUGUCAAAAGUGAAUUGCUGUAAUUGAAAUAAUUAGGAUGAAGCUGAAUAGGAUCGAGUCGAACUAAUUUGCAAAUGAUCGAUCUUUGAUGAAGUAAGAGAAGGAAAUUAAGUGUCCUCCCAGUCCCUUCCGUUGGCCCUUGGCCCUUGCCCCUUGGGUGUGUCGUGCUCUGCCGAUCGAGUACUUGUAACCUACCAAGCCCACCGCCUUGGGGUCAGGCCGGGGUGCUACUCAAUUACGUACGCACUAUAAAAAGACAAAUUAAGUGCAUAUAUACAACAAGCGGUUGAUGGAUCCAGAGGCUUCUAUCUCCUGGAGUCAUAUUUAGCUAGAGCGCAGCAGAUGAGACGAAUUGUGAGUGGGACCUACAUUGGAUGUGGAUUGUGGGGCUGAUAUUUAUAUUACAUGCACAGAAAUACUAACUUUACAAUCCUCCAGCAUUUUUUUUAAAUUUUUAAUAAGUAUAUAUAUAAAAAAAAAAGAAGAUAAGAUUAGUAUUUAUUGGAUGACAAAAUACUUUUAAGAUAUAUAAUAACAAAAUAAAAAAACAAUAAUAAUAAUUGUAGGACUAAUUAACAUUGCAACAUUGCCGAUGUUUGUGUGUUGCUAUGUUUCGUCGUCCGCUGACCCCACAUCAUCUCCUCAUUUUGUUUCUCAUCUGCUCAGACAAAAUUUAGAUUAAUAGAAAAUGGAAAAGUUUGCAAGGCCCCUUUUGGACCCCGAGGUUGUGUGAUAGAAGCCCAUUUCUGGAUGAGGACGAUCGAUAACAUUGCAGCUUCCAACAAGCUCGGUGCUUUAGGUAGGCCAGCCAGCCAGGGACUGCAUGUUUGGCGUUUGCAUGUCCUUUUCUGCAUAUUUCUAGAGAAAGACGGCGACACACGCGCGUGUAUAUACUUGUGGCAUCAAGAAAGUUAAAGAGUUAAAAAAUUAUCUUAGGGUUUCCAUGAAUUUAGCUCUCUUAACUAAAUGGUGGUGGCGCUUCUUCAAUGAACCUAACCUCUCUUGGUACAUAUUAAUUAGAACUAUCUACUAUUUUAGAAGAAGGCCACUGCGCGAUCAGAGGGCCUAGCCUUCGUCCCACACUCGCAAUGGUGGAAAGGAGUGCUCUGCUGCCGUGAGGUUUUCACCUGCAGUAUAACCUACGAGUUAGGGGACGGACACAACAUCAGGAUGUGAUCUGAUACUUGGAUUGGCAAAUCUCCCCACAGCACGCUUUUCCCGGACAUCUUUGCGAGCAUCAUAAACAAAGAUGCCCGACUUGCCCAGUGCUGGAAUGCAAAGGGGUGGCGAUGGCGGUUCAUCUGUCGUGGUUUCGCGGUAUCCCGAUCCGCUGAAAGGUGCGCCCAGCUGACAACCAGACAUGUGCAAAUGGCGGUGGACUUCGAAUAAACUUUUUACUGUCAAGUCCCUCUAUCGGUUCAUCACUAACGCUGGACAGUUAAAUCAGACACACGGCGACAUUUGGAAGCUGAAAAUUCCAAUCAAAGUCAAAGUUUUUAUCUGGCUGUUGCUCCGAAAGAGAUUACUCACAGCUGAUAGGCUGCUAAGCCGGGGCAUGGUUGUCGACCAACACUGCGUUCUUUGCGCUGUGCUAUCGGAAAGCUGCGACCAUCUUUUUUGCACUUGCGUCUUCGUUUGUUAUUUGCUCUUUAGUGUAGGCGGUUCGGGCGUACCUAAUGACAUCCCGGGCGACGUCUGCAGGCUCUGGGCAGACACCUCUGCCGUUUUGGCUGAUCUGACGGGAUCAAAAGGCCUUAUCUUUCUAGCCGCAAUCUGGUGGGUGGUUUGGAGAGACAGAAAUAACUCUGUGUUCCAGGCGAUACCGAUCAACGUCAGUCGUUCUCUCGAACGGGUCAACCUCCUGAUGAGCACCUGGACCACGCUGCGCUAAUGUAACUGCUAGUCUGUUUGCCUUCCUCCCUCUCUUUCUCCCCUCGCUCUCUCUUCUCUUUUUCUUCUCCUUGUCUUAAUCCUAAUUCUUUACCCCUCUUCGGAGGCCUUAGCUGCUUUCAUCAUGUAUGGUCUUCGGAGGCCUUAGCUGUUUCCAUCAUGUAUGCUCAGUUCAUUUUACUUAAUUAAUGAAGCAGAUAGCUUGCUAUCUUUUUCUCAAAAAAAAAAAAAAUCUUCGGGUCCAAAAUUACCAAAUUACCAAAAAUCAAAACUUAAGUAGGCAAAAAACACAUUCGUAAACUAAAUAAAAAAUAAAAACCAAAUUAUUUUUAGAUAAGAAAUAAAUUUAUUAGCCUCACAUAUAUAGCACCGUAUACUUAUUUAUAAUUAGAUAUAACUAAGGACAAAAUACUCGAAAACACUUAGACAACAUAUUGGAGAGGAUUUUUUUAUGUAAUUUAAUAAUUUAUAAUAAUAAUAAUGACAUAACAAUUUUGAAAAGAUAUCCAUAAUGUUUUAUAAUUUUUUUAAAAAUUGUUUAAUAUUACUUUUAAUUUAAAAAUAUUAUAUAUAGGGUUAAUUUCAUAAAUACCCUCAUACCCACCCAUAAUUAUAUAUAUAGUUACUCUCGAAAAGUAGCCAAUAUAAAAAAUGCCCUUCAAAUUUUGUAUAAAUUAUAAAACUACUGAUAUAUCCAUAUUCCAACAAAUUAUAGGGCUUAAAUUAAUACCCUGUUUUACCCCUCUAACCCUUAGAACUAUUGUAAUACAUAUUUUAUGAUCAAGAUAUUAUGUAUUUAUUAUAAUUAGUUUUCUAAUUUAAUUUAAUUGUUUUAAUAUGUUUUCAUUCCGACUAAUUUAGUAUGCCUUUAUUUUAUUCCAUCAAGUUAGUAUAUAUUUAUUUUAUUUGUUUAAUUAUGCAUGGAUAAAUUAGAUAUCUUUUAUUAGAUUUAUUUUUAGAUUUUUAUAUUAUUGUAAAUGUAGUUUGGUAAUUCUUUAUUUUAGCUUCGAUUUAUAUUGCUAUGAGUUUAUUUCGUAUUUGUACUUUUAUAGUUUACUUUGAUUACUUUUUAAAUCUUUAUAUUAUUUUUUAUACAUAACUUGUUAGUUUGAUUUAUAUUAUUAUACUUCCAUUUCAAAUUUAUAUUUUUAUAGUUUUCUUGAUUAUUUUUAUUUGUACUAUUUUGUGCCUUUUGAAUUAAAAAAACUAUUCUAAGUGAUAUAAAUUAAACUGCAAGCUAUACAUUAUAUAAUAAUUAAUUAUUUUUAUGAGGGAUAAAUAGGUUAUUUUGUAAUUUAAAAUUUAAAAAAUGACAAAAAAGAGUACUUAUGAUAUAGAUAUAUAAUUUUGAAAUGAUAUUUUAUAAUAUUUUUCAAAUUUUGCAAGAUACGUUUGAAAUUAUUUCUUAUAUAUAUAUAUAUUUAAUUAAUAAUGUUCCUAAGGAAAGAAAAGGAGUAGCAUGUUUUGUUUGUGUUGAUCGAGGCCUUUGGAGAAGAGACACGGGCAAGUGGAAGAAGUUGGAACUGGCGCCGGAGCAUGAGUUUCAGCGCAAGCCUCUGAUGAAUUAAAUAGAAACCUGUGAACGGCGUGGAUCCGAUCGAGGGAGGGCCCACCCCAGCUGGGAACCUUACACGUGCCGCGCCCGAGGUCGAGGUUUAAGAUUUAUCCGGGGAGGGGCCCUGCUUGUUGUUCUUGUUCUUGUUCUUGUUCCCUCGUUUCGUUUGUUGUUGAUGCACGUGCAGGAGGGAGCCUGGCACGUGUGACACCUUUCUUGUGCCGAACAAAAUUGAGCAAUACUAUUGGUUCAUUACAAAAAUGUUAUCAAGUAUAUUUCUAUAAUAUAUGUAAAUUUUAUAUUUUAAAUUAUUUUAAAGAUAUUUUUUUAACUUAUUUUUUUUUUUGCUAAAAUUUUAAAAAAUUCUGUAAACUCUAAAAUAAAAUGACUAUAAAAUUUACAUCUAUAUAUAGGUAUACAAGUAGAAUUUUUCAACAAAUUAUGCAUCUAGCACGCUAUUGUGUGAUAAUUACCAUUGUAAAUAAUUUUAUUUACAGUUAAAUAUAAUAAAAUCUUUUUGUUUUUUAAUUCGUAUAAUGGUUGAGCGCUUGUGUGGUGCUUACACUUUCUCACACCUUGCAAAAAUAAAUAAAUAAAAAUUAAAUUGACAGGACUUUUAAAUUUUACUGAUUUUCUCUUUUUUUUAAAAAAAGAUAAAUUUACUAAAGGGGUAAAGGCUAACGAGAGUGUCGUUUUGCUGUUGGGUUGUAUUCGGCCUACCCCAGGUAAAGUGAUGCAGCAAGCGCAAAGACGACCUGUGGUGCUGGACCUGAAUAAAUUUUGGUAAAGCUGUGAAUAGAACUAUAUACAAAUGAAGUUGUUGUUGUUGUUGUUGUUUUUUUUUUUUUUUUUUNAUUUAGCUGAAAAUAUGAAUCAAUUAGAAAUCGAACUUACGACUUCGGAUACCAACCAUCAAAUUUUUUACCAUUUACGCUAGAAACAGUCGGUACAAAUAAAGUUGUUUUGAAGUGAGCUUUUUGAGGAGAUCUCAAGCGAUUAAACUUUAGCUGCAUAUAUUUUAGUUGUAGACACUCAAUCUUGUCGAUAUUUUAAUUCAGAUUUAUUACAACGUAUUCUACGCAUGAAGAUACUCACGUUGAACUCAAGCAAUUCUACUGUGAUUCACAUGUAUAUAUAUCCGUCUAAUUUGCACGGUAUGCUUAUGCAUCGGCAUUUAUCCAAUCCUCAUGAAUGGGUGAAAAAGGUUAGCGCAAACUUAGGUCUCCCGUCCAGUGCUCCUGAUAGGGCAAAGAGUAUAGCCCAAAAUAUGUAAACAAACUGCCAAAUAAAUUAAUAAAGAUUCCUAGCUUGUUUUAUCUUAUUUAUUACUCUACAUGCUUUUCCUCAAAAAAUUACAAUACAUUUUAAUCAGUUAAUUCUCGGUAUACCUCUAUGUUUGUUUUUAAUUUCACAUCCCUCUUGUGGUUCUCUUGUGGUUUAGCAAGUGAGAUUAAUACUCUUUAAAAAGCAGUGUAUAUAUUUCCGGCUUUAAUUGUUUCUCUAUAAUGAAUAUUAGGCCAAGGAACGCUAUUAUUUGAAAAUAUAUAUGUGGCAGAAGAAUAGAAAUAAAUCACGUACUAAUUCAAUCUCUAGCUCUGUGCUUAAACGUCCUCCACAAAAGCAACUGUUUGAUCUGCAGCAGGAUUAGCAAUGCAUCGAUAUCUGUACGUAGUUUAUAUCGUGUUUUCCCCUAUUUUGUAUGCAUAGUAGCUUUGUUGUUGGGCUAAGUAACCGUUCAAUUAACUGGUACAUGCGUGGCAGUGUCAUGGGCUUCAAAUAAGAUCAUGACUGGUUACUCAAUUAUUAUUAAUUUUUAAUAAGAGGUGACAGGUUUAAGUUUUCCGAUCGUCGUAGAGGAUAUGAUUGUGAAUCACUGGUGGCUCCCCGGCCAAACCUGGCCUUCUCUGGCAUGAAAAACAUGGGCCCUCGCCAUUGCAGGCUUGGGCCUCGGCCCAAUAAAGCUAGGCUUUUGGAUUUACAAUAGUUUUGUAGACCAUGAUUAUCAAAUGGCAUUCCUCCUGGAAGAAUUUUGAAUUAUGUACUAAAGAAUUUGAUAACACAUGAGGUAUUCCUCCUGGAAGAUUUUUGAAUUAUGUCCUGAAGAAUUUGAUAACACAUAAACCUCAUGCACGACUAGAAGCUCCAAAUUGAAAUCAAGACAAGUGUGCUCAGAUAAUAUGGGAAAGCCCUAGCAAAAUUUAAGGGCAUGUUUGAGUAUUUGACUUGAAGAAAUGAUCAUUUCAGCAAAAAUUAAUUUUGGUUAAUAAUUAUAGAGCAUUUGGGUGAGUCUAAAUAGAAAAUUAUUUUUUAAAAUGAUUUUGUACAAAUGUUAACAAAAAAAUUUAAUUGUUUACAAAUAAUAAUAAUUUCUUAAAUUUUACUUUAAAAUAAUAUAAAAUUAAAAAUUUUGAAUUCAAAAUCUAAAUCAGAAUUCAAAUUUUGACAUUUGAAUUAAAAUUAUAAAUUUAAAAUUUAAAUUUCAAAUUUUAAACUUCAAAUUUACUGUUUAAUUCAAACUUAAAAUUAAAACUAAAAUUUCAUUCUAAAACUAUAAUCAGAUUUCACAAAACAGAUUUUACCUGCUUCUAAUUUUGAAUCUUUAAAAUUUAAAAAUUAAUUUUAAAAUUCAAAAUAAAAUUUAUAAAAAAAUUAUCAAAGGAUCUAUUAAAAAAAUUACUUUUAGCAUUAAAGUCACUUUUAAGAAUCUACACUAAACACCCACUCAUAAUAAAUGAGCUGACUCUUCGACCUUCCCGAAAAAUAGUUGGAGUAAAAAGAAUUCUUUACUCCACAACUAGCGACCAAUCUAUCCAAUAUCAUUAAAGGGUGAACCCUUAACCAAUUUGCUGUGUUCUCCGUGAUUUCGGACGUGCUCUCUCUGAGAUGUAGGGCCCUCACUACAACAAAAACGGUCUAUAGCGACACUUUUAAAUGUAGGUACAUGUCAAAAAAGUGCUGCUAGCUAAAAUUACCGACACUUUUAAAAUGUGUUGCUAUAUGUGGGGUCGCUAGAUAUAUAGUGACAGUUAAAGAGUGUCGCUAUAACCUAAAAGAGUGCUGCUAAUUUACCAAUACUUAUUUAACCAUUUAGCAACCAUCGAAACUCAAUCUCGUUGGCUGCGGCGGCGGAGGAGGACGACAGGAAAGGCUCUUCGUCUAGAAUUUCAGUGGAUUGAGUGAAAAGAGAAGAAAAGAUGGUAAUUGAUUUUUCUUUUUUUUUUUUCUGUUUGUAAUGGGGCCAAAUGGACUGGGUGUGGUGGGUUGAGUAGAGUAAUCUUUUAUUUUUGGUUGGAUUGGAUUUUAUAUUUAGGCAUUAGUAGAUAUUUUUUUAAGUUUUAGCAUAAAUGGGACACUUACUCAAAAGUGUCCCAAACAUGUGUCGCUAAAACCUAAUUCUGUUGUAGUGCCUAUCCUUCUCUCGCAUACUGUGGUCUCUCUGAGAUAUGGGGCCUAUCCUUCUCCCUAUUCAUCCUCCUCCUAUGCUACUCUCUCUUACCCUCUCUCUUUUUCUUCUCUCGCCGCCUCUACAGAUUUUCCGGGAUUCCUCUUCCCCUCUCAACGAACCCUAACCCUUUCUCAUUUUCUUUUCUCUCCGCCUCUACAGAUUUUUCGGGAUUCCUCUCCCCCUCUCAACGAACCCUAAUUUCGCCUAGGGUUAGUACUCCCUCUGGCGCAUUUAAUGCCACCGCGAGAACGUCCCUUCCCGGCUCCCCGAAACUCCCUUCCUCUUUCCCAUACCCUGCCGUCGUAUGCCUGUAUCUACCAAAGAUCUGGGCAUUUAAUGCCGUCGCUUCGCCGACUAGGGCUUCCUCCCCUCCCGUAUGCCUGUAUCUACCACCAAAGAUGUGGCCAUUUAAUGGCGCCGCUCGGCCGGCUAGGGCUUCCUCCUUCCCGUACGCCUUGCCUUGCUGGAGAUUGGGGCAUUUAAUGCCCCAUUUCUCCGGAGAUGGUACGCCUGUAUCUACCACCAAUCUCUGCAAUUAAUGUUGCCGUGACAGUACGCCGCUCGGCGCCGGCGUGCUCCCCUUCUAUCCUCUCUCUUCCUUGACUUUGUUCUGGUACUGGUAUGUAUAUAUAUACACCAUUGCGAGGUAAGGUGCCAUGCCCAGUUGCUUCCGAACUUGCAGCUCUUACCUGCCAUCUCUAUUACUCUUCUUAUUGUCACUGCCUGUGGAAAGGAGGUCGGGCUCUCUGCAAGAUCCUCUGCUUACUUCUUAUAUUAUGAUGAAGCGUACCUAUGUAUAUGUUUGGAAUUCCUGGUGCUCGGAUGCUUCAAUGUCUAGUGGUGGUUUUCCAUAGGGCUCCUACUGCCCCCGCAUUCCCAGAUCUGAUGCUUUUUUGCCUUGAGAUUCUUUUCAUCUGGGUCUUGCUUGGAUUUCGAGUUCUGAAAAAAAUUUCCUUCAGCUUCUUUGGUUUUUUUUCCCCGGUGUCGCCUUCGUGGAUCUGAUGAUUUUUUUUCCUUGAGAUUCUUUUCAACUGGGUUUUGCAUGGAUUUCGAAUUCUGAAAAAAAAAAAAAGUUGCUUCAGCUUCUUUAGUUUUUUUUUUGUGUGGUUUGCUUUCGCUGGUAGAGGUUUUCUACUUUGGCUUUUUUUUUUGGGAUUUUUCCCGAAAUGGUUCUUUUGGCCUCGAAUUUGCUGUUGCUUCUCGUGAUCCUACUGGUGAGGCAAUAAUGCUUUGGCCAAUACUCGGAACUAAUCCUCUUUGCUAGGCUUGCCCCCGAAUGUUGCUAUUUUUACUAACUUUGGUCGCAAUGGCAUGGCAUCGAAUGGCCUCAUGGCCCGGAAGUUGCUAUUUUUACUAACUUUGGUCGCAAUGGCACGGUAGUGGAUGGCCUCAUGGCAAUCGGUGCAGCCUGCGGAAAAAAAAAUCUUGGGCUCUUUGUUUUAUUUUUUAUUUUUUAUCUUUAUUUUUCUUUCACUGGCAGAGAAUUUUUACUUAGUUUUCUCCUCUUUCUCCCCUUUCUUUUGCACCUAAUUUCUUCUCCUUACAUUUAGCUCUCUCAAUGUCUCGCCCUAAUUCUUAAAAUUCUGUCUCGGGUUUUCUAUGUUGUUGGUACAGGCAUGGAGGUGGUUGCUGUUUCGUUUAAGCAUUUGUUGCUCGAAAUCACAUAGAAAUUUUCUCUGUCUGUUCCAAAAUAUGGCUUUAUUGUGGACCCAUCAGGGCAGUUGAAUGCCUACGUCGAUGUUGAUGUUGAGCGUGGCGACGCUGUUAUAGAAACCAUACGUUCCUGGGGCUCUCCAGCGUAUAUUGUCGGCACAUCCGAAGAGGAUGCAGUCCUUAAUUGUAUCAACACUUUCUGGGAGGACCUUGGCUUCAAUGUUCGUGAUACUAAUUUCGACGAUCUUAAGGUUUACAGGGAUUUGUACCAGCAAUUAUCUGACUGAUAUAAUGCAUUGGUCACGAAGCACAAUACACUUAAGUGGGAUUACAAGUUUUUGAAAGAAUAUUACAGUAAAGCUAUAGAUGAGAGGGAUCGUUACUACGCCGAGCGUUCUGAGAUUCAUCAGAGCUUAGAGCGAGUUGUUGAUAUGAUUGCUCACCCUGGCAUGGUCAUCAAUGUCCCAGGUGAGGGAGCUGCGGAGGAGCCAUCUGCUGCACAGGAACCCUCUACUGCUUUCGAAUAGUUGGAGGACGUCUAAGCUAUUCCUUUUUUGUUUUGUGGGGCUUGGGGCUUCCAUCUGCUGUCUUCUUUUUUCAGUUUAUUCCCAUAUCCUGUGCUCUCCCACUGCCUUAAAAAAACCACAUCCUUUUGUUCCUGUUAGCUCCCGUGCCCUCAGAUGUUUAGUGUCUGCAUUACUCUUGCUUUUAACUUAAAUGUGGUGCUCUUUUUCUUUCUUAGUCCUUUUGUUUUAAAUGUGGAAAUGCAUUCAGAAUGCAGAUUGUAGAAACUAUUUGGAAUGCUCUAGAACACUAGAGAUGAAAAAAAAGAACUUGGAAAAAAAUUGGAAGAGCAUAACUACUUCGGUUUUUUCCUUCACUACAUUAGCUAUUUCCUUCUCUAGGUUGAUUGUUCCUACACUACACUAAGUGUUGAUUAUUUGGGUUGCAGUUAUAUUAAUUUCCCUUCACAAAAUUUACAGUUAUAUUACUUUCCCUUCAUAAAAUUUAUUCGGAUAAUUUCUAUGAUACACUGAUUUGCAGUUAUAUUACUUUCCCUUCAUAAAAUAUAUAGUGCACAAGUCCAUAACUAAUAUUUUUUUCAUACAUUAAAAUUACAGGUUUGCAGAAGAUGGUGGCCAGGACGGUAGCAACAAUGAAUAAAACUUUUGGACUUUCUAUAUUAUGCAUUUUACUAUGCACUUUGUUAAUCCAGUGCAAAUAAUAUAUAGGCAGUUCUUUUGUUAUAUCUUCAGACUUGAAUUAAUCUUUAAUAUUAGAAAUAUUUAUAGAGAUAUAUAUAUAUAUAUUUGUUGUUUAUCAUUUAUUAUUGUGUUUUAGUGUAAAUCUUUCUACCCGCCGCAAAGCGCGGGUCCUUAACUAGUCCUACACAAGUACACAAAUCCCAUAUAUAGUACAUCAUCAGUUACGUUCCAUGGAAGAAGUGCCUUUAUAAUAGUCACAUCACAUGACCUAUUUAAUCACAUUUUUUUAGAAAAUAAAUUAAAAAUAAAAAUAAAUCAUGAUAGGAGUGCAAUUUGAUUGGUUUAAAAUACUAUAACAAAAAUAUGCGGUUGCAUUUUAGGCGUUUUCCUUUCCAUGGCCCCCUUAGGUCCACCUAUAAUUGUCCGUCCAAAUUAUUUUAAUCGUUUUCUCAAAUCACUAUAUAUUGUGCAUCCUCCUAUUUAUCCAAAAAAUUUACAAAAAAAUAAAAUUUUAACCAAAUAAUUUACAAAAAAAAAGUUUUUAACAAAAUAAAUUCAUCUUUGUAUUUUAUUCGGAAAUAUCUAUCAUAUACUAUUUCAAAUUUUAAAUAGUUGCUACCUAUAAUAAUUAAAUAAAUUUUUUUUAUAUAUAUAUUGAAUAUUUUUCUAUAUCUUUUUAAAUUAUGACAAAUCUAAAAUUUAAAUAUAUAUUUUAAACUAAAAAUAUCAAAAUUUUAAUUCAUAUUUAAUUUAAAAUUUAAAAUUUGAUUUCGAUCCACUUUAUUUAAAAUAUGUUAAUUGUUAAUUCAAAAUUUAAUAUCCAAAAUUAAAUUUAAACCCAAAUUUUAAUUUUAAUGAAAAAAUUAAAUUUAAAUUAUAAUAUGAAAUUUUAGCUUUGAAUUUCAAAUGGAAUUAAAAUUUAAUAUAGCAACUAAAUAUUAGUAGAUAAACUUGAGAUAAUCUUCAAAUAUUUAUUUUGAAAGAAAAGAUAUUAAAUGAUAUAAAAUAUUUAAUAAAAAAAAAGAGAUUAUCUAUUAGAAAAAAAAAUGAAUAAAAAUUUAUUUAAUUACGUUGUUUAUUUUGCAUAGAAAAAAAUAAAAAUCAUUUUUUAAGUAAAUAAUAAGUUUGCCAAUAAAUUCAAAUUCAAAAUAUGUAUUUUAUAAAUAUAGAUAUAAAAAUGUCAAUUCGUUUUCAGGUAUAAGUCCACCCACCUCCCACUCCCAGCCACUAAUUACUAGUUCGGUCGUCAGCGAUGACCCAAACGCAGCUCUCCCCCACCCGGCCAGAUUUCGUUAGUGACGACUUCGCCCGCGUCACCCUGCUCAUCCCUCUUCCCGCUCGCUACAUGCAUGACUAGCUAUAUUAUGCUAAUUAAUACCGCAUCAUCCCUAUAUAUAUAUAUAUAUAUAUAUAGCUCUGUCCAUCCCUUCCCUUAUCUCCACGAGUCAAAUUAAUUAACAAGGAAUCAUAUCAUACAUACGCGUGCGUGCGUGCGUGCGUGCGUGCAUGGGCGCUUGCUUAUCCUCUUCCUCCGGUACUGAAAUUAUCAGCGACGAUCUGGUUGAUCACUCGGCUACGGCCAAAGUAAUCACCGUGGAUGGGCAUCUGCUGGAGUACUCCGCAGCCGUGAAGGCGUACGAGGUUCUGGGCCUCAGCCACCCCUUCUGCUUCCUCUGCAGCUCCGACGAUUUGGACUGCGACGCACCCAUCCCGCCUUUGGGUUCUCAGGAUUCCCUCGAACGCGGCCAGCUGUACUUCAUGCUCCCCGUCGAGAGCCUCCGGGGCCCGUUGAGGGGACGGGACAUGGCGGCCCUUGCUGUUCGGGCCAGCUUGGUGUUGGCCAAGAAGAGAUUGGCUCGCGAACCGGGGGUUGCUAGAGUCUUGCCGAUCGGCGCGGCGGAUGGCGGAGUGAUAGAGGAUGAUGUGUUCGAUGUGUUCGAAGGGAGCGAUGGAUUUCAUGCAACCAGUGCUCAGCAUUUGGAAAAGGAGAAGAUGAUCAGGAGGAAGGAGAUGAUGGGGAGGGAGAAAUUCAUGGGCUGGCCACAUUCCAGAGCAAGGUUGGGUACCAUCCGGGAACUUGCUGAAUAAAUUAACCGCCGGGAUAUAUAUACAUGCAGUAUCUUAUUUUAUUUUAUUUUAUCCUCCUUGUAGUUUUUCUAGAUUUAAGGCCUCACCUUGAUGCAUGCUGAGACCUCUUCCUUUAUUUAUUUUGCUUUUUUUUUUCUUCUCUUUUUCUUUUUUGUUGAGAAUUAAGACCUACGAAUUUUUGUUCUGUUUCUUUUUCUUUUCUUUUUUUUGUUCCCUCUGUUUCGCUUCUUUUUUUUUUAUUGCCUUUUUUGUGAAUAUAAUUAAAAGAAUUCCCGUGUUGUUCAUAGUUUUAUAUAGAGGCUUCUUUCGAUCGUCCGCUGAAAGUGGAUUUUCCAACCGGUCAACACCGGCCUUCAAAGUUUAAAAGUACCAACUAGCUAGGUGCCUUAAACGUACUAAUGAAGCUGUUGAUGAAGAGAUUUUAGUAAUGUCCUACUUAGUUUUUUUAAAACGUGAAGUCCGCUUCGUAUGCCACAUUUGACACCUACAACAACCGCAGUAAGAUUAGUUGUUGUACAUAAAUUUAUUUAUUAAAAAAUCGAACAAAGCAAAAUCUGAGUCAACUACUUUUUUUUUUUUUUUUUUUUUUUUAUAACAAAAAGGUAGCCAGCUAUCUUGUUCGUUAUUUUUUAAAAAAUAAAUUCAGUUUAAAAUAUAAAAUAAUUAAGAUUCAAACUUAGAACCUCACAUGUCAACCAUUAUGUUCUUAGCUGAUUAUACUAGAUACGCUCAGUAAAUCAACUAUAGUUAAGCAAUCAGGGCCUGCUUGGAUACACAGUAAAAUAUCUCCACGGAACUUAUAAACUGUGGUUUCGGUCUAGAUAAAAUAGAGAAUCCUGCAACUCUAAAAAAUUCAACGGAUUCAACGCAUUGUACAAUUUCACAGGAUUUUUCUAAAUUUUAAGAUUAAAAGUUAAAAUUUAAAAUUUCAAAAAAAAUUAAAAUUUAAAGUUUGAUAUGUGAAAUGUGAAAUUUGAAAUUUACAANGUAAAUCAACUAUAGUUAAGCAAUCACUCUUUACAAAACUAAGCCACCAAUUAUACUUUGGGUACAUUCCCAUAGAAUAUUUCUUUUUGAGAGAUGCUAUAGUUGUAUAUCCAAAAAGAAAAAAAAAAAAAAUCUCUUACACCUUAAAUCCAAAGAUUUACAAAUGUCCUUUCGGUUUAAUUAGUAAAGAAAAAUUACAGUUAUACAACAAAAGAAAAAAAAAAGAGUCUCACAAUGGCUAAGGUGUCAAGUUCAUACCGAUAAAAUACAUACAUGACUAGCACUGUUCAUCCAAAAUAGGAGGUAAAUCAUAAACUCAUUCACUUAACAUAUUUUUGAAAAAUUUUAAUACUAAUUUUUUUCUUUAAGACUAAAUAUAAAAUUUGCAAACUUUUGAAUGCAUAAGUAUUACUCUUUCUUUUUUACUUGGGCCCUAUUUGGAUUUCAGAAUAAAUUAUCUAAUGAUAAUUUAUUUUGUAUGAAAAUCUUUUAAUAUGGUAGUAAGUAUGACUGUUGAUUUUUUACUUUUUCAAAGUUUUUUUUAAAACUUCUUCAAAGAUAUUGUUAUUCAUAAUUUGGUAAAAUAUCAUAUUUUAUUUGCAUCGCUUCUUAGCUUGCAAAAUUUUUUUGGAUACAAAGGUAUAUGAAUAGUACUAUCGUAGUUUGAGAAUUUUACUUUGCCUCCUACUGUGUGAACAUUUUGUUUCUCCUUCUGUCUCCACAUAUUAGUUCUAUCUAUCAUAUAAGAACAAUAAAAUUAAAUAUAUAUUAUGAACCGUUCCUAAAAUAAGUGGCAAAGGGUUUGGUGGUUGGUAUUUGAGGUCCCAAGUUUGAAUCCUAAUUGAUUCACAUUUUCAACUAAGUUUAUUUUUAAAUAAAAUAAACAAAGCAGGUAGAUCAACCACUGUUUUGGACAGUAUGCAAUUAAUGAUUAUUCUUUUAUCAAAAUGCACGUAAGAAGAUGAAAGGAUCAGUUCCUCUUUAUGUAAAUCGAUUAGAAUACUAUUUAAUUUAAAUAUACGAAAAAGAAUAAAAUAUAUCAUAUCAAACAGUCUAAUUUUAUUAGGAUGGACUUUUAUUUAUAGUAAAUUCAAACUUUGAGUGUGAUUAAUUGGGUUAUUUUUGNAUUUGAAAUAUAAAUUUGAAAUUUAAAGUUUGAAAUUUAAAAUUUAAAAUUUAAAAUUUUAAUUUAAAAUUUCAAAUGUGAUAUUUCAAAUUUCAAAUUUUAAAUUUUAAAUUUUAAAUCUAUGUUAAAAUUUGAAAUCUAUGUUGAAAUUUAAAAUUUUAUAUUGAAAUUUAAAAGUUAGAACUUGAUGCAUUUUUUUGAAUAAGGGAGCUCAAGAAUGGUAGAAUUUUUUUUUCUUUGGUUAGAGUGGAUUAUAUUUUUACUCCAUUUUUUAGAGUAUAGUUUAACUAUACUCCAAAAAUUACGUUACUUUUUUUCCUCCUAAACGCUUCAUAGAAUAUUUUUUUCUACCGCCGUAGCAUAGUUUAACUAUGCUACGUUUUCAGAAGUAUCCAAGCGGGGCCUCACUCUUUACAAAACUUUGCCACCAAUUAUACUUUAGGUACAUUCCCAUAGAAUAUAUCUCUUUGAGAGAUGCUAGUUGUAUAUCCAAAAAGAAAAAAAAAAAAAAUCUCUUACACCUUAAAUCCAAAGAUUUACAAAUGUCCUUUCGGUUUAAUUAGUAAAGAAAAAUUACAGUUAUACAACAAAAGAAAAAAAGAGUCUCACAAUGGCUAAGGUGUAAAGUUCAUACCGAUAAAAUACAUACAUGACUAGCACUGUUCAUCCAAAAAUAGGAGGUAAAUCAUAUACUCAUUCACUUAACAUAUUUUUGAAAAAUUUUAAUAUUAGUUUUUUUCUUUAAGACUAAAUAUAAAAUUUGCAAACUUUUGAAUGUAUAAGUAUUACUCUUUCUUUUUUACUUGGGCCCUAUUUGGAUUUCAGAAUAAAUUAUCUAAUGAUAAUUUAUUUUGUAUGAAAAUUUUCUAAUAUGGUAGUAAGUAUGACUGUUGAUUUUUUACUUUUUCAAAAAAAAAUUUUAAAACUUCUUCAAAGAUAUUGUUAUUUAUAAUUUGAUAAAAUAUCAUAUUUUAUUUGCAUCGCUUUUUAGCUUGCAAAAUUUUUUGGAUACAAAAGUAUAUGAAUAGUACUAUCGUAGUUUGAGAAUUUUACUUUGCCUCCUACUGUGUGAACAUUUUGCUUCUCCUUCUGUCUCCACAUAUUAGUUCUAUCUACCAUAUAAGAACAACAAAAUUAAAUACAUAUCAUCGACCGUUUCUAGAACAAGUGGCAAAGGGUUUGGUGGUUGGUACGCAAGGUCCCAAAUUCGAAUCCUAAUUGAUUCACAUUUCCAACUAAGUUUGUUUUUAAAUAAAUUAAACGAAACAGGUAGCGUGCCACCUAUCUCUCAAAAAAAGAAUUAAAUACGUAUCAAUACUCAUGAUUAUAAACUAGAUAAUAAAACAAUUUAUAGAGCACUACAGAAAAAAAAAAAAAAAUGAUCAAGCACUCUUUCGGACAGUAUGCAAUUAAUGAUUAUUCUUUUAUCAAAAUGCGCGUAAGAAGAUGAAAGGAUCGGUUCCUCUCUAUGUAAAUCGAUUAGAAUACUAUUUAAUUUAAAUAUGUGAAAAAGAAUAAAAUAUAUCAUAUCAAACAGUCUUAUUUUAUUAGGAUGGACUUUUAUUUCUAGUAAAUUCAAACUUUGAGUGUGAUUAAUUGGGUUAUUUUAGUGAAAAUCCUAAUAAUUUAAAAAUGUCAAAUAGUCCUCGGUACCUCAAGAAAACGGCUGAUGACGCCAGUAACUCCUUUGUGCUUGCGGAUUGCGCUUACCCUCACUGCAUCUGAGAUCUGCAAUUCUUAUUCACGUAGAAAAAUGUGGCAGCAUGAGUUAAUCAAGCUGUUUGCAUUUUUUUCGCUGUGGCUACCAAAAGUUCUGACGGUGAUGGAUCAAUUGAAUUGGGUAUAUACAAACGGCAAGCACCGUCUCAUUUGGCCAUUUGCCAAAACACAAUUAACGGGUACUACUGCACUUACAAUUGUUCUGCUUAAUUUCUGCAAGCACCGUCUCAUUUCUAUGCUCUUCCCAUGUUUUUCCAAAUACUAUCUCACCUCAUGUUCUUGCCCCUCGAAGGCUCAGUUGCUUCAAGAUUGUAGCUAGCCUAAUUUGUUAUAAAGGAGCCAAGUAUAUAGCUUGCCAUCCUUUUCUCUAAAAAAAUAAACCAUCUACAGAAGCCAGCAACUUUGAAAAAUUAAGCCACUAAUAAAUCUUGCAUCUUUAGCAGUUUGCAAUUAAUCAGCACCGACCAAAUAAGUCUUCCGUAAAGCUCGCAAUGGAAUAGUCCUCGAGUGUUUAGUGCCUUCCAUAGGUUCAUCACACUAAGCACAUUUGUUAGCAGGAAUAUUAUCAUUUUCUAAUUUAGUAGAAGGCAUGCUAAGACUGCAACCAACAAGAAAUUGUAAUCCGCCGCAACUUCUCAUCUGAAGGUACCUACUCGGUAAGUAAUUGCUAAGCAACUGAAGUAGGCUGGUCCAUAAGCGAAUUAGUGGAUUAGUAAUUAACACCAUAGUUCUCCCCGUAAUGCCUCGUUCUUUGGACUAUAGCUCAUAUACAUGUAUUUAACUAAAAGCCUUUUGUUUUCAAUAAAAAUAAUCCUUACACCCCAUCCAUAUAGGAGUACCACGCUAUCCAUAUAGGGGUGUAAUGUGGGUCGUGCCGGACCGGCAUGUUAGCCGUGCAGAUUUGGGGUAGGGGCCGAUGUGGCGCGGCCCGGUUUCAAAUCCGGGCCAAGCAGUGCCAGGUCGGAGGUACCAAGCCACCGGCCCAGCAUGGUCUUUAGGCCCGGAAGGCCCGGCCCGACCUCUAUAAAUUUUUAAUUUUUUUAUAUCUUUUAAAAAAUUAAAAUGUAAAUAAUAAAUUAUUUAUUUAAAUUGAUAUUUUGAUUAAAAAUUUUAAAAGGUAGAAAAAAAUAUAAUAUAAUAAGUAUUAUUUUUUUAAAAAAAAAUUUUUUAUUUUUUUUGAAAAAAAUAUAAUGGUUUUAGGUUUAAUGGACAAAAAAAUUGUUUGGUUCAUUAGACCAAAAACCUCCUCCUAAUAUCUAGCAGAUCUUGCUUAAGCCCCAAGGGCUAAGGCAAGUUGUCAUGGGCCUUGGGUUCGGGCUAUGCUGGGCCAGCUGGUACGGCCAAACGAGUCAUCCUCUGUUGGGCCACGGAACUCUCCUCGGCCUGGUACGACCCAGACGCGUUUCGAGCUGUGCCGUUCGAGACUGUCGGUCCCAAAGGGAGAGGCCCAGCACGCAGCUUGCUGGAGCAUGGUACUACAGCACCGGUGCCGUGCUGCAACCUGACCUGUUUUACAUCCCUACAGUCAUGGGAAUUAAAGGAGGCUCGUAUUACGUGGAGAAAAAGCAAAGACCAAUAUGGUAAGGGAAACAAUAUUAAUUAAGCGAGUUGCUUCUGCUGGGAGAAGAUCCAAGUUUGUUUAAUCUAAUGGAGCUUAUUCAUUAAAUACUGAUGAUGUUCAAUAAAUUUCCUAUGUAAAUUUAGCUGAGGUAAUAAUGCAACUCCUGUAAGACAAAGAUGCAUUGUCAAAUCAAAUUGAACUUCAAAUUAACUUUGUGAUUAUUGUUAUCCAAAAACUCAAUAUAAUGGAACACGAGUGCAGAAAAUAUAUAUUAGAUAAAAAUUUAUAUAUAGAACUUAUUUGAAUUAUAGAUCAUUUUAAUUUUGGGCGCGUUUGGUUCGUACUCUGAAAGAUUACUAGGAGUAAAGAGAUAUUCGAGAAUCUUAUUCAUAUUCAUCCUAUUAUUAAGAAUGUAGUAUUUCGGUGUUUGGUUCGUACGGUCAUAUUAUUUAAAAUUACGAAAAAUAUACAAUUAUUUUAUUUAUUUUUAAAUUAAUUUUAAAUAAUACUAUAAAAAAUUUCAACAUCUUUUUAGAAAAAAAAGGGAAUAUAUGUUAGAAAGAGAGAGCAUAAUUAAAGAAAUAGGAAUAGAAAUAGAGUCGAGGUUAGAGAGAAUGAGAGGGUUGAGAUUUUAGAAAAAGAGAGAGAGAAAUAGCUUAGUUUAGAGAGAAAAAAAGAGUUGAAGUUUAGAGAGAAAAAGAUAAGUUUAGAGAGCGAUACGAGGUUAGAGCGUAAAGUCGGCGGGUGAAAAGAAAGAAAGAGAUUAGACAUAUUACAAUUACUCCAAUCCAUUAAUAUAAGGAUACCCACAAUCCCUCAAAGGACUAGGAUUAGUACUUUGUAAUGCAUCUCAUUCCCAAGUAAAUUCAGUAUUACCAACUAGAUUACUUAAUGCGUUUAGCCAAACACCGUCAUUUUUUUUUAUUGGAUUACUAGAAAUCUUAAAAAGAUAGCGCGAACCAAACGCACCCUAAUAUAUAGAUAUAUAGAGAGAGAAAGAGAGUCCGGCUACUAUGCUAUCGGUAGCACGGAGCACUCCGUGCUACCAAGUUGUUUUUGAUGAUGCGGCUUCCAAAUCGACGAUCGGCUCUGUUAGACUUGAUCUACAUUAUUGAAAGUAUUUGGAAACUAAAUUUCAGAUUUUUUCGACAUCAUUUGACUAGUGAUCAAAAGAUCUCAAAAUUCACAAUUUUAAUGGCCGAUGUGGUGUGUUUGUGAGUUUAGCGGUGUAAAACAAUCCAAAUACGAUAAAAUUUUUAUAGAAAAUUCUUUUCAUUAUUUAGAGUAGGAUCAGUAUAUCUGAUCUUGAAUUUAAAUCUUUUAUCAUCAUUUUUCAUGAAAUUUUUAUUUUCAGCCGUUCAAGUUUAGAUUACUUGUUUGAUAGGUAAAUAAUAUCGAAAAAUUAUGAAAUUUAGUUUCUAAACAUUUUCAAUAGUAUAGAUCAAGUCUAACAGAGCUGAUCGUCGAUUUGGAAGCCGCAUCAUCGAAAACAACUUGGUAGCACGGAGCACUUCGUGCUACCGAUAAUAUGGUAGCCUAGUUCUAUAUAUAUAUAAAUAUAUAUAUAUAUAUAUAUAUAUAUAUAUAUAUAUAUAUAUAUAAAGGCUAGAAUACUUGUAAAAGUAUCAUGGGGGUGAUACUUGUGUGUUUUUAGCCCUUGGAUGGAGAGAUGUGAGGUUGAGAUGAUGGUGGUAGGUAGUGGUAGGUGAAAUAGUGUUUAAUCCAAGGGCUAUUAAUAAUCAAAAAGUAGAUCCAAUGGCUUAAAACCUAAUAGCACCAUGAUGGUGAUACUUGUAAAAGUAUCAUAGCUCAACUCUCUCUCUCUCUCUAUAUAUAUAUAUAUAUAUAUAUAGAGUAAGUCUCCUGUACUUUCGAAGGUACGGAGACCUCUAUGCUUGUAAGUUGUUUUCGAUGAUAGGAAAUCCGAUUCGACGAUCGGCUCCGAUAAAUAUAAUCUACCCUAUUGGAAUUAUUUAGAAACCAAAUUUUAUAAUUUUUUGACGACAUUUACCAAGCGAUCAAAAGGUCUAAAAAAUGACUAUUUUAAUGGCCGAUGUGGCACGUUUUUAAGUUCAACGGUGUAAGUAUCCAAAUUAGAUGAAAAUUUAAUAGAAAAUUCUACUUAAUAUCAAUAGUAAGACCAACAUUUUCGAUUUGAAAUUUGAGUCAUUUAUCACUGUUUUUUAUGAGAUUUUCAUUUUCAGCCGUUCAUUUUGGGGCUACUCGUUUACUAGACAAACGAAAUAAAAAAUUUAUGAAAUUUGGCUUCUAGAUAGUUCCAACAGUGUAGAUCAUGUCUAACAGAACCGAUCGCCAAAUCGGAUGUCCCAUUAUUGAAAACAACUUANCAACUUUUUCAUCUCCAACCGUCACAUAUCCUCUAUUUGUAUCCUAGUAAGAGAAGACUAGGGAUCUAUUAGUACAGACAUUGAUAUUGGCUCUUGAGUUUACCACAAUAUAAAUUAUGAUAGGUAUGGUUAAUAUUGGGUAUAAAGGAGGUAAACCUAAAGUUUGAGUUGAAAGGUUCAAUCUUAAUCAUGUUUACUUGAGAUUUAGGAUAGUUGUUCUGAUUAUUCUGAUCCUUCUUAUAGGCAACUUUCUCUUUAUUUCGAUAAAAGCAUUUUGAAGCAAAAUAAUUAUUCCAGCCACAAAUCUAACAGAAAUCAUUCUUCUUAUUAUUCCCACUAGAUUGGCUGAUAUUGUAUUUCUGGAUAUGGUUUUGAUUUCAGUUUGGCUUCUUAUCCUUAAAGCCUUUACCUUAGGGGGAUGUUUGGAUCGUUGUAAAAGUUAGCUGAAAGUAUUUUCGCCUUGGAAAACAAAUUUUCAAGCGUUUGGUAGCUCGUAAAAUUAUUUUCACGUAAAACGUUUUUUUAUAGAUUUUGCAAAAAAAUUGAUAUUUCGUUUUCCGCUCUAAAACGUUGAAAAAUAAAAAUAGAAGAGGAAAAAAAACACGAUGCAUAGAUUUGGAGUGCCUACACAGUCGCAGUUACUCGCGAGGCCCAUGGACCGCUCGAGAAGUGUUGGCUUGGCCUCAUGGACCGCAUCCAAUUUUGACGGUAAAUACCAUAAUAUAUGCAUAAAGCAUAGUUUAAUAUAUAAAAAAGUAAUAUAUAUUUAAGUUUUUAAGUAAUAUAAUUUGAAGUAAAAAUUUAAAAUAUCUUUUAUGUAAUCAAAUAAUAAUAAAAAAUAAGGCUAAAUUAUAGAAAAACCCCUGUAAAAACCUGCUUUUUCACUUUCCCCCCCUACAUUUAAAAACCUGCACUUUGCCCCCUCCUAAUUACAAAAUUGUGCACUUACCCCCCUGCCGUCACGGUUCCGUGAGAGUUUCGUCUGCUAAUUAAAAUUUAUUUGUGGAUACCAAAACUACCCUUCAAAAUGGCGGGAGUCUAUUAAAUACCCAUUCAUUUCCGUCCCAGACUUUUGCUGUCCACUAUUUCUCCAUUAUUUUCCCCAUUUUUUCACCCUGUCAACUGCUACCCAUCUUACCUAUCUUCUCCUCCUCCCAGUAAUGUCAUCACUGUAGUCAUUGGAGCUUGAACAUUCCCAAGUAGUCUCCAAAUACAUCAAAAAUGUAUGAUUUUCCUUCCCUAGUCGCACAAGUGUAUACAUAUAUAUUGUUCUUCUCUCCAGAUCAACCAUUUUUGUUUUAUUUUCCUCAAAAUAUACUAUGGAUUAAUGAAAAAUUGUUUUUCUUAAUAUAUUAAGUUUUGUAUCCUUAUUUUAUAAUUUUUUAUCACCUUUGGCUACAGCAAAAUGUCUGGCUCUUUAUCUAGUAGUUGUACUAGUGGCCAACUCAAUGUGGACAAUCCUGUUUGCUUUUGUGGAUUAAAGGCUCCUCAGAGAACAGCACUAACAUUUGAUAAUCCAGGAAGACGAUUUUAUGACUGCAUAAACUGCAAGAGAAAUGGUUAUGGUUUUUUUCGUUGGCGUGAUCCAGAGAUAUUUGAGCGAGGAAAAGAAUACAUCAUCGAACUCGAACAAAUUGGACAUUUGAAGAAGAAAGUAAUAGCAUUGGAAAAUGAGAUAUUAACAACUACUGAAGACAAUUAUACUCUUAGAAAGAAGUUGAUAGAUAUUGAAAAUUCGAGGAUGGCACUUCGAGGGGAAAUAGAUAGACUAAUUGCAAAAUGGCUUUGGCCCAAAUAAAGCUAAAGGAGGAAGACAAUCAGAAAAUUUGCAAAUACUACUUGCUUCUUAUCUGUAUACUUCUAAUUGCUUUGAUGUGGUAUGUAUUGAUAUGAAUGUACUUAUGUUAUAUUUGUUUGGAAUUUUGGACUGUUGUUGUGCAUGCCACCUCAUUUUGUUUCUAAAUGAGUGGUCUAUUAUGUAAUAUAUCAUACAACUAUUUAAGUUAUUAAGUCUCUACAUGGAUCUUCAUGAUAUUUGUAUGUACUUUAUAGUUGUCUACAUGUAAGAUGUGCUUAAUAAUAUGCAUUCCAAUGAACUAAUGCACCAUUCCAAUGAACUAAUCACAAUAAACACAAUAUGCACAGAAGGCACAAAAAACUACAUCUGAUGGUACCAACAGAUACCAAUAAUGCAGCAGAGUUCAACAGAUUUUUAACAAUCUCUGCUGGUACCAGCAGCCAGCAAUGCAGCAAAUACCAACAGAUACCAGCAGAUACCAGCAACUUAGAAGAAUCCAUACAUGAACUAAUAAGAGAACUAAACAUAUAAGUAAUAUUCAGCACAAUCUAUACAUGAAUAAGAGAACCAACAAACAUUCAGCAAAAUCCAUACAUUAAUAAGAGUAUCAGCAAGUUCACAUCAAAAGCAUCCCAGUGACAGCAAGAUCCAAAUACAUUAACAGUUAGAUCCAUACACUAACAGUUAGAUCCAAAUAUAAAUACAAAAGGAUCUAAGUUGAGUUAUAGAUAGUAAUGUAAGUAUCUUAUAGCUUGCUUUAUAAACAGACCAAAAUAGAAAAUGAGUAUACAAAAAAAAAAAAAACAAUUUCAUGUUGCCCCUGGCCUAAGUUGGCUUACUAGUAGAUUCUUGAGUUGUUGCUGACAUAUGCUGCUCUCCUAUCCCUCUUUUGAGAAAUGCCUAAAGAAAGAAUCAACAUAUAUAUAUAUAGUCCGGCUGGGAUGCUAUCGAUAGUACCAAGGACUUGUUGCUAUUGAGUUUUCUACCGUUAGAUUAACCCUUUGAUUAUUUUUACUCGUUAGAUUAUACUAUUCAACCAACCACCCACUCAACCAUAGGGAGCCCACAUCAUCCUAACCGCAUAUUUUUUAAUCAAAGGCUAAAAAACUUAUAGCACCAAUAACUUGGUGCUAUUAAUAGUAUUCCAGCCUAGUUCUAUAUAUAUAUAUAUAUAUUUAAUUAUAUAAUCUUUUAAUUGUUUGAUGUGUGUCGGUCAACGACACUCUGACAUUAAAGUUUAAGCUAAUUACUUAUUUUAACAAUUUUGUAGUUACAAAAAUUGUAAGAAAUAUACUAAUUAAAUCUAUAAAGAUAAAUAAUGUAUUCAAAUUUUGAAAUUAUUAUGCUGUUGACUUGCUCAAAUCAAACAAAUUAAAAGAUUGGAUAGUAAAACCAAAAUUUUGAAAGAUGAUAGUCAAAUCAAAAUAAUUCAUAAUUCUUGUAAGUUCUAUACAUUUUUACCUAUAUAUUAAUACUUUUAUCACAUAUGGAUAUAAAUGAUUCGUGAAAUUAAUAUGUGAGGUAAACAAUAAAAUAUUAUCAUUGCAGCCACUAAACUUUGAGAGAGGUAUGGUUUGAGUUACGAUAUAAAAAUAUAAUUCAUUCAAUAUUGAAUCUGAAAUUAAGUCCACGAUCUUACAAAAUAAAGGGUUUUAGAACUAGCUCUUACAAAUAUAUUGCCCAAAUCGAUCAAUCUCUUUUGGAUAUAAACAUUAAAUAUAUAUACUAUUUAGUAUUUGUUGACAACAGAAGAUUUUGUAGAAUAAUGAUUGUUUGUAUUACUGAACAAAAUAUUAUAGUAGAAGGUUUUGAUUUUGAGUGUUUUUUAAUUUUCGGCUUCAUUUAAUUUUUUUUCCAUUUAAUUCAAAUACUGAGAGAUUCUUUUCAUAAUAUUAUCCUGAAGCCAUAUUGUAGUACACCAUGUUCAAGCUUUAGCCUGUGGUUAAUUAGAUUGUUUCACAUAUUUUGGUGCCUUUCAUGGCUUCGUUAAGUUUUGAAUAAAAGAAAUCACAAAGACAAGAUUAAUUAAGUGCGAUUAAGUUGGAAGAAAGUUCGUCCAACAAAUGAAGAAUAACGAUUUGGUCUGCCACUUUCUUUUGAAGGGGUUGCGCCCUUUUCAUUUUUUUAAAAAAGAAAACAACUUUUGGGGGCGGUAAUGUUUAAUUAGGUAGUAAUUUUAAAAUCACAAAUCAUUAUAAAGCAUCAAAAUAAAGUUCAUUAUAAUUAGUUAUGUUACUUUAAUAUCAUGUAAAGAUUCCUCAUGCACAGCAUAAAAGCUACCACUUUCUAAGAAAAGUUAAUCUAUUUACUACCUUUUUCCAUGAGAGUAUCAUUAAUGGGAAGUACACCUCUUUUUCGUUUUAGAAGAAAAAUACCAAGUACGCUUAUUUGCAGGUAUACAGCAUUAUUACAAUGCACUCAGUUGCUCUUGAGUUACCAUCAUUUUCUUGUGCUAAUGCCUUUCCUUCCGACUGGGGCAUGACAUGAGUGCAUCUAAUAGACAUGAGAGAAUCAAUUCUUCAGGCUUCUUUCCAAAAGUGAUAUAAGAUGAUAUCUUUGUAGUUUGUUUCUUUGUGAAUGAGUGGGAGAAGAGAAGGCCCCUCUUCGGCAUGAAAAGCAAGUUUCUUGGGCCACUGGGGCUAUGAAAGAGAUAUUAACAGAGAGCUGGUGCCACGAUAUAUACGAAUGAACAACAAUACUAGGGUUAGCUCUUUUGUCAAUGGUGGCCCGUCUGCAGUUAACUACUACGCUUGGUGGAAUAUAUAGGCAAGUAAAUCAAAUGUCAGUAGGAGUACGAUGAUUAGAAUUUAGGUGUUAGAAAAGAAAGGCGUGAUUAGUAACUAGUAAGAUAAUAAAAUUUAAGCUUUUCUUUUGUAGGGUUUAGAAAAUUAAGAAAUGCAAAAAAAGGAGCUGAAUAUCUCAAUAUAUAUUGUUGCCAUCCUGUGGUGCUGAACAAUUUGAUUAGAAAGAAAUAAUAGAAUCCUCCAACAAUAAAAAGAAGUUUAUCUUAAAAUUUUUGGACAAUAAAUGAUUUUGUACGUAGUCAAAUUCAUCGCUCUUGAUAAAUGAAAUAGAUAGCAUGCAGUUGUCUUUCUUUCGAAAAGAAAAAAGAAAAGAAAAAGAAAGUGGUAUUAGAUGGAAGGUAAUUCUUCCGGAAUAUUCAAGAGACCCAGCUAAGAUAUAUAUGGCGCUAGCUAGCUCGGCAGGUGGCGUCAAUUGUUAGGCAACAGACACGGACAAGUUUAGGGAGUAAAACAGGUUAACCACCUCGUCAUUGGAAAGAAGAAACUCAAGCAGCCAGGGGAAGAUGAUCCAUCCCUUUCCACGUGAACCCAUAUAUGGUUGUUAGGUUCCGCUCGCUCUCUCUUGAUGUUAACAACACUGCACAUACACAGCACUGUAUCGAUGCGAGUGUGAUGCUGAUUGAUGGUAAUUCAUAUAUAGAGAGCUAUCUUGAAUAUAUAAUUGAAACUAGAUCUCCUGCCCUCGGUCCUUCCCUCGGUGCUAAUUAAGAUAAGGGUGUAGUGGCCAGCCACUCGUGAGCCAUGCACCUUUUGCCCGCGAUUCAUUGCCAGCUGGAUUAGUUGGGAGUUUGAUCAUGACUAUACAAGAGGAAUCAGGUGAGGUUAUAUAUAUACACACACAAACAAUGGACCCAGAGAAUAGAGGUGAUCCACGUACAUUUUGCUUAAUCAGCAAGCUAGGAGAAAGGCAUAUAUUUUCUUGAUCAUCUGAAAAUUAAAGAGGAGCCAGCCGCCAGGCUAGAGAAGAGAGAAUGGACCACAGGGACUUCCUUCGUCCCACUCAGACUUGUUUGGAUGCACAAAAAGUGGUUCAAAGCUUUGACUGCAGUCUCGUCCUAGCCUGCAGAGGUCACGCCUGCGCGGUCCCUCCAUCCAUCAUUCGGCAUGCUUUUUCACGCCUCACUUCACGAAAAUAAUGCAACUUUUCUUUCUCAAUAUUCCUGACGGAUCGAUCAUGCGGGUUUUAAUUUACUGAGUUAAUUUCACCAACGGCCGGCUCAUUCCACCCUAUCCUUAUCAUUAAUUUUUUGAAUACGUACGGCGAGUUAGUCAUUAAAAUUGAGAGCAUAUUUUUCAAAAGAAAAUGGGUAUUGAAGUGUUGGUAUGUACACAUACAGCUAGCAUUUUUAAACAGCAUGCAUUUCUAUAGCAUAUAUAUUAUUAACAUAUCAAUAGUGUAUACAUAAUAAAAGAUUUUCAAGUGAGUUCUAUAGCUAAUUUGCCCUGAGCCGGGUAACGAACAGUAAGAUCUAGAGUGAAAAAGUGGAGAUUAUUUGAUUGAUUUCUCUCUGUAUAAAGAAUUGUUACUCAUUUCAUUCAGUAUAUAUACUAUACAAAAUAUUACUAGCUAGUAGAAUUAUAUAUAUAUAUACAAAAAAAAAAAUUGAAAUGCUAAAAUACAAUUAUAAUUUUUUAUUUUGAGUGGAUUGAAAUCAGUUUUGAUUGUACAAAAUAUUUCACAAAUAAUUCUUUGUGGUAUUUUCUUUUCAAAAUUGACUCAACUUUUUAAUUGGACUCUCGAUCAUCUUCAAAAAAUAUUUUUUUCGACAAAAAAUGAUAUAUAAUUUUUCAUCCAAUCUCAUAUUUAAUAGCAUUAUAAUAUAGCAUAAUAUUUUUUUCAUUAAUAAAAAAUAUUAUAUUUAAUGAAUAACCUCAUUGCCCGGUAAAGCCCUCCCCAAUUGGAUGGGUGGACAGAAUUAUUGCAACCCUUUCAGGCUUCUUAUUCCAUCGAUCGUUGCUCGACUGAAUUGGCUCACACAAAAAUGUAGUACUGUACCUUCUUUUAUUCUCUAGUCCCAUCAAUUGUGCGAAACUAUUGCUGGAACCAUGCACCUACAUUGUCCAAUAUCUAUCUCAUGCAGCUUAAAUCCUUAUCAAACCUCUUUCUCAUUUUAUUGUCCAAUCAAUUAUCCAGUGGUUACAACAACAUGUUUUUUCCUUCCUUUUUCUGCAACUAGUCUUUCCUCUGUUUAAGAGUAAGUGAUGAUACUUAGGUGCACCAGAUUUACUGAUACACCAAGUGCAGGCAAUAACUUCCCGACUAGGUAGUAUCCUGCUGCCCCUCCCUAUUUAAAGUUUUAAACACACAUAUAUUACAUCCCCGAAAUCGAUCCCAUAGAUCCACUCCCUCGCCCCCGCCCCGUCCCUGAUCUCUACAUAUACCCAAAAAAAGAAAAAAAGAAAAAAGAAAAAAAGAUCAAAUAGCUAGCUAGAGAGCGCGCAUGUACACGUAUAACAAGAUGAGGAUGGUCGACCUGGGGAGUCACGUCAUCGACAGGCCGACCGCAGUGGACUGCAGCAAGGACGUGCGCUUCGGCCGCUCCUUCCGCUCCCUGGUGGAGUGCAUGGUCCCUUACUGCUGCGCCUUCCAACCCUCCAGCUCCCUCUCAUCCUCCUCAUCGUCGUCGUCGUCGUCCUCCAUCUACACAUUAGAUAACGCAGCCGCCGAUGCCGGUCCAACCAACCUCACGCUCACCGGCACCUUCUUCGGCUACCGCCGCAGCCGCGUCCGUUUCUGCCUCCACGACAGCUCCUACUCCCGAGCCGCCGCUCCUCUCCUCCUCCUCGAGUUCGCCAUCCCCACCGCUUACCUCGCCAGAGAGAUGCAGCACGGCCUGCUCCGCAUCGCCCUCGAGUGCGACCGCAGCGCCUACACAUACGGCGGCGGCUCCUCGCUGUUCGCCAUGCCCGUCUGGUCCAUGUACUGCAACGGGCGCAAGGUUGGGUUCGCGGUGCGGCGCCAGAUGAGCGAGGGCGACGCCGCCGUCUUCAAGCUCAUGCAGUCAGUGUCGGUGGGCGCCGGCGUGCUCCCCGGGGAGUCCAAGUCCGGAGAUGGAGAUCUCUUGUACCUGAGGGCCAGUUUCCAGCGAGUUGUCGGAUCGGUGGACUCCCAGUCGUUCCAUAUGAUUAAUCCGGUGGGGAGCACGGGCCAACAGUUGAGUAUAUUCCUUCUUCGAACAUAAAUCAGGAUAUAUCUUCCUGCCUGUAUUUGUGGCUCGCAACUUAAUUAAUUAAUUAUAUAUCUUUCUCUCUCUACAUAUAUAUAUAUAUAUAUAUAUAUAUAUAAAAGUACAUAUGGAAAGGCCAGUUAUUAAUUAAUUAGAUGUUGGACUACCGUGCUGCACUGUAGUACUGUACUGUAUAUAUCCCGGUUGGGUUUCCUCAAAAUUAUGUUCCCCGUCGCAUGCAAUGUUUCAACUUAAGUGCCUCAUCCUCUAUAUAUGUCUUAUUUCACUGUUUUUCUUUUUAUUUUUCUGAGAAAACUUUCCAUAACAGUUUUGACGUGUGCUGCAACAAAACAAAAUGAGUCGUGAGAAUCGAUGAGGAAAGGAAAAAGAAAUUAGGUGUAAUGGCCUGAGCAGCGGCCUAAUCUUUGCUUUAUCAGAACUCCGCAAUAUUUCUUUUCAGUGACGUCCAGCUAUGUGACACACGUGCUUCUAGCUGCUUGCGUUGUAUGUCCGGCUAUUUAUAUGGUUCUCUGUGGAAUCUCCCAACUUGGGAAAGUGCGGACGAGAAGAGGACAUGCACAGAAUCGGAUGGAGAAUUAAAGCUGGGCCUUGGAAGUGGGCCGCUUUCAUUCUCUCGCACUGAAAUUGUGGAUGGUCCAGUUCUCUACACGUACAAUUAUAACGUUGCCUGGGCAUGCUGCGAAUCUGUCGCCAUCCUCUCCGCGGACGUUGUGUCGAUCAUCUUACUGUGGACUCGAUCUCAGCCGUCUCUGAUCAGCUGGGAAGAAUUUGCACCGUCUGCUAUCCUGCAAUGGAGCUGCUGGGGUCGAACAGUCUCGUUAGCCCUUAACUUUGCUUCUCCACAAGCCUUCUUCGCUUCUUUUACAUUAUUACGUACGUACUUUCGUCAUGUAUUUAGGCACUGCCAAUACUCUAAACAUUAUUAUAAAAGGAAUAAAGAGACCAUGCUACGCCUUUUAAGGCCUCUAGCUUAGCCAAGUGAACAUUUAGCUAUCGUUUGGUUCGGAAUUAAAAAAAAACUAGUUAUUUCAGGAAUAGAAUUAAGUUUAGGAUUAAGAUAGGAUUAGAGUAUUUUUGUGUUUGGUUGGGGGUUGGAAUUAGUCUAGGAUAGUAAAAAAUAGUAUUUGGUUGGAAUAGAUGGGAUAAGAAGAAUAAUAGGUUAUUAUGAAUAAAAAAUAGUGUUUGGUUGGGGUUUGGUGGAGUUAGGUGAGGUUAGCUAAUCCGAGAUAACCCAUUUGAGGUGGGAUUAGCUAAUCCCACCUAUUUUUAGAAAUGUUUGGAGAUAAAAUAGGGGUUAAAGAAUUAUUCCACCCCUUAACCCCCAACCAAACGGAGGCUAAACAGAAUUGAUUCCAAAGCUCAAGUUCAACCGUUGAGCAUUUAUCAAAUAAAAACUAAUAAAUAAUGACAUAAAAAAUAAUAAAAAUGAUCUCAAAUCACGGUCCAACUAAAAAUAAUAAGCAACUAUUAAAUGGAAGCCUACAUCCGAGUCAGACAUUUGUAGAUUAAGUCGUUUUAGAAAAUAACUUGGCUUCUUUCAAAUUCAAUGUAAAUAGUAACGUGGGACUAGCAAAUUUGCAUGCGCUAUGGUAUGUCUAUUUUACCGAAAAUGAACAGGAUGAAGUUGUUUUCAAUCGUAAUUGUUCAUUUUUAUUGUUUGAUUUAUCUAACUAUACAUUAAGUCGAAAUUCAAAGUUUUUAUAGUUAUGUACGUAAUUAAUUUCGGCCCAUUCUAGACCUAAGUCAAUUACAAAUAAUAAUAAUAAUAUUAUUAUUAUUAUUGUUAAUUUAUUUUUUAUAUUUUUAAUUUUUACGCUGCCAAACAAAUAACAAUUCUAACGAAACUUCAAUUCUACAACUAUAUUUAUAAAUAAACACUGAAAAAAGAUUCAUAAAAAAAAAUAAACACUGAAAAAGUAAUUUUUAUAGAAACUCUUAUAUACCGAAAGUUUUUUUUUUUAGAGAAAUAGAUAGCAUGCUACCCGUUUCGUUUAUUUUAUUUAUUUAUAAAUAAACUUAGCGAGAAAUGUGAAUCAACUAAGAUUUGAACUUGGGUCUCAGAUACCAACCACCAAGCCGUUUGCCACUUGCUCUAGGGACGGUCGGUUUAUAUACCGAAAGUUUUAUUUCAACUAUUCAGUGAAACAAGCAUAUUCUACGAGUACGCUUACAUUAAAAGAACUUGAAAUCGAAUUUAUCUUUUUUUCCUUUGAAAAGGCCUUGAAAGGAGAAUGAUUGAUCAUACGAAAAAUAGCAUUUUUUUUUAUUCAAUAAAUAAAGUAGAUAUCGUGCUAUCUAUUCUCAAAAAAUAGCAUUUUUUAAAAAAAAUUAAAGACAGAACCCACAUGAGACGUCAUUAGGGUCUCACAAGGGUCUGAAUUCGUUUAGAUGACUAAAUCACAACUUUCCCUGAAGGUUGUGAAAUCUAAAAUUCAGUCAAGCUGUCACUUGUCAGUCCUUGGAUUUCCGAUCGAUAUUAGCAAUGCCUGAUCGUGUGUAACAAUUCAGGCAAUUAGGACUAAUAGUUUAUUGGGCACAGACGGGCAUAAAUGAUCGAUCCAAAAUACAUCAGCUUGGUCUAUGACCCGGCACCCUCUCGACCUAGACAAUGUCGUGCUGCGCUAGAUCGCACCAAGCAACGAGCCUAUCUAUUUUUCUACAUUUUUGUUUUUUUAUUUUAAAAAUUUUAAUUUUAUAAAAACAUACUUAUUUAUUAAAUAAAAAAAAUAAAUUUAAUAUUUAAUAUUUUUCCAUUGCUCGGCCAAUUACUCGGUGCUUCCCGAAUCCCAAGUAGUUGCAGGUUUCAUGGGCUUAUUUGGCGAUCGUAAAAAUAAAAAAUAAAAAUAGUAAGAUUUUUAAUAAUUUGUAUUGAGGGUUUGCGAAACAGGAGCUUAUAGUAAGCCCGAUUUCCCUAUUCGGCGGGCACUUCCCCUCGCAUUCUUCUUCACCCAAAAACCCUAACACUCGCUCCGAAGGAGAAAAGAAGAAGAGGGAAGUUUGCACAAGGAGAGGAAAGCUUAUAUGCAGGCAACGGCCGCUUGGAAGAUUUUCUUCUCGAUGCAGGCGAGGGCUGCUUGGAGACGCCUCUCCCACGCGCCUAAAGAUUGGAACUUCCAGAGCCCCUGGAUCUCGCCUCUGCUUCCCCGCCCACUUCUUCCUGCUCGUGUACCGCCCAUAGUCGAGUUCAGCACGACCCCCAGCAGGCCCAUGAGAGGCCGCGGGAGAAGAGCCGGAAGAGACGACGGCCCUUCGGAAGAGGAAGAGGAGGAGGAUUUCUUCCUCCGCACUCUCAACUUCGGCGACGACGGCGGGAACGAGAGAGCAAGAGAGAAGAACCUGGCCGACCCCCAGCAAGGCCCUCCGAGGCCCGCUAGGAGGCCACCGAGGGGCGAGCGAAGGUCGGACACGCCGCGNGGAGAAAAGAAGAAGAGGGAAGCUUGCAGAAGGAGAGGAAAGCUUAUAUGCAGGCAACGGCCGCUUGGAAGAUUUUCUUCUCGAUGCAGGCGAGGGCUGCUUGGAGACGCCUCUCCCACUCGCCUAAAGAUUGGAACUUCCAGAGCCCCUGGAUCUCGUCUCUGCUUCCCCGCCCACUUCUUCCUGCUCGCGUACCGCCCAUAGUCGAGUUCAGCACGACCCCCAGCAGGCCCAUGAGAGGCCGCGGGAGAAGAGCCGGAAGAGACGACGGCCCUUCGGAAGAGGAAGAGGAAGAGAAAGAGGAAGAGGAGGAGGAUUUCUUCCUCCGCACUCUCAACUUCGGCGACGACGGCGGGAACGAGAGAGCAAGAGAGAAGAACCUGGCCGACCCCCAGCAAGGCCCUCCGAGGCCCGCUAGGAGGCCACCGAGGGGCGAGCGAAGGUCGGACACGCCGCGCGAUGUCGAGGCAGAUGAUUUCUUUCCCCAUUUCCAGGAUGGAAACGAGAUACUGCUAGGCGGCGGCCGGAGGUCAUCUUCCUACCGAAUGCCCAAUAGACCGCCGCCGGCAGGAGAGCGAAGGGGGAAGGCUCCUGGAACUCUCCGUCAUAAUCUGAAGGCCGGUGACAUCGAUGAAGAUGUAUACGGAGAUUUCGAAGCUUUACUUCGAGAAGAAGAAUCUCCUCCUCCUCCUCCUCCUCCUCCGAGACCCCCCAUGAGACCCAAGGAAGCUGGAAAGAGUGAUGGAGCGAUCAAGAUCAACGACGAGUCAGACGAUCCCUCUACCAGGGAGAAAGGCGGUGCCGGACUAGGUGAAACCCUCUUUCAAAAAUUGAAACUUGGGGAUGCUGCUCCCGGCGAUAAAAUGGAAGGUGAAACUCAACGCAAGUCCCCUGCAAAUCUCUCCGACACCGAUUCUGCAGCAACCGAGCCUCCGCCCCAAGAUGCGGAGGAGGUCUUCAAGAAGAUGAAGGAGACGGGCCUUAUCCCAAAUGCGGUUGCCAUGCUUGACGGCCUCUGCAAAGAUGGGCUGAUUCAAGAAGCCAUGAAGCUCUUUGGGCUGAUGCGUGAGAAGGGAACCAUCCCCGAGGUCGUCAUCUACACUGCUGUCGUGGACGGCUUCUGCAAGGCCGCUAAGUUUGACGACGCCAAGAGGAUCUUCCGGAAGAUGCAAAAGAACGGGAUUGUACCCAAUGCUUUCAGCUAUGCAGUUCUGAUACAGGGCUUGUCCAACGGUGGGAAAUUGGAUGAGUCUGUUGAGUUCUGCACGGAAAUGUUCGAAGCAGGGCAUUCUCCGAAUGCAACUACCUUCAUCGGGUUGGUCAAUGGGUUCUGUAAAGAGAAGGGGGUGGAGGAAGCCGAGAAACUUGUAAAAAGUUUUCGUGAGAGGAACUUCAUUGUUGAUGAGAAGGCUGUAAGGGAGCAUUUGGACAAGAAGGGCCCCUUCUCACCGCUAGUUUGGGAGGCUAUCUUUGGUAAGAAGAUCUCGCAGAGGCCAUUCUGAUCUCUUCUUGUUCUUGGGGUUGCUUGGCGAGUACAAGUUUUGAUCUUAGUUACUUUUACCCUGGCAUAAUUGACCGCUCUACGGAAUUUCCGAGUUUAAGGAUUGUUUUCUUCUUCUUCUUUUUUCCUCUUCAUCCUAAUCAUGUUUUAUGUAGAAUCAGCAAGCAGUUGAAAAGAUGGUUACGUUAUCAGCUGAAUCUCUCAUCUGUUUCUUGUUGUCCUCGCCUCUUUGUUAAGCAUUGAAUGUGCUAUGAUUCUUCUACUCAAAGAAAAAAAAAGAUUUUUGAUUAUUUCUAAAUGUUGGUGGAAUUCUCAACCUGUUUUCUUGUGGAGAUAAUCAUAGAUACUUUGUUGAUGAUGUAAAUGGAGAAAUAAUAAUAAUGAUAAUGGCCUCUUGAGAGAAGAACAAGUAAUAUCUAACCCUACAAUACUGAUCGUCAUAAGGCAUGUUAUGUUAAAGAUAGAGAGCUUUAACAGCCAAUAUUUCUUAGAUAUACAAUCCCCAGCAGAAAAAUCAUCUGCAGUGCAUUAUAACGGACAUGGAUUGAGGCUCCAAUUCACAAGGAUUACAAAGUUACUCUGCUCAGGAAACACGCAAUGGGAACCCAUGACUAAAGAAUUGAGUUUGGGAGAAUAUAAAACUUAAUCUGGCGUAAAUGUGAAUAUAUACUCUGUAUUGCAACCUUCGCAAAUCAAGGUACUCUUUCAUCCUUCAUGUCUUUGCUGUCUCGAGCCUUUUCAUCCUUCUUGUCUGACAGUGGUGAUAUCAAAUAUGGAAGCCUUUUAGAGAAUAAAUUAGCUCAAAGUGCAUUAACUGGUCAAACUACCUUGAAGUUGUAGUCUGGGAUGAUUAAACCUUGUAUAUCAUGUUGUGUGCAAAUACAUAAUUAAAUAUAUUAGAUAGAUCUGGUAGAUUUACGAAAAUAUCUAACACAAUUUCUCUAAUUUGCGGAAAAUAUGCAUUCUUGGUUCCUGCUGAAAGGGUAUCUCAUUCUUUUAUUGCAACUCAGACCAUGAUAAACACUCCAAAGAAACCACAAAAUGAUGUAUUCUUUACUUGCCCGAUAAUCACAAGACUGCACUCUACACUUCCGAAACUAUGCAAUAAUAAUCAUUGCUUCUCAUUGCUGUACAUGAUUACCGAUACAUUUCCUUUAUGCUUAUCUUGGUAGAAUAUCCGAUUAAGGUGAAUCUUUCUGAGACAAGGAAGGCGAGCACUCGGUAGUCCUUGUGGGUUGAACGCCUGCACACAAGUAUUAAAGAAAAACAUGAUCAUAUUUCAUUAGCUGUUGCUUUAUGGCUUCCCUAUAAAUUGCCAAAGCAUCGCUACUUGCUGGGUAGUCCAAUCCCAAGUGAUGUCUUAUCUUAUCUAGACAUUUAUCUUUUGAAGGUAAUUAUGAGGCUCAUACUGAUUUGCAUAUUGGAUGCCCUUUUUACAAAACCUUGACCUGAUUCACACUGAUUCUAACAGUAAUAUCUGGAUUAAAUAGAAGUUUGUCAUUCAUAGUCGGUCGAUUAAAUUUCUGGACUAAAUCGGUAAGCAAUAAUAUGUUAUCUCGGUGAGAAGCGUAGAACUGGCACAUGUUUCGUAUUGCAUAGUAUUAUGAGUUACAUGUACUCGAAUUACAUGUUGCAUGUGUUUGUUGUCACAUAUUAUCUGUAUUUGCAUACCCCCUUAGAGCGGAAAUUUGGUUUUAUAUCCUUUAGAAUAGUUUAUACACGCAUGGAUGCUGCUCUGUCUGACUUUCUGUGAGAAUCUUGACAUCAAAGAAAUGAAGGAUUGUUUCUAAUGCUAAACCGUUUUGUACAAUUACCUUUUAAUGUUUACGAAGAAUAUCUUAAUGGGGGCAUGUAGAUCUAUUUCAAGCCAGGGUGCUACCGAGGAAAGUAAGUAUGGUUAAACAAAAGACUUAAACAAAAGACUAUUUAUGCUGGGUGGACUUAAACAAAAGACUAUUUAUGCUGGGUGUACAUUGUAUCUAAUAUGCAAUAGUUUGAAGGAUGGUGGUGCAAAUAUGCACUUAAGAGUGUAUGCAGGCACAUGCAUUCUCAAGGGACUAACACAAAAUGUCCUAUAUAGUUUUAAGUCAUACAAGCAUACAAUGAUCUGGGGUUUUUCUUAUAAAGGUAAUGUAAUGUCUGGAGACAAAGAUGCAUUUCAUUUCGUUUUUUCAGGGCAAAGAUCUUGUUAUUUUUACCUCUACUUUUGGUGGUUGGGCAGUGAUGGGCGUUCAUUUCAUUGAAUUUUCAUGAUUCAAUUAUAUUUUAGAGUGGUCCUCACCUCAAAAUUUUUCAAGACGCUGAAUGAGCACUUCCUCGGCAUCCCAUGGUACAUCCUUCAGGUUGGAGUCUGGUUCCUCCCCAGUUAGUUUAAGAGGAACAUGUAGCUGAGGCGGAGUCUGCAAAGAAAUGCGAUACUUUAUUAGAGUGUUGAAUAUAAGGGCACAUUUAUUUAAAAUAGGAAUCAAAAUUGGAAUAAGAAUGGAAAUGGACUGGAAUCAAACACAGAAUAAUGAAAACAAUGUGUUCCCAACAUCUUGAAUCGUAACCAUAUUUACCAUGCAACGAAUAAGUGGCCAGUUGAUGUCGCAGAAGAAAGGAUGUUGCUUGAUCUCAUUUGCUCCAGAACUUGAUCCCAAACGAUUAGCAGGGUCUCUAUGGAGUAAUCCAUGGAUUAGUUGCCUUGCUGCUAGGCUAACCUGGCCAGAAUAAGAAAGAAAAAAAAGACCAGUCAACUAGGUAUUUAUUCAUCAAUAAUAUUUCAUAGAAUGAAAAAUGCACACUUUUACUCAUACCAGUGGAAAAAAAGCUUCUUUACAUAUUGAACAUUCUAGAAACUAUGCCUGUCUUAGUUUUCUAUUACUCUGCAAACUACAGAAAUUUGUAGUAUUAAUUGCAAGAGAACAGAUCUUUCCUAUUUAAAUCAUGUUACUCUGACAAUAAGAUACAACCAACAUAUAGUGUGGUGUUAGGUAGGGAAAAAAGGGGAUUUUCAAGCAUUUAACGAUCUAGCAGAUUUUUCCUAGCUAAAAGUUUCGUGAAGUCCAAAUAUCCUGUUCGUUUUUCCGGUCGUAACUAUGAAGGUUAAGGUUCUUGGUAUGGCCAUUAGGCAUUACCACUACAAGUGCUAGAUUAUGAGUCAGUUUUUUUCACCCUCUGUGCACUUCUACCACUAAAAUGCAACCUGAUUCAGAGGCAAGUUUCUCACCGGAAUGCUGCUUGGAAAUGUGAGGUCCUUGUGCAAAAUGUUGGAAAAUGUCCUUCUUCUAUUCUUUCCUCGAAAAGGUGUGCGCCCAUAUAACAUCUCAUAAAGCAAAAUUCCUGCAUUUUAACAUAAUUAGUGGUUAAAGCAAAUAUAUAAGCAGAUAUUAUUCAGAGAUGCCAAACAUUUUGCAUGCCAAACAUUUUGCUCUGUGUUGAUAGAUAGUAUUUGUGAGAUGCCAAUGUAUAUGCUCAUUUAAUUGUUUUCAUAUGUGUUAGGGCAUUACUUCGAGUAAUUGAUGGGCUAUGUUGCUGAAGUGAGUGGAAAGACUGAUGAUUUUGUAACUUGUGGCUUUCUAUUAGUCAGUUCAAAAGAGAUCGCACUCUGGUUUGCAGUAAGGAUAUUAGUUAGAAAGUGAGUUCCUAAAUAGCUGGUAUUUAUCCAUGCACAUCAUUUGUGACAUAAUAUUUCUUUUUUGACUCUCUUGUCAAAUGUUAUAAUAUCAUAAGAAACUAUUACAGAACAAGAGUAAAGAUCUCAUGCACUUCCAUGGAUCUCACAAGUUUGGUCAUAUGCAAUGAUGUUUCAUGAAUCAUGGUAGUAAUACUGAAAAAUUUGAUGCGGUAAAGAAUCUUACCCUGUCCUGUUGGUUUAUUCUUACAAAAUGGAAAGAGAUUGUUGUAGAAAUGUUAGUCAUUUAACGAAAUUAUUAAAUGGGGCUUUCAUCUGCCCUCAUUUUACAGUACCAUGUACAGUUAUGGUCGUCUUAGAUGUAUAUCCAGUAGAGUAGAAGGGCAUACAAUACAGGAAGGGUCUCACAAGUUUUCUCCAAUAUGGUAAAAAUGUAUGGAACUUACUUGAACUAUGGACCAUUUGAAUUUGGCUACCCAACCUUUCAAAAUUUUGAUUUUACUAUCCAACUUUUUAAUUUGUUUGAUUUGAAUCAAUAAAUAGCACUUGUAACUUCAAAUUAAGCUAAUUACCAACUUUAAUGAACUUAUAGUUGUGAGAAUUGCAUGGAGUAUAUAAACUACACCUGUAAAGAUAAACGAUGCAUUCAAAUUUUGAAGUCAAAGUGUAAAGUCAAAUCAAACAAAUUAAAAUGUUAGAUAGUAAAAUUAAAAUUUUGAAAGGUUGAGUAGCCAAAUCCAAAUGGUCCAUAGUUCAGGUGAGUUCCAUAUGUACUCACCUUUCAAUAUUAACACUUGAAGCAACUUACAUUCUCGUGAAAGAAGAAAAAUUUAGGAUGGCAAAUUGCAAUUGUGGUGAAACUGCAUUGGAGAUUCAUUUUGUUUUCCAUAAUCACUCCCAGGUAGUGUGCCUUCUAAUGUAAAUGAUGAUGAAAAACUUUUUUUUCUUAACCAAUAAAAUCAUGUUAGUGUAUUAUUAUUGAAAUAAAAACUAGAUAUAUAUAUAUAUAUAUAUAUAUAUAUAUAUAUAUAUAUAUAUAUAUGAGCUAGAAUGUUAUCAGUAGCAAACGGGNGGCUAUUAAUAAUCAAAAAGUAGAUCCAAUGGCUUAAAACCUAAUAGCACCAUGAUAGUGAUACUUGUAAAACUAUCAUAGCUCAACUCUCUCUCUCUCUCUCUCUCUCUCUAUAUAUAUAUAUAUAUAAUUUUAGAUAUUGAAUGUGUUGAAUGGAGGAAGUUUCAGAAAAAGUAUAUCUUUCUAGCAAUGAUGGAAAAUUGUUCAAUGCUUCCAUUUGCUAGUAUGUUUUGCUUUUCCCAAGAAAAUUUGCUGGUACUGUACCAAGAGCCCACCAGUCGAUGGCGCUACUAUGGCCUGCCCCCGUGAUAAUCUCCUGAAACAAGGAUAUGCAAGAAGACGGAUUAUCCUGAGAAUGAGCUGAUAUAUAGGUGUUGUCUAUAGCUUACAGUGACUUUAUUGAAAAGGCAGAGGAGGAGAAGCGAUGGAGGUUAUGACAUCCACAUUUGGCAGAACAUCACCAUGUGACACAUAACAUAAUGACAAUAUGUUUUCGUCUUUCCUUAAGUUUAUUAAGGUCAAAGACACUGGGAGGAUGGCAUUCUUACUAUUUAUAUAUAAAUUUUGUUUGACAACAACGAAUAAUAGUGGGGCAUUAACAUAGUUUCUUUUUUGUUUAGAGAAAUGCUGUGUUUGCAGCCUAAUUUACUCAUAAAUAACUAGUAAAUCACAAGAAGAGAAAGAUCAUACAGGUGCUAUGUACUCUUCUGUUCCAACAAAUGAAUUUGAUUGUGUACUAGGUUCUGCGAAAAAGGUUGGGGGAGGCUGAUCUUUUGGUUUCCUCCUCUUUGAUGGUGUUGCAUGCUGCAUCACCUGCAAAACGGGAAAAAAAGGAAAAGGGAAAAAGGAAUGCGUUUUAUUGAAGGAAAAUUUAUGGAGAAAGUGGCUUACAAAGUGAAAUCAGAACGCUGAAUAUUUUGCAAACACUAGCUUUAGCAUCAAACACUGGAGAAAUGCAUAAAUGCUAUGCCCAAGAUGCUUCAGGGAUGACAACAAAAGAAGGACUAAGGAGUCAUGUUGGGUAUAGAGUAAGAGCUCAUGUUGUUCAGUUCAGAGCAGUAGCAUUUAUGUUCCGUCGUCAACCAAAAUGAACACUAAUAACAAAUUUUCCUUCCUUUCAUCAGUUGGGAGUGGAAGUUAGUUUAUUGGUCUUUAAGAAUGCCAUUAUUUCCAUCUGCCUUGAUGGCAUUUUUCUUUUUCUUUUUAUCCCAAUCGGAGAUAUCUUUUAUUAUCUAUAUAUCAUUUUCAUGGUCACAAUUUGACCUUUCUCUUCAAUCUUGAGAGAUCUUCAUUUCACUUACAUGGUGACAUAUAGGAUGUACUCAAUACGUCUUUGAAUUUGUUAGUGAAGUUUUUGACUUGAAAGAUGCUAUUCGGGUAUUGGUUUAUGUCCAACUAAAUUGAGUCUUCGUUACAAGGAAAACUCAUCUGUGGAAUCAUCAUUGUGGUAAAAUUUUUCACAAGAAUCACACCCUCUGCAUGAUUUAAAUUGUUUUCAAUUAAGGCAUGUUUGAACUUUGAAUAAACAUUUUCUGCAAGAACAAUUAAUUCAGUUAUUAUUGCACUUAACUAGUGUUGCUUACUCAGUUAUUUACUACGGUGACUGGUAUUAGCAGAUUGGGAUCUUUUGGAGGAGGAAUAUAUGCUUUAGUUGUAUAUUGGUAGAUCGCAUGUAGCCCCCGUGCUGUCUGUAGCCUACUAUGCCACCAAGCAACAGACUGUUGCAUCCCUGCUCAAUGUUGUUUCAUGUUUGCUUUUAUUGCAACAUUAUGAUAAUUUAAGGCCGCCACAGAACAAUCGCUGAACACCAUCAGUAAUUUAAGGUUGCAAUCAUUGUGCCGCACCACACUAUGUUGCUGUGAAAGUCGAGCAGCGUUGUAAAACAAAGGGGUAAGCACUACUCAGUAACAGGGUGUAGAUGCUGUAGAUUAUGAAGGUAUCAGGUUUUGCUGGUCAAAUUGGACAUACACGUGAUCAGCCGGUAAGGCCAUGACACAACAAAAACAGUGAAGGAGCAGUUGAAAAUGCCUAUAAACAAUGAAGAUAAGAAGGUGAAGACUCAGGUGUGCAUUUAACUCGGCAUUUAGAAAAUCUCUUGGAAAAUCAAGAAACUGUUGGAAAUUGAGAAUCUAAUGGAGUACUUACUUGAGGAUUGCAGGAUGUUAAAAAUGAUAAAUCAAAGUCAGUCAGAACUAUAUGGCCGUCCUUUUGGAGCAAGAUAUUUUCUGGUUUCAGAUCACGAUAGAUGAUUCCUACAUGAAAAUCACAUAUAUAUGUUAGCUGUUUUGGCUGUUUUCAAGAUAUGUACAGAAAAAGCAUGUAAACUUCACUGCCAUAAUAUGCAGGGGGGGAAAAAUUAAGAACUGCACAAGCAUGUGCACUAUAAAUUAAUAAAUUCAUUACCUAGGCAGUGAAGAUAUUCGAGGCCAAUGACAACUUCUGCAGCAUAAAACCUGAAAAAUUUUAAAAUCAUGAAUUAUUUGGGAUACAGUAUUGACUUAUAAAUCGCCAUAGUUAUCAUCAAAAUAAAAACAGUUUAGAGGUGUUUCUCAAUGUAACAUAGUCAUAUAAAAUACAGUGUGCCUACAAAGCCGCAUAGCAGAUAGCAAUUCUGAGAAUCUUUAUCGAUGAUAUUACAUGGUUAAUAUAUGAUUUAUCUGUUUCUCUUUCCUUUAUUUGGCGAUAAGUAAGAUUUGUAAUAUGCAAUGAUAUUGACGAAAUCAAUAGUUUUUAGAUCAUAAUUGAGGCAUUGCAUGAAAAUAGAAGGUAUAGGUAAUGAUGGCUUACAAAAUGAGUGAAGGUUCAUAUAAACUAAUAAUUCCCCUAAUGAAUUGCAAUUCCAUGUUAUAAAAUUUAGGACAUUUCCAACCCUUCUGAAGGAUAGGUCGAAUAGAGUUAUUAAAAUGUGUAUACCUUUGGUAUUCAUUUCCACCAAAACACACAAAACUGCCUUUUGUAGAAAUCUCUUUGUAGAUACACUUGGAAAUUGUAUAUGUUGUCAAGCACUUCAUGUGGUUGUACAUAAAUAGGUAGCAUGAGGGCUAUUUGAUCUCAAAACUGCUGUUACUUUUACUUUUCUAAGGUAAAGUUGAUAUAAAUGAUUUUAUUUCACUUUUAGCAGAAAAAAAUUUCAAUAGAAGUUCGAAAUUACCCCUUUCAAUUAAUCAAUCAAGAAACUAUUCAAAUUAACCUAGUGAAUUGAAUAACAUCAGACCACUUUCUGGUUGCACCUUGCAGCUUCCUCUUUGAAGAUCUUCAUAGGUUGCUGGUCAAGCAACGCAAACAGCUCUCCUCCCGGACAGAAGUCUGUUAUUAGACAAACAUGCGUCGGAGUCUGAAGAAAGAGGAUAAUCAGUAAGAUGUGUUUAGCUAGAUAAAUAUAAUCAGAAAACAUUGAGAUUAUCUAUGUCAAAUUAGAAUGAAAACUGGCUUAUUUGGUGCAUAAAGAGGUAUAUCACACCUUAUUAAAGGACAGAGUUAACCUGAAAUGAAGCGUACAACGUUGGAAGAAAGGGAUGAUCCAAUAGUGAAUAUAUCUCUCUUUCAACGCAUGCACGAUGAACCUGGAGCGCAAACAAAGUGGCGAACCAACUUUUAUUCACUGACGACUCUUUGAAGUACCUCACACAGGGACUUCACGAGGGAACAGAAUAUAUAAGAAAAAAAAACUGCAAAUCUUGUACUAGUGCAAAAUGAUUAGCAUUUAUCAGCCCAUCUCAUGAAGACUUAUUCCUCAUCAUGUUUUCGAUCCUUUAUUUGGUUGGUGCAUAGUGUAAACAAGCCAAUUUGGUGACCGUUCAUCCAUGCCAUCCUAUAUUAUAGCAUUAUACAUAUUUUCUAGGGUUGAAUGUGCCAUAGUUCCUACGGUCAAGAGUUGUUUCAUAGCAAUAAAGAUAUGUUUUGAAGAAAAUGGCAAGCAGGAGAGCACCUUGUUUCGGUUGAACAUUACUGAUUUAUCCAUUGCCUUCAUAGCAUACAGUUCGCCAGUUCCUUGUAGCUCCACCAAGUGUACGCUGUAGAGCAUCAGAUAACCCUAUUAGAAUCUAUAGAAAGCCUUAAGAAACUCUUGAUAGCAGUAACUUCGGAGAUAUAUCGAUGAAAGUACAUUUAUGUAAUUGAUGUCAUACAGAUAUCUCAAAACAUGAUGUGUGAAAACAUUGGUACUACUAACAUCAAGUUAUGUAUAUGUUUGAUGUGUUCACAAUGAUAAAGUUCUGCUAAUAUAUGACCAAGCAAGUGUGCUUUUUAUUAUUUUCCUGAAAGUAAACAUAAGUAGACAUUAAGUAUAAGAUAUUCCAUAAGGACUUGAAUCCAAAUAAAAUGUUUAUACCUGCCAGUAUCACCACAACCCAAAGGUUUUAUAGGUCUGAAGUGCUUCAAGCCAAUCCUUUCCCCUUUGCCGGUAACCUAUGAGAACCCCAAAAAAGAGUGGUGUGUUAAAUAACCUGGAGAUGAGGUUUGAAAUGCGUAUGCGUUCUUUCUAGUACAAUAAGAUUCAUCAUAUAUAAGCAAGGAAGCAUUUCAGUACUCACAGAAGGCCAUAAUUCUGCAAUAUAUCCAUGAUGAUCUCAUAUAACUUUAAGAGUGAAAUAGAAAAAUCUCAUACAUUACAACCUUCCAGAUCAACCUACUAAACUUUUAAAGUGAAGCCAUCAGUGGAGUUUAGAAGACUUUCCAGAAAAGAAAUAAACUGUAAGUCAUAUAUGUGCAUGAUUUUCUGCUUUCAGAUGCCCUAUGCUACAUGAUCAGUUGCGCUUGUACCAUAUUUGAAUGAACUUCCUAAUUUUAUUUUAUUGGAGCAGUUUGAAUGAACUUCCUAAUUUUAUGUGAUUGGAUUUGGAGCAGUAGUCACAGUUAAAUCUAGCAAGUUUUAUAUAACAUACCUUCUCUAUAGCUACCCAAGAAGAAUUGCUCUUUUUGUGAGGUUUCGGAAAGACAGGUUUGGAAUGGAUUGCCCACAAGUCCUCCGGUCUCUGAAGUAGUAAUUGGUCAAAGACAUUGCAAUAUACAGUAACCCUUUCUUUGUCAAAAGAGAAUAUCUAGUGGUUAGUUCCAGGAAUGUUAACACAUGAUAAAUUUGUAGUAGUACUGCACAUUGCUGUCCUGAAAGUAAGCACGCCUCAACAAUCAAACAUUUUGGUGAAACGGUAAUGACACUUGUGAUCAUUUGAGACUACAAAGCACUUCGACAUCAGAAUAUGAAAUCCUUAGUAGAAGUGGAGCUUAUGCUUUCUAGUUCACCCAAGGAAACAUAAACCCUAUUUUGCAAUGAUAACAGUGAAUUUGCCGAAGUGUUUAUCAACUACGAGAGUUUCAGAGAGGGAAUAACACUAAUACAUGGUUUAUAAAUAGUCAUAUAGUUCACAUUUUAAGCACCUUGUAUCUGACAUUUAUAAACAUUUCAAAUCGACAUUUAGACCAACAAGUACAAUCAUACAUAAUUUUUUAAAUAGAUUUUAAGAUCCAUUUUACCAUUGUUCAUCAGUAUUAAGUAGAAAACCUAAUUUUAGUAAUCAUUCAAUCAUAACCAAAUAAAAUGUACCUUACCAAGUUUGCAUCAGGAAGCUCUCUUACAGCUUCAUCAACAUUCUCAGCUGUAGCUUUAACCUGAUUAAGGAGACGAAAAUCAGUAGAUCGUAAAAAUUAGGUCACUUUUUUCACACAGCUGUUUCCAAAGCAAAUAAAUAGAGAUGGAUAAGACCAAUUUUUAUUGUAGGUUCUGAAAAUCAAAGCCAGCAUCAUAAUCUUUUAAGAAUAUCAGUUAAAAGACAAUUGCUUGAUUAUGGUCCCAUCACUGUAGGAUCCUAGCUAGAAGUUAUGGCCCCGCCAAAGUGGUGUCUUACAAGGAGUCUGGAGGUAAUCUACCAUUCAUCAUUUUUUGGCAUGAAGUAGCUUCUUUCAAGACUCAAACCUCCAAAAUUGUGGUUUUGAGCCCAAUAUUUCACCGCUGCGAUAAUUAAUAACCCCUAUCUCAUCAGAAUACUACUUCACAAAGUAAUGACUCCUAUUAUCCUAUCUCAUUGACAGUUGUGGAGAACAACAAACUUCAAAAGAUUAAAUGAUGAUUAUGAUUAUGCAAUUCCCGCUACAAAUUGCAUAAAUGGCAAUUUUAUAUCAGAUGACAUUUAAAAUGAGAAGUACAGCAACAUACUCUAAUUCUCUGAAUAAUGAUAAAUUGGAAAAUGUACGCAAAUAGCAAAGGAAUUUACCACUUUGGCACUCUGCAUCUCAGUCGUAUCUGAGAGACGAUUCCGAAGGGGUUCAACAUGAUCGCUCCCAUCUAAUUGCACACCAAUGAAGUAUUGAAGCUCGCCCUAACAAUAUAAGAAGAAAUUACACCAGUUCAAUUAAAAUUGAAGCUUUGAUAUCUAACAGAAUAUGCAAAAAAUAAAAUAAAAUAAAAUAAAGCAGUUGCACAAACUAAGGAUCUUGUUAAGCACCUUCUGGUCACGCAUAGGUUGCAAGUGGAACAAAUUCCAGAAUUUCUUUCCUGAAUCAAAUUCACCAACAGCAAAAUUUAUUCCCAAAGGAACUAAAGACUUACUGGUAGAAGUAGCAUUCCAUAUUGAUCUAAUUCCUUUCAGCAGAUUGCAUAAUAAAAGCAACACAAAAUACAAACCUAGAUGGAUUUUAUAUUUUGACCUUUUUAUAUGAGUUAAUGAGGCUACGGAAUUUGAGCUAUUAUAAAAUCAAUGCAAAACUUACCACUCUUUGUAUAGUUAAUUAGUUGAACAGUAAUUUCCCUUUGUUCUCUAAUCGCAUCUCUUAUCUUUGCAACAGUUCCUUGAUCUGUUUCAGGUCCUUGAAGAAACCUGUAGUACCAAGGAGAUUACAUCUAGAGUUUAUAUGAAUAUUUAAUAUAUCAGCAAAAUAUAAAUACAGUAGUAUCAUGGGAUGGAAUUAAUUCCUAACUUGAUAUAGAAGCUGUCCGGUAUACUUCCACUGGCAGAAAGUAAAGUUCAGUUGCUCAACAGUAUAUACAAGAAUCAUGAAAUGUAUAUAAAUAGCAUCAUUUCAGAAACUUGGUUUUUGCUUGUAUAUCUUGAUGAAGAGAAAAAUCUGGUGAUAUCAGAUUAAGUUCUGGAGGUUUUUAAGUGGAAAUUCUCUAGUGAAAAAUUGGAAAACUAUAGUUUUUUUUAAAACAUUAAUAAGGAGUUGAUAUCAAUGCUGUAGUAUAUUUAUAAUUUCAAUUUAUUUUUAUACAGGUGAAUAUUAAUUGAAAGAGUAAAAUCUUUUACUGCAAUACAAGGAUAAUCACAGCACAAUAGAAAUAAGUAAUUACUGCCAUUACUAUGAGCUUAACCAUCAAGUCCAUUAGAAAAUGUGAAAGUAAUUAUCAAAAAUCAGAGACAGUUACUAUGCUUGAGAUUAUAUUUCAUAUACUCAAAUAUAUAACUAAUUAUAAAUCUCAAACACUGAUUUUCCUUUACAAGAAAAAGAAAAAGAAAAAUCUCAACUACUAAAAACUUAAAACCAUGAUAUACAAUAUUUCACCUUGAAAAUUCUGAUUCAUUAUUAGUAUGAAGCCUUCAAAUUCAUCUCUCCAAAAAAGUACUCAAGAAAUAUUAACUUUAUAGCAAAGAUCAGGUGUUGGCUAAAGGUUAAGUUCCCUUGAGAAUUCAUCAUUUCCUUACCGACAAUUUCUUCCUAAAAUUUCUUCACGUGCAUACUCCGUCAGCUCGAGAAAGCUAUCAGAAGCAAAUAUCUGCAGUAAAUUGACCAAAAUAUUAGUCAUUUCCACAAGUCUGUGUAUAGGAAAAGGAGAAAAGCUUUAACUCAUUGCCAUGAACAGUGCUCCCAGAAUUCUUGUUAUACUUCAAAAUUGCUAAUAAGAAAGAGCACAUGACAAAAGGCAUCAUUAAGCUAGGCAUCAUUAAGCUAGCCAUUAAAGUGAUUAUAUGUGUUUUGAGCUAUCCAGCAGAAAGAUUGGACUCCCCAUAAGUGACUUUCUCUUACUAUUGGGUUGUCAGGCAGUCUCGGAUCUGUAAUCACAAAGUUCUUUUCGAUACGCUCCAGUGUUGUAGCUAAAUCAAUUCCUUGUCGUAUCUCCUUUUCUCUUUCUACAUGAUCCCAACUUUCAGUGCGUUGUACAUCUUUGGUCAUUAAAAUCUCUGGCUCAAUAUUCAAUUCCCGACUUCCUACAGAACUUCGCUUCUUGCCUUUGAACCUGCAAAUUAAUAGAGAAAUUAGAGAUUACACACUGUUCAUAGGGGGACUGGAAAACUGAAUGCAAAUCACUGCAGGCAAUGAUGGCAGUGUGUAAGACAAAUCACAACAUAAAAAACAGAGAACAUAUUAUAAAAGUAAGAAAGUUCCUUGUUCAACCAAAAUAGAAGUUAGUAGCAAAUAUUGUCAAAUUAUGAGGUUUGCUACAAUUUGUGGAGUGGUGAUAAUGUGAAGAAGUUGGAACUGGCUGUGAUAGAGAUUAGAUGCGGAAAAAAUGAUGAGAGAUAGCUGCUAAUAAGUGCAACUCUUGAUUUAUGAUACAGUUUCAAUCUCCCUCAAGAACUACAAGUGGUUGCGUUAGUAGUAGUUAGACCUACCGACCGUCCCUAGAGCAAGUGGCAAAGGGCUUGGUGGUUGGUACCCGAAACCCAAGUUCGAAUCCUAGUUGAUUCACAUUUCCAGCUAAGUUUAUUUCUAAAUGAAAUAAACGAAGCGGGUAGCGUGCUACCUAUCUCUCAAAAAAAAGAAAAAGAAAAAAAAGUAGUAGUUAGACCUUUGAACUGUGCAAGUGGUUACUUGUGAUCCUUGGAGCUGCUCACCUUAUACUUUUUCAUACUACAAGCAAGGAUUUAAGUGUCGUGGCAUGGGAUCGUGCCGAGCAUUUGUUGGCACGAUACAUCAUAGUGCGUGCCUAGACGAAAUAUACCAUUCACAAAAGUACCCAUGCCCCAAGACAUUAUUGCAUAAAAUAUUCAUGUUCGUUGGCACCAAUAUUUUCUAAUUGCUUAUUAUAUAUUUUUAUCAAAUUUUUUGCACUUAUUAAUGUAACUACUUAUUAAUUUCAAAGAAAAGAGUGUUUUGAGCUAUGCUGUUGGCAUGGGGACUGUAUCGUGUCCAUAUAUUGUCGACACUGUAUGGCACAAUAGACAAGGCCCGUGCCGUGAGCACUUAAAUCCUUGUCUACAAGUAUCAAAAACUAUUAUAGGAAAAUUGUUAUGUCAUUUAAAAAGUUUGUUGAACUUCAAAAAAUAUUGCAAAUUAUGUUAUUUGAGUUGUGAGAAUUAGGACUUUGAAUUGCACUUUUAGCGGGGUUAUGAAAUAACCAUAUUGAUGUUGUUUAUAUAUCUAUAAAAUAACCAAAAGAUACUCUCAAUGAAGGAGAUAAGUUAAACCGUACCCAUCCUUGCAGUGAAAGCAGCACUAUUUAUGAAGGACUACCAAUCAUAUAGAAAUAGAAAUUUCUCAAAUAGAAAUUUCUCAAAAGAUAUGCAGGAUUACCAAUCAUAUUAGAUUUUUCAAGUUUGAUCCAUCUCCACAUUGUUAUUAUUUAGCAACAACAAAGCACGAUUAAGUAUACAUUUUCCUCCUAAUGCAAUGAAGUUGAGAAGCAAUCUAAACUCACCCAAUUAGCGACAACCGGCCUGAUUUCCUAGUGCUCAUUCUUGAUGAUUCAUUUUUGACAUCUAUAAGGGGUGUUAGUCUGCCCGGUGACUUGAAGCUUUUCAGCUCGGCAGGUGUUUGAAGCGGAGAGUCGAUGUAAACGUUUUCUUGCUCAUUGAGCUUCGCAGGAAACUCAUGCUCUGCUACAACUUGUGAGUGGGUAUGAGGAUGCCUUACCGUCUGGACAACCUCUGUUAUCGAAGACAAAGCUUUCUCCUUUUGUCGAGCUGGUAAGAGAAAAUAGUAGAGUUAGCCUACUAUGAGCAGAAUAGAUAGAUUUACAUUGAACCAACCAAUUUGUAGAGAAAGAGAGAGAGAGAGAGAAAGGAGGCGGAGAGAGAGAGAGAGAGAGAGAGAGAGAGAGAUGGAGAGUAUGUCUGAUAGACUUACCAUCAUAACGGAUCAGGGAUACUGGCAACGCAUUUGGCCGCAAUGCUUUGUCAUUAAGACCUUCUGUGUAUUUAGUGACCUCAACCUGCAUUCUGGACAUAACAGUUCCAAGUUUAUUUUGUCGAGAACCUGCAGCGGAAGCUUACUACAUACAUAUGCAGUGCUCAAAUACAGAAGAUUAUAUAGCAGGAAUCCUUUCGCAAGUAUAGGAGAUACGCAUCUGAAAUUAUAUAGAAUAGCAACCUACAUCCGAAAUCAAAUAAAAUAGAGUGGGGCUCCUAUCAGGACUUGGCUCUAUAAUCAAUAAAAUACUUGAAACUAAAACAUAUGGAAAAGAUUUGACACUAAAAAUUUUCUAAAAAUCAGGAAAGUACUAUUAUGGCUUUUUCUUAAAAAGUUGAAGAAAUUUCUAUUUCACAACAUCUCCAAUAAUGCUCUGCCAUCAUUUUUUUUUACUCUAGCAGAUUUGGUUUUGCUUUUCGGAAGUUCACCAAGGAUGUAUCUUAAGACGAUUAAGAUAUUACCGAGGAGGAAAAUCCAUACCCUAUGAAUUUAAUAACCUUCCCACUAUCAUUCCUUAUUGGUGUCACUGUGAGAAGGUUCCAAAAGGGUGUCCCAUCCUUCUUGAAAUUCAAGAGCCUUCCGCAGUAGCUUUUUCCAUUGCGAACAGCUUCUCUAAUCUUUGCAACUUCCUGUCUAUCCGUUUCCGGUCCCUGCAAAAAGCGACUGCAAGCAGAGUUGUUGCGUCAACAUAGUAAUCAUAGUACAAUGCAAGGAAAAUUCAACUCAAUUUCUAGUGAGAUUAGUUUUUCAGCCUUUAGAUUUUAUUCAGUGUAAAACCACUUCUCCAGUUAAAGAUCUGAUCUUUAGUGCAGCUGCUACUAUUAUUAAGCUGAAAUCAGUUUCAAUAUAUUAGAAAGGAACUAAAGCUAGUGCACAAGUAAUGGCCAUACCAAUUUCUUCCAAUGACUUCCUUAGCCGAGUAGCCUGUCAUGGUGAAAAACCCAGCACUAGCAUACACAAUAGGGCAAUCAGGCCUGGUUGCAUCGGACACGACAAAUGUCUGCUGAAGAGUGGAGAGUGCAUCCUUUAGUUCUUGGGAGACCCUAGGGAAACUUGAGUCCGGCGCAUAACUUGACUCGCCUGAAGUUCUUUCCAUUGAAAUCUUAGCUCCAUCACCUGAUGACCUAGAGCCCGCACUCCGGCUACGAAGAUUAUCAUUCUCUGAUCUUACUACUGACCCCCUUUGAUCUGGUAACUGAUUGCUUGCCAACGAAUCAGAUUCCUCAAUUAUUUCAUUGUGCUUCAAAUACUUUUCAGAACUUUUGGUCGGAAAAGCCAUCCAUUUCUCAAUAGCUUCUGUUUUGAGAGGUGCAUUCGUGUCAAUCUCAGAUGUCACGGAGGUUUCGUUCCUAUCACGUGCCAUCGCUUUUGAUGAGUUUGAUAUCAUUAUUCGAUCACCGGUGCCCAAGUAAGAUACUUGGGCUGAAAUGCAAUAAAUUUUUUAUGCGGAUUCAAGUUCUCGAAGUAGAAGCCCUGCAGGUGCAUCAGGACCAAGAAAACCAUCAGCUUUCUUGCAAGUAGUUGUAACUUGACAUGGUAAUUUACCAGUCAAAAUAAGUCAGAACAAGCCAAAGAUCCAAUCUGAGCAAACUGCUUUGGGCUGAAGUGUAAAAUGUAGAUCGACAGCAGAAAAUCUGACCCAGAAAUUAUAAAAGCAUAUGUGAAAUUCUGGCAAAAAGAGAAAAUAAUAAGCCGGAAUGAAAAUUGUUGGGGUCAAGAACUCCAGUCCUCUAAACUAAGAUAUUGCUCUGACACGAGAACCAAAGACAAAAAAACAAAGACCUUAUCAGACACGUACCUCUUCCCGUUCAUAAGGAGAAGAAGAAGGAGAAUUUAUAUGAGAACAGAAGCAAUAUAUAAUAUUGAACCACGAUAUUCGAAGGCUCUUGAUAGUCGAAUACCUUUUUAAACAAAAAGACAAUUCGGAAGUUUACCGCCACUUUGAGAGAAUUUAUUCACGAAUUCCGUACAGAACGAGAUCACGCGCAAGAAUCACACAACAGUUUCUCCAAUUGAUUUCAGCGAAGGCGGGAAAAGCAAAGAAGCAGAGAAAGAGGAGAACAAGAUUAGUUACCUUUCCUUUGAAAGUUAAGAGAAACUGGGCCGCAGCGGCAUACGCCUUCAGCUGUUCUCUGCAGUGCUCAUUCACACACAGUCUCAGAGAAGGAAAGCCAAAAAGAAAAGAAAGGAGGAGAAGGAAGGCCCUUCCUGUAUCACUUCAACCACCUCUCUCGCGCACCGAGAACGAAGACGCCAAUCUCGGCCGUCGGUUCGGUUCUCUCCUACUUAACCCAUUUUCUUGAAGUCGUGUGUACCUGGGGACACAGGACUGCAGGAGACGCCCCGGACGCGUGAUCUUUUUCUGUGGCCUCUUCUUUUUUUCUUUUUUUCUUUUUUCUUUCUUUUUUCCGUUUUUUUGUAAGGCCGGGCGAAUUUAGCCGUUAUCCUAUUUUCCCUCUUUUCGUACGCCUGUGGUGCGGAGCGGCUCAGUCGAGAGAGGAGAAGAGCUCUGUAUAAUACUGGCUGUACCAAUUUGAUACAUACGUGUCUUCAGCCGAAUGAGGCUGCACCUAUCUCGUUCGAUUACGGAUGCAGAGAAUAAUGGAUCGGUCAGUUGGUAUUAGACGUAGAAAAGUACCCGAUCUGUGUGACCAAUCAGCACCAGCCCUGGCGCAUUUAUAUUGCUUUCUUUAGAUAGCGCACGUCUGCUUGCAACGACUGAGCUUGUGCGCCGGUAGUCGGACUAAAAAAUUAUUUUAGAAAUAAUAGAUGUGUAAGGCAUUUUCACUUGGUCUUCAGGUUUGGGCCAUGAAUUGGAAUUCAGAGUACAGCAAUAAGGUUCUAAACUUUCUGAAUUGGGUAGCCUAAGGACUACUCAAAAAAUAAAAUACAAAAAUAAAAAAACCAAUCUGAACUAUAGAUCGUUGUGAAUCUACUAUCAAAAUUUUUUAAAUUUUAAUUUUAUUAUACAACCUUUCAAUUUAUUUGUUUUGAGUCAGUUAAUAAUACUUUAACUUUAGUAUUUAAAUGUAUUAUUUAUCUCACGACUAAAAAAAAUUAGAUGCAACAUACUAAUUACGUUUAUAAAGAUAAAUAAUAUAUUCAAAUAUCAAAGCUAUAGCGUUGUUGACUGACUUUAAAUAAUUAAAAUAUUAAAUAAUAAAAUCUAAAUUUAGAACGACGGAAUAGUUGAAUCAAAAUAAUUUAUAAUUUAACUAAGUUUUACACAUCUUUAGAAGUAGUUUACUGAUCCGUAGAAUUAACGCCGCACUGCCGCCGCACUGCCACAUAUGGUGUAAAGACGUUGAUUAGUUUUAUAUAGACAGUGCAAUCCGCUCUGUAGAUUUACCAAUUGAUAGACUGUGCAUAUAGAAGGAACAUUUCCUGGACGACCAAAAUAUUUGAUUAAAAAAAUAUAUUAUAUUCACUUUUAAUAAAAGGCGGGAGACGGUACAUCUAUGUGAGUAAACAAUAUUAUUUUUAUUUUUAAUAAUAUAUUCAUUUUUUAAUGAAUGAAAUAGAUAGUAUGAUAUUCUUUUGUCAAAAAAAUAUUAUGUUCACUUUUUAUUUCUUUGAACUAUCGAUAUUCAAGAUUUCUACAAAUAUUUGAACACUACAAUUCUCGUUAUUUAAAUUAUACUUAUAUAGAUUCAAAAAUAAUUAUAUCAUGACCGAAAAGAAAAACAAUUGGCAUAUUGACAACUGACAUAAGAUUCUUUGUAAGCGCCAGCAAUAAUAACUUUUUGGGUUUAAAUCACCGACCCAAAAUGCUUAAAACUAGUUAUUAGUUAUUAUUACUAAUGUACAAGGCUUCAUAUAAUUCAAUAAAAAUUACUUUUUCAUCGGGUCUAAUCAGAUCACAGAUGCAAAUCAAAAUUAUUAGACAAUAUGAGAUUCUAGUGGUGGAUCCCAUUAAACUUGUUGGUGGUCCACCAAACUCGUUGGUGGCCCAAACAAGAUCACAGAUAUAGACCAAAAUUAUCCGACAAUAUAAAAUUUUAGAGGUAGAUCCCACAAAACUAGUUAGUGUAACACUUUGUCCCGCAUAAUAAUUAGCUCUCACACUUUCGACUUGUAAUCUAGCUUUGAUACCAUUUAUAACGACCUGAUCAGCUAGCAAUAAUAACUUGUUAGGUACAAACCACCGACGCAAAUUGUAUGACGCUCUAACUUCCCAAAGAACACUCAUCCUAUGACUACUCCCGUCCUAACACGCUUAACUCUUUUAAUCUCUUGGGACUAACUACCACCCAAAAUAUUUAAGUCGGAUUAAAAGUUUUAACCUUAUUAUAUCUUAUAUAUAGAACUAUCUGAAAUCUCACAAAAUAUUUAAACUCAAUUAUUAUUACUAGCGUGCAAAAUUUUAUAUAAUUCAAUCAGAAUUAUUUUUUCAACUAAUGUGGGACCAUUGGGGCUUACAAUAUAUAUAUAUAUACUCUAUGGUAGAAUAUACCUGUAAUAUUUUUUUAUAUAACAUAUUUUCGUUUAUACGCACCUAAUUCUUUCAUGGUACAAACAAAUGAGAGCAGCUUUUUCCUUUGUGCAAUUAGAAAGAGAGAAAAAAUAAUGAGCAAUGCUCCUAUGCACCGAAAAAAUCUCAAUCAUUAAAAUUUUUUAAAUGGACGGUAACGAUAGAUCUAUUAAAAGAGAGUGACCGGCACUUGGAGGUAUAGGUACCGAUCACCACUUUAAUAAGGGCAAAUUUUUUUUUUAUUACUAGAGUUUGCAAUGAGGGCAUUUUGGUAAAUUUUCAUCCUCAUAACAUGCUAUUUUUAUAAAUUUAGAAUAUUCCACCUUCCUUCAUUCUUAUCCUCCAAUAUUCCAUCUAUGAAUUAUUACUUUUCCUAAAUUAAACCUCAUGUCUUUAAACCAUAGUUAGUUAAUUCGAAUACGAUAAAAAUUCGAUACGGAUAAAAUAAGAAUAAAAUUUAUAUCUUAAUUUUUAAGUUCGUUGAAAAAUACGGUUUAAAAAUUAGAUUCGCCAAUAAUUCGUAUACGCGAUUUAUACGAAAAUUUUAUGUUUCUCAUUUAAAAAUUCGGAAUAAAAAUUUGUUUAUUUAAUUAAAAUUUUUUAGAUUUAUGCUAUUAUCAUGCAUAAAUAAUUAUAAUUCUUAUAAAAUAUAAAAAUAAAAUUGGAUACACACACACAAAGGGGGAGUGGAGCUAGAGGUCCACCGUGGACCUCUCACUCCACACAGUCCACGAGGCUGAGUGCAGCCUCGUGGACCGCGAUAUUUUCCUACACGUAGGCCGCGAUUUCUUCUUCCUCGCCGCUCCUCUUUUCCUUUUUUGCUUUAGAAUCAUUUAGUUUAAAUAGGUAACAAAUUUUAUUUUUUUUAACUAUAAUAUAAACUAAAUCUAAAUUUAAAAUUUAAUUUUAAUCAAUAUUUUUGAACUUUAAUGUUGUUUUUACUAUCGAAUGAACAAUUUGAAUUUAAUUUUAAAAAUAGAAGCCUUUAAUUUAAAUAAAUAAUAAAAGUUAUGUUUAUAAAUACAGCAUAAUUUACAAUUUAAAAUAAGUUAAUAUAUUUGAAAUUUCUUGUCAUUUUAAUAUCAAAUUAACAAUUUGAAUUGAAAUAUACUAUUCAUUUAAACAUAAAUUUUUUCGUUCUGAAAAUUAAAAUUAAAAUUAAAUUUGAAUUUAAUGUACACAAUUAUAAAGUUUAAGCUCAAAUUGAUUUUUAAAUUCAAUUUAUAAAGGUUUAUUACUUAUCAAAUUAGCACUAUCUAAUUUGGUAAGUAACAAAAUUAAACAAGGAAACAAAUAUUUGUAUAAGGUUGAUCAAAUUUGGUAAUUAAUUUGUAUUUUUUUUUUCCGAUAUUAUCCUUAUGAAUGGUAACAUGUUGAGCAGGUAACCACUAUACAAAAGUCAAUCUCGCCCUUAAAAUAUUAACGGUUAAAUUUAUUUUACCUGGUGUAUUGAAGCAUUCCUCAAAAAUAAUUCUGAGCAAAAUUGCAUUUUCGCUUCUUAAAAUGUGAGGUGGCACUAAUAAUUAGUCUCUGUCUUCUCAACUUUUUAAAUUCUAAAAAUUUAAAAAAUUCUUUAAAUUUCAAGAUGAGAGAGUGUAUUCGAUACUCCGUUUUUUGGAAUGUACAAAUGGCUUAUCUCUAGCAUUACCAUCUGCAUUAAUUAAAUAGCUCUCUUUUUAAUCUAAUUGGUUUUCUUUGAUUUCCUUUUUGUUUUUCCCUCUUCUCCUUAUCCUUAUUUGUAUGAUCACUCCGCCUGGCGAAAUACUGAAAAGGUCAUAAAUCUGUACGAACAGAGGGACAUGUUGGCGUUAAUAAGAACGGACCGUGCCAGAUGGAACAGAUAUUCGUUUGGGUUUUGGGAGCUACCGCGACCGAUACCGCAGGGUAUGGAAGAGUUGGGCGGCGCGGAGCAUAGAUGGAUGUGGCUCUUUCAACCGUCGCAUAAAAAAGGACUCGUACGUGGACGAGGCAUCGCCAAGCGGCCGCGGCCGGAGCCACAGCCACACGGGUCGUUGCCGUGCCCACGUGACCAAGUGAAAAUGAUCAUAAUAAUAAUAUUCCUUUGCAGGAUCGAUGUCGACCCCCAACUUAAAUAGCUAAAAUUGUAGUUAACUUUCUACUCUAAUAAUGUUGGUUUAUAAAGUUGGUGCGGUAACAAGGCAGGACAAGCGGCUGGCCAACCCAAUAGAGCAAUAACUAUCUCAACACUGCUGUGGGUGGAUUUGGUCAAGGGAAUAAAUGUGACGGUGAAAAAUGUACAAGUAUCAAUAAGUGUUUGAUACUUUUAAAACCACCAUAGUCGGACUUUAAAUUUUUAUAAAAUCUAUAAUAAAAGAGGUAUAAGAUUUAUAACCAUGUAUAUACGUCUGCGUGUGUGUACACCCGAUGAUCCUGACACGCUCCGUUUCGUGCUUUCAAGUGACUUUCACCACUAAUGACGGAAAGCAUUUCCAAUUGACACUUGUGGAGAAUAUUGAGCCUCAUGACAUAGGCUAUUUCAAAACAAUACUUUUUUAGUUUAGAUCUUCUUAACUUUUAGUUAAAUCAUCAAUAAUUUUUAAAAUUAAAGUUUUGAUCAUUUUUCAACAUAUUAAUCAAAAAAAUUGAUGGCUAAUAGCUAAUAUAUUUAUUAAUUCUAACUUAAAUUAUUAGAAUAAUCCAUUUUCCAAAAAUUAGAACUUGAGUUCUCAUGCAUUCUUAUUGCUUCUUAAAAAAAACACUAAUUAUAUGUAAUUGGGUAUGGAUAUGCCAGGGAUAUGGAUAUGCCAGGGCUCGAAGUCAUUUUUAAUUAUUAUAUGGCAUAUAUACACGGCAUAUAUGGAUAUGGCCAAUUUGCAUAAAAAAUUUACUUAUUUUGGGCUUUUGCAAAACCGGACCACCUUUUUCGUUUUUGCAGAUUCGGUCCGCUUUUUCAUGCGCCUGACCAAAAUACCCUUAUUACUUUUUCUCUUUCCUCUUUCUCUCUCCUCUCUGUUUCUAUCGUUCUGUUUUUUUUUCNUCAAUAUAAGUUCUUUCUUCUCCCUCAAAUAAUUCCUAACAUGCAAAAUUAAAAGAGGAGAGGUUAGUUUUAUUUUCAUAAUUGAUGUGGCAGUUCUGACCAUUUCAUGCUCAAAUGGGUGCAAAAUCUUGCAAACUUCUAUGAAAUUUUUAUCGCCAUCGUCAUCAUGAUCGCAAUAUUAUCAUCUCCAUCUUCAUACGACCUUUGUAGAUUUUUUUAUUUAAAUGAUGAUUCUAGGCGGUUAUCAAUUUUCAAUGGUUAUAUUGGUUAGUUCAAUUCAUACAUUUAUCUACCCAAAAAAUAAAACAUACUUGAACUUUUAUUUUCCAAACUCCUUUCUUCGUCCUCUUCAAUAUUUUUUAUUUUUCUUCUAUUAUUUAUUCGUCGCAUCGCGCGGGUUACUAUACUAGUUAUAUAUAAUUGGGUAUGGAUAUGCCAGGGAUAUGGAUAUGCCAGGGCUCGAAGUCAUUUUUAAUUAUUAUAUGGCAUAUAUANAUUACACCAUUACACCAUUACCAUUACACUAUUACACCAUUACACCAUUACCAAUACACCAUUACACCAUUUACGCCAUUACACCAUUACACCAUUUGCCGACGGAGAAGAACACGCGCGAGUCUUUUUCAUUUUCUUCUUCUUUUUCAUUUUCUUUUUCUUCCUUCUGCGGAGGACCUCGACUCUCUCGAUCUCCGCUGACGGGGGCACCCCUUCCGCCGCCGCCUCGGCGGCGCGCGGCGGCACCGAUGGCGUCGUCGGACAAGGAGACGUUUUACACGCCGCAGCGCUCGGCGGAGUCGGCGUACAGCGACAGCCCCAGCAACCCCAUCUCGCGGCGGUGGUGUCGAAAGCUCGUCGGCGAUGGUGAGGGAGCUGCUCGAGGUGGUGCUCGCGCUGUUGAGCUCGGGCUUGGCCGCCGCCGACCUGCGCUGGUCGACGAGGCCGCGCAGGCCGCGGGCUGCGAAGAGCGGAGAAGCCGCGAAGCUCGGGGCCAGCUCCGCCACCACCGCCGCGUUGCUCCGCCGCAGCCACUCAUUCUCCUCCACCAAUGCCGUUGCUCCUCCUACGUUGGUGGCGGCGGCGGAGGCGGUAGGGGUGGGGCCGAGGACGAGGAGGCGAGGAGGAGAGGGGGAGUCGGUCUAGGGCUGGGGGUCCGCGGCGACGGGAUCGAAGAAAGGAGAGAGAAAAAAAAGAGGAGAGAGAAAAAUAUAUAAGGGUAUUUUGGUCAGUUUGCUGAAAAAGUGGACCGAAUCUGCAAAAACGAAAAAGGUGGCCCGAUUUUGCAAAAACCCAAAAUAAGUGGAUUUUUUAUACAAAUACCACUUUAAUCUGUCACGCCCCGGAGUCCCUUUUAGUUUAAAACAUAACGGAAAAGUGUCUGAAUUUUUUUUUUUAAAAAAUCUGACCCCAGAGUAUGUCAGAUCCGCCACAAACACAAGGAAUCCACUGUGCACACGGACAGAGUCUUUCCUGUAUUUGCACGGCGUCGCACAAGUACAAGAAGCAAUCCAGAUACAACCACAACCAAAUGAACAUACAAGUAACCAACAAUUAUAUAUUCAUACACCAUUCACAUCACAGGUUCACAUUUAUAUAUUCAAUAUUUAAAUAUAAAUUCACAUCUAUCAGUUAAAAUGUUUCCAACUCAGAAACAGAUUUUAAAAUACUAAGAUACAAAAUCUACAGAAAUUUUUUUGAAAACUGUUCCCGUGUAUAUACACGACCGGCCCAUUCCUGGAUUCCAAUCAAUCCCACCCGUUGCGUGUGUAAAAUAAAUCGAAAUCGUAGAAUUAACUAGCUGGUCCGAUGAUAUUUAUUGUUUCUAGAAGGGGCUGCAGUUCUAGAUAAAUCUAACUGGUCAAAUAGACUCGCCCAAUCGGUAAUUACCUACAAGAUCUAGCGAUCAGCUAUGGGCGACGCUAAGGCAACAGAUGGAGGAGCAACAGAAGAUGAACGUCCUCGCCUCGUUUCCGGCUAUGUGGUGCUCAAUUAGGAUUUAAAGAAAUAGCAUCAUCUUUAAGAAUACAAUCUUGAUUUUUUCUCAAAAAGAGGUCAAUAUGAGCUCAAACCCACUUCGAGUAUAUAAGAAUAUCGGUAUUACGCUGAGCUCAUGGGGUGAAUCUCGACGGUAAUGGAACUCUCUUUGUUCUCAGUUUCUUUUAGCUUCCAUCUUUUUUGACUUUGCAUUUUUCUUUUAUUUUUUAUGUUCUCAUGUGUUUCAAGGCUUUGUUUUUUUUUUUUUAGAGAUAGGUAGCAUGCGUCCGUUUUGUUUAUUUUUUAAAAAAAUAAAUUUAGCUGAAAAUGUGAAUCAACUAGAAUUCAAAUUUGAGACCUAGCUCGGAUAUCAAUCACCAAAUUCUUUACUGCUUGUCAUCUCAUGCAGUAAUAAAUGAGACGGAUGACUUGCCACCUUUCUCCCUUAAAGGAAAAGGAAAAGAAAAGAGUGAUCAAACUAAAAAGAUCUAUAGAUUUGCGUCAUUCUACAAUCCAUGAUUUUGAGCUUAGUCCACCUGAUUUAAUUGGAGAAGUCAGACAGGCACUCUACUUCAUUAAUGCGAGCACAACUACCAAAUUUAUUAACAAAGAAAGCAAUGUAAUUUGAAAAAUCCUCGCAUGUUGAGCGUCCAUUCUGUUUGCUCUCUAAUUCCAGUUAGAAGGGGGAAAGAAAAAAAAAAAAAAUCUCUCAGUAGACAAUUAAUUCGUAGCUUCGUCAUAUUUAUAUUGAAUCUCCACUUGAGAAAAGAUCAAUUCCAGCAUAAACUGGUAACUCACAAACGUAUGCAUCUCCUAAUUUUCAAAUUUUUAAUAUUACUUUUCAGAGGGAAAGCACGUUUGAUUAGUAGAAAAUAACGGAUCAUUAGAGGGGACGGUAAGAUAACUGCCGUCACAUUUCAGCUAAUACUAGUUUGAAUAGAUGUUAUAUAUAAUGGUGUAGUCUUGUUCGUUGAAUAUAUAUAUAUACACUCCCAGUUAUUUUAGGGAAGAUGACCUUGUGUGUAGAGCGAUUGAAUGCAAUCAUCAAACAUCUCCUCUAUCCCUUUGAACUUGAAGCCCAUAUACUGUAACUUUGAUGUAUCGAACUUAUAAUCCUGCUUCCCGUAGUGAGCCUCAAACCUGCACAGCCAUUUAUUUUUUGCCUAUUACUUUCAGUUAAAAUUAUAUUUUUGCUACUGUUAAAUGAACACUUUCACUGAAAAAUGAAAAAGAAAAAAAAAAUUGUAAAGCUUGUCUAUAUAAUUUAAUUAGUACUAAUCAGUGGUCUUUAGUUAAAACUCGGACGGACGGCCAUUUAGAAUUGAGGGAGUUAUAUAAUUAAAGUUAGGAUCUAUGGGCCGAAAUGUACAUAGAGGGGAAUCUCGAAAUACAAAAGCGACACAAAUCCGUCCAUUAUGGAAGUUUAAGCGAUUACUUGGUCUGCUCUGUACCUUGCUGGGAUUGGAAAGAAGGGAUAUCUUUUGGCAAGCAAGGCGGCUAAUUCGUGAUUAUCAAGGACGGUGGAGCUACAGAGAUAUCUUCCUCUGGCACUGCCAGUCUCGUACACUAGAAUGUGGCAGCGUGCGACAUCAUCGAUGUGAACAUACCCCAUUCUGCCGUACCAUGAGAAUCUCUCCGCCUCUCCUGCGGAAUUUGUAUUUCAUGCCAAACUCUUUAGUCACGUACUGCGCACAUGAAAGCUGUUAAAUUCCUUGUUAAUUCUAUAUAUAUAUGUUUUCACCGUCUGUGUUACGCACGGAAUUAAUAGCUACCUUCAGCUUAGAAAUAAAAAUACUAAUAAUAAUAAUAAUAAUAAUAAAUUUGAAGGAUGCUAUUUGUUGAAAUCGAAAUACCUUUAAGCAAGCCCAGGACGUGUGAAGCUGUGAAACAUAACUGGCGAGGUAAGCUAGGCCCAACCACAAACGACGGAAGAACAGUUACUAGGUCCAUGUUGUUCUCCCGAGCAAAUUCCCACGCUGCUUUCUCUGCUAACAUCUUCGCCAACGCAUACCACAACUUGGGCAUAUUACCACAAAAAGAAAAUAAUCUUAUAAGCACUAAUAUUCACAGGGGUUGGGGGUUCAACUCAGAGGCUGUUUAGUUGCAUAUAGUUGCAAUUGCACCAUAGUUGUAACUGCAUAUAAAUUUGAUGUUUGUUUAAUAUAUUUAACUGCAACUGCUAUAAUAAAAACUGUAGGAAGAGGUUCAACUGUAGCAGUUGAAACUACGCCCAAAUUGGCCGUAGUUCUAACUAUAACAGUUGGAGAGAAUAACUUUAAACAAAAGAUAACCUUACGUACCUCUUUAAAUAUUUUUUAAACAAAAAAUAAUUUUUUUUACAUUAAAGGUAAUCUCAUCAUCAUAUAUAUAUAAUAAUAAAAUUUAAAAAAUAUUUUCUCAACUGCAUGCAAUCAAACUAAUUAUUUAUAGUUGCAGCACUUUCUACUACCUCCAAUUAAAUAUAAUGCAUAUAGUUUUAACUACUACAUUUCCGACUGCAUACAUCUUCAACUAUACUGUAUUAAUAAUUAUAUCUAACCAAAUGGCUCUUUACUGUAGUAAACAACAGCUAGCUCUGCAGUUUUUAUGGUAUUGUGAAUUACCUGGAGCUUCUCGCAGAGUUCCACAGAGCUCCACGAUGUCUCAUCCAAUGGCAAAUUAGGGUCUAUAUCAUCUCUCGUCCUCACUGUUGACGAUGAUGAUGUAAGAACAACCCUUUUGAGAAAUGGAUUCUUUUUGCAGGAUCUUAACAAGUUUAGUGUACCAGUAAUGGCAGGAUCCAAGAUUUCAACCUGCCAUGAGAAAAUUUGAACAUCUAGAGAAACUGGAAAUAUUCUUGUUAUAUGCUCAGUAGUACCAUAUCCUAGGAUGAGCUGAAAAUAAUAUUAGGCAUCUAAAGCUUAGCUACUUGUUUUGGGUAACUUGAGCUAGAAGUUUUCGGAUCUUUGCGUCGGCCUAAUUUUGUUGAAUCAUGUCAAGUCAAGGAUAUCUUGAUCUAUCAAAGGUAAAGGGAAUUUCGAAGCAAACAAAAUGAUAACCACAUUAACAUUUUCUGUACAAAUUUUUCUCAAAAAAAAAAAAAAAACAUUUUCUGUACAAAUGCUAACCGCAUUCACUAAACAUGCUACGUAGCAAAAAAUGCAAAACCAUUAGUGCAUGUACGUAUUUUUUUUCUCAUCUCAUAAAUUAAUAAACUAUAUCAAAAAAGAAAAUAAAAUCGCUGCGUGUUUUAUAUAUGGUAGGGGGAAAAAGACAAACACAUAUAGUGUGUAAAGUGGCAUGCCUUAGGAUCCGAUCCGGCCACAUAGACGGGAGAUGCAGUGUGGAAGACUCCCUCACAACCCAUUACAGCGUUGUCAAAGCUUCCAUCUUCCAUGAGAUCGGCUUUCACCAGCCGAAGCCUCUCCCUUGCUCCUUCCAACUCCCAAAGGUGUGCCAAUUUCUUGCCAUCUCCUAUAGAGUAGUAUGUACAAAUUCUAUAGUCUCAUAUUAUUCCCGUCAAAACAUAAUAAUAAUAAUAAUAAUAAUAAUAAUAAUAAUAAUGACGACGACGACAGCAACAACAAUAGAGAAAUACGGAGUCGUAAAUUAAUUAAUAUUCAUGCAUAUGCCUGGGUCUCUCACUGUUCCCGUCACAUAAUAUCCAGACUCGAGGAGUCGCCUAAUAAGCCAAGAAGCAACAAAACCGGCAGCACCCGUCACGCACACUUUUCCUUUGGUGGCGGAAAAUUUCUCCAUUCUAUCCAAGCGUACCCUCGCGAAACUUCGGAUGCUAAUUAAGGAGCUUUCAUAUAUGCGUGAAUACACCAAAUCUUUAGAUCGAAUUAGCUUAAAUACUAGCAAGACAGGUAGGUCAUUCGUUUUACGUGGUGAAGACAAAUACAAAGAUUGGUGGAGAGUACGUAGACCAGAGAUCUAGCAUGUACGUCGUACAGUAGUUGGUAAAGUGUAGUUGAGGGUAUUUAAAAUAGUUUUAAACUUCAGAAAUAGUUGGCAAAGUUGCGAUCGAGUUCUAAUUGUACGGUUCCUGGGUAACAUUUCAUCUGAGAGGAGAUGGUCUCCCUAUAAAAAAUUCUGUGAGAAAAAUUUGUUGUGUCAUAAUGACUAUUAACUAAUAAAACAGAGAUCAUGAAAGAGCGAAGAAAUGGAGAGGGAAGAGGGAAGGGGUGGGAAAGAAAUUUAAAAUUAAUUAUUAAGCACUAAAUUAUUGUACUAAGAGCUUAACUUUUUAGGAAAAGACAGUUGCCUAAGAUUAUAUUAGAAGGUCCUUAAGAAUUCAUAAAUAUGUCACUAGUCUACAUGGUAAUUGGUCGGUUAAACAUGGAAUAAUUAAAUAUAAAACAAUUACAUCUAAUAUUUAUGUUUUAUCACAGGGGAAAAAAUUAAGAGGUUCUGAUUUCAGAAAAAAUUCUCUUAGCAAGAUAUAAAAAUAAGAAAGGAGAUGUUUUUUUAGAUUUUUUAUUUUUGAGAGAAGAAUAGACACGCUGCCCGCUUCAUUCAUCAAAAAUAUGAAUUAAACUACAAAAGGGCCUGAGAAAAGAAAAAUUAACAAAAAAAAAUCAGCAAUUAAAAGGAACAAAAAUAAAAUCGAACAUAAGAAGAAGCCCGAACAAAACGAACCGGAUCACUUUAUGACAAGAGUCGUCUGUCACCGGACGCCACCUCCCACUGCCUUGCCAGAGCACUAAUCCUACCAACUGCCAUCAGAGGAUCAGCAUUGAGACCCUUGAAAAUCACUUUAUUUUCUUCCGUCCAAAUAAUCCCAUCUGCAGUGCUGCUAACUUGCAUAAUCUCAACGAUCCUUCCCAAGCUGGUCCUCACCAUGACGUCAUUUCCCAAACUUCACUGACAUCGUCUCCAAAUAACUGUUCUAUUCUCCCACUCCAAACAUUACCAAAAUAAAAAUCUUUGGUGGAUGAGUGAUCUAAUGUCUGAAAUGAGGACCCGCAGAGUAAGCCAUUCCGACUACUACCUCCCUUAAUUCACAGGAUCUAGAAUUAGGAUCGGCAAAGUACACUGCUUUUCGUUUACAACUGAAAUGUCGGUGAGUUUGCUAGGAUCUUUCUUUUCUUCUUAUAAUUUGUCGAAUAAAAUAGAUAAAAAUACUUUAUGCUGUAGUGGCAGAUUAUUAUAUUAUAAUAAUUUAUAACUAAAGACCGGCCGCAUACAUUUAAACCUUCAAUAAAUUUUGUUUCUUUUCGUUUUAACCUUGUCUUCUUUUUCUUUUUUUUUGUUAAUAUCCAGUUUUGUCAUGUGACAAUUUUUUUAUAAGAAUCGAAUUAAUGCAAUCUCUACUACAUUGUAAAAUGCAUUUUUAAAAUUUUGAAUUUAAAAUUUUAUUUAUUGAAUGUGUCCUAUAAUAUUUAUAAAGACUAUAUAGAAAUAUUAUUAAUUUUAUACUCUUAUUUCUUAUAAAAAAUUUGUAAAUUGUGUUUUCUUUUAUAUCAUUAAUUUCAAAGUUAUUUGAAGUAACUGAUGAUUUUCUAAAUUAAUAUUUUAUAUAUAUUAAUUUUUAAAGUAUUGUGAUAACACCAAUCAAAAUAAAAUUUGAUUUUAUAACUAUAAAACCAUAUGGCGGCCCCCUCAAACUAUAGGGUAUAUUUUCAAAAAACUCCGUCAACUUUCAUUUUUUAUUAAUUUUUUAAAAUUUCAAUUUUUAAUUAAAUUAGUAUAAUUAUUUUAGCUAAAAAAUUCAAUUAAAUUUAUUAGUUCUAUUAGCUAUACUAGCUAAUUGCAUCUGUCUGAAAUAAGUUUAAAAAUUUAGUUAUAAAGUUAAAGUUUAAGGACGUAUUUCAGGUUUGCAAAUUGGUGAGGGUUGUUGAAAGGGAAGAAACUAUUCCACCUCUAUUUUACAUACCACCUAGUAUUUCACUAUUAAUCCUUUAAAAUUAAAAUAGUAUUUUGAUAGAUAGGAUUUAUUAAAUUUAAAUAACUUAUGUAUAGAAAAAGAUAUGUAUAAUGUUUAAAUAACUUACACAUACAAAAAGAACUUUAUAUUAUAGAAGCUUGUAUUUAUGCAUCAGUAGUUUCAAAAUUCAACACAAAAUAAUUCAUUAUUAUUUUAAUUUGUAAAAAAAUUAAUAUUCAAAAUAUUUUAUAUUUAAUUAUAAGCUUUUAAUAUUAUAAAGUAUAUUGAAUUAAUAAAUUAUGGUUUUGAGAUAUCUAUUAUAUAUAUUUAUAUAUGUAUGUGCAUAAAUCUACUAAUAUGCCACAUGCUGCCGAUAAUAAUUUUCAGAAAAGAAAGAGGAGAAAAAAUCACUGCUUGCACGCAACGUAUGUAGAGUCUGCAUAAAUUGUACUUUAUUAUAUUAAAUGAUUGAUAUUUAAAAACUUAAAUUUAAUUAUAUAUACAUGAUCAAGAUUAUCUAAAAAAUUUAAACUAUAUUUAAUAAAUUAUUUUUUUAAAAAAAUUAUUAUAAAUUUUAUUUUAGAUAUUUUUUUGAGAGAGAGAAUUUUUAUUUUAGAUAUGAUAGUGUAAGCAUGCCUACGCAUCCUGUGCGAAGAAAGAAAAUCUCGCCGUAGGCACGAAAUGCCGAGCCAGUAUCUGAGAUUCGGAUGGACUAGCGAUCGCGGGAUUGAGGUUCGGGUUGGAUCCACGUCCAAAGGAAGGUUUGGUCCGAAAACCUGCUUGCUUGGCUUCAGCAGUCCGGAUGGGGUUGCAUCGCUUCCAUAGUUCCAUCCAAAAUGCAAGUUGCAGCAGGGUCGUCGGCCCUCUUCUCCGCCGCCAAACCCCCAUCAUCGCUUCGUCGCGCGAGAGUGAGGCUGACGUCGUCGCAGUACACCCCCGCAUCCGCCCCGACCUCCAAAUCGAAGGAGUCGUCCAUGGCCGCCAAGUGGGCUCAGAAGACCGUCGUCAUCCCUCCCCAGCGUCGCGGCUGUCAUCUCGUUACUUCCAACGUUUGUCACCGGGCGCUCCUCUUUUCUACUUUGCAGACAAUACAACUACUAAUAAUAAUAAUAAUAAUUCCUCUUCUAACUAAUGCUAUGCUCGCUGGCGAUUCGAUUUUUAUCAGAUACUGAGGGAGAUCGAGCAGGACCUCUCGGGCUUCAAAUGCGGACUGGCUCAUCUUUUCUGUAAGUGCCCAUCUUGUUUUCUGUAUGUAUGUAAGUUUUAAUUGAACAGCUCAGAUGGAUUGGGGCUGGGGAGUCCCUCUGAGAUCAUACUGCGUUUACAGUGCAGCAUACAAGCGCCUCCUUGACCAUAAACGAGAAUUACGACGCGGAUGUUCAGGAUGACACUGAAACCUUUCUCAACCGGAUCGUCCCUGAGGUAAUGGAAUCGACACCCUUUUUUGUUCUUCUUUCUACAUUAUUAGAUUGUUAAUGACAUAUGAUAAAAAGCUCCUUUUUUUGUGCUCUUAUAUGUCUGCAGGGCCGAUCUGCACCCUGGAAGCACACAUUGGAAGGUUAGGGACGUUGUAAAUCCCUUUGUUAUGUGGUCUAUUUUUUUUUUUUUUAACUUUUUUUAUACAUGCUAAUUUUGAUUCGACUACUUUUUAGACAUAAUCAUUCUUUUCCUUGAACUCAUUUAUUAUGUUCUGCUCAUCAAUUGAUGCUUAUUUUUCUUUAUCUUGGUUUUUUGUUUGUCUAAAUGCUUCUUUCUGUAAUGCGAACUACACAAUAGCAGUCUGGAUAUUUUGCAUGAAACACAUAUAUUCAACAAUAGUAGUAUUUUUUUUAGCUGUUCCAAUCCAUCAUAUUUUAAUUAGUACAUAAGCUACAGUAUAUAGCAUAGAUGUUAAACUUGGCGACAGUAUAAAGAUUGGCUAUAUGUGCCCUCAUACUACACUUUUUUUUCGCUACACUAUUACAAGCACUGGAUUUUAUCAUCAACUCUUUAAACUUGUAGUUGGAAGGUGGCGUACUGUUUUGCCAGGAUAUUAGAUGUUCUGGAAUCAUUUGAUUGUAGGGUGGACGAUAUGUCAAUUUUUUAUUGCUAGUUGCAUAAUAAGCAAAAGAGAAAAAGUGAGACUGCAUCAUCAUGAAGAAUUAAGAGGGUGCCGAUGAUAGGACUUUGGUCUGUCUCCCUUUUUGAUCCUAUCAACACACGUCUCUCGCAAGUAUUUGUGUUUGCUAACUUUUGAACAUUAUAAAAAGUGAGACUACCUUACCACAAAGACACAAAGACUUAAGAGGAUGCUGACAAUAGACUUUGCUAUGUCAUAAUUGGCACUUUUUUUAUGUUUUGGUAGCUUCCCUUGUGUGAUCCUAGCUGCAUAGGUCUCAUCAGUAUUGGUAUUUGCCAAAUUCUGAACAUUAUUUCCGGGGAGAGGCGCUGAAAGCUACUGUUCUUUCUGCUUAAAAGCUUCAUAUUUGGCAGUGAGCAGUAAAAGUUCCAAACUGGUAGUUAUAUCCGUCACAUUAGGCUUUUGUAUAUUUGUAAUAUGGUUAUGCUGGAUUUAGUAGUUCUUCUGAAUUUCUAUGGAAGUUUCUCUUGGAAUUAUGUGAGGUCAUUAUUUUCAUCUCUUGCAUUCAAAGCGCGUUAGGGUGAUGAAUUGUUUUCUACAAUUUUAGAAUUCGUCACUACGGAUAACAAAGAGACCUUCUCUUUUGUUCCUCUCUUGAAAGUCCAACAAUUGAUAGAUGCUAGUAGAUUAUUCAUCGUCUGUUAGAAGUAAUUGAUUCUUCCAAUCCAUUCAAAGGGUGACCUUCUGUUUAAUUGCUGUUAUAGAUCAGGCUAAGCCUGGCAUGUUUUAGUUCCAAAGGCUUGGAAUAGCCUAGAACCCAUUCACUUAUCUUUUGCCAUAGCCCAACUAGAUCUAGGUUUUAUGCCAGAUCAAGGUGGGUUGAGCUGCAAAGGUUUUAAAUGUUGUUCGACCCAAAAUUUUCAAGUGUUUUCUGCUUAUAUCAAGCCAGGGUUACUAAAACUGGCCAAAGCUUGAUACUUUUCAGAUAAAGUAGACAGAGCAGUCUGCUUGCUAUUUCAACUUGUCUUUUCUAUGCCCUACGUCUUGCAUAUUGGUGUUCAAUUUUGCAUUGUGAUUUAUGGAUGUAAUUUUGUUUUUGCUGUUUUUUAUUGUUUUUUGUCGAUUCUUUGGUUGCCCAAUUAUUCUGCUUCAAAUGUUGUGGUUUAAACUAUCUAUGAAAUUUUAGUUUAUUCCUUUUCUUUCUUCGAUUCGCUCCCUAAAACCAUUGUACAGGACCUGAUGGACUUUCUGUGGGCUUCACGGCCUUGAACUUCUGUUUCACUUAAUAGUUGGGUUAUCAUUUUGCAGGACCUGAUGAUAUGCCAGCACAUAUCAAAUCAUCAAUAUUCGGUUGUUCCCUUAUGUAUGUAUUGUGUUUUUUUUUCCUUUCGCAAUAUGCAAUUAUUUUCACAAUCUUCAACUAGUAGGAAUGCCCUCUUCAGGAUUCCGAUUACUGAUGGCCAUCUCAACAUGGGCACCUGGCAGGUGAUGAAAUAUUUGUUAUCUUGUUUACCAAAUGAAAUGUGCUUUGCAUGCUGCCUUUUUGUUUUUGUUUUACCUAAUACCACUUUAAGAAUGAACUUCUAAUAGUCUAGUUGUUGUUUUGUUAGAGACUUUGUAUGCGGUUUUUGUUCACGAAUAGAGAAAAGAACUUGAGUAAUUGCAUCUUCUUUGUUUCCUUGCUUAGGAAAAGAAAAGUUUUCAAACAAAAAGACUGAUGGAAGUAAAGAAUAAUAUUCCUAGUUUUCUAACCGAAUCAAUAGUUGAUGGCAACCUAUGUCUGUGAUUGACAUAAAUGAUAAAGGAGCAACCUUAGGAAAUAUAUUUAAGAACAAAUAACAAUACCAACCAUACCUGGUACCUAUGGCCUUCGGUUAGAAACAGCAGUUACAGCACAAUAUAGUUUUCUGUUUCAAAGCAACCAUGGAAUGUUCUUAUUAUCUUGUACUUUGUGUUUCUCUUUGUUCAGGGAAUAUGGCUGUGUGAGCAUCGUGACCAUGCUACUGCUCGCAAGAUUGUCAUUACUCUUAAUGGGAUAUAGGUUCUACUACAGUUUUGAAAAUGAAAAUUAACCAUCACACAACAAUCCGGUAUUUUGUAUUUAAAUUAGGGCUGCUCUUUACCCUAAUGUAUUUAUACUGUAAGCUUAUUUGCUGUCUCUUUGUUGUGUGGUAAAAAAAGGGAUUCAGUCUUGCAUCUCGUGCCUAAUCAAGUAAUGUUGCACGUCAAAAGUGAAAUCAUACACUGCAUAUAGUAUCCUAAAAGAGAAGGAUACAGUCAUACUGGGUUUCAUUAUGGAGAUCUCAGUUUCGCAGAUUGGUGGUGCUAACUCGUCCCGAGUGGGUAACAGCAGUUAGUGAUCCAGUAUGGUAGGCGAUUCUACGCUUGACCAGAAUCUUUCUAUUUAACAUUGGGGUUAUCAUGUAUAGAAGGCCACGUUAGCAACUGGUAAUGCUAAUUUUAUCGCAUUUGUAUUUUUUAAUAUGAAAAACUUGAAAGUUGUCUAAACUUUUGAAUUCGGUUCGAUGUAAGAGCUAUAGCUAACUUUGUAGGUGUACAAGUAGAUUACUAUGGCCGGUUGAUUGGAAGUAAGGUCGUAAAUCGGAUCGGAUGGGUUCAAGAGGCAAAGUUUGGGCAGAAUCGUGGCCUAGCAUGGGGUGUUGCAGCCUUGUCAGCUCUAAACCCGUGGGCUAUGUUGAGCCUUGAGCCUACCCUUUAGUGUGACACGAUAUGGUCCGCAGCGGGCACGGGCCAUGCCACGCCUAGGGGGCAAGGGCCAUGCCAUUCCUACGGGUCAAACCACAGUCCCGCGCAGGCAGGACCGAGGUCAGGAUCACUUUUCCUAAGAUCAUAGCCUGGUGCCAGGCCUUUCUUCUAAGGGACUGCCUUAGCAGAAACAGCGAGCUAGGUAUUGGACAAUAAAAAUGAUUGUUGGAGAAGACAUUCUAGUCCAAGUAUUCUAAAUUUUAAAUUUUUAAUUUAAAAAUUGUAACAAAUUUAAAAUAAUUUAUAUGUUAAAAAUAAUUUAACUGCUGAAAAUUGUCUUUUAUUUUUUUAAUUUUAGGAUAUUUUUAAAACUUUUAAAAAAAAGGAGCAUGCAUCCAGCCAGCUCCGGUCGAAGCCAGGGGUUGUGCUCGGCUGCUGGCCCGGAAAGUUAGGUUGUGCCAAGCUGGGCCGUCAUCUGGCCCAUUUCGUCCCGCCCACGUUACAUCUCUAGUUGGAAAGGCGGGAAGAGCUAUCAUUCUCCUAAAAGCAGGCCUACAGCUGCAUGAUUUAUCUUCCCGGAUCUCCCUUCCCCUCUUCAUUCUCACUCCUCUGGUCUGUUACUUACCUGUGGACUUGAUCGUCCACUAGAUGGCUUCCGAGGAGGGCAGAGGUGAGGAGUCAAAUGGAUCUCUCUUCGAGGAGAUGGUUGUCGCCAUCAGCACUGCCACCGCCACCAAAUGGGAACAUGCUCUCCAAUCUCACCCUCCAAAUGCAAAAUUAGGUAGCGUUUGGUUGGGGAACAAGGGGGGGAAUAAGCCCUUGUUCCCCCUUUGUUCCCAAACGUUAUGUUUGGCUCCCGGAAACAGUAGUUUCCGAAAAUCUGGAAUUAGCUGGAAUAAGGCUGGAACUGCUGUUCCACCCGUUUCCUGGAACAAACUUGUUCCUUGAUGAGAACAAGAUUAAUUAAAAUCUAAAUUUAAUUUUAAUAACAGUAAAUUAUUAAUUAAUCUAAUUAAUAUAUUUAAAUUAUUAUUUAUUAUUUUAAUAAUUAAAUAAUUUAUUAUUUAUAAUUAAUUAUUAAUAAUUAGAUAAUUAUUAUUAUUAAUUUUUUAUUAAUAAUUAUUAAUAAUUAUUAUUCUUAAUGAUAAUCGAUAUUAUUAUUAAUAUAUUAUUUAUAAUUAAUAAUUAAUAAUUAAUAUUAUUAUUUAUUAAUAAUUAAUUAAUAAUUAUUAUUCUUAAUAAUUAGAUAAUCGAUGUUAUUAUUAAUUUAUUAUUUAUAAUUAAUUAUUAAUAAUUAUUAUUAUUAUUUAUUAAUAAAUAUUAAUAUUAAUUAUUAUUAAUAAUUAGAUAAUCAAUAUUAUUAAUAAUUUAUUAUUUAUAAUUAAUUAAUAAGAAUAAUUAAUAAUUAUUAUUAUUUAUUAAUAAUUAAUAAUAAUAAUUAUUAUUAUUAAUUAGAUAAUCGUUAUUAAUAAUUUAUUAUUUAUAAUUAAUUAUUAUUAUUAAUUAUUAUUUAUAAUUAAUUAUUAAUAAUUAAUUUUUUAUUUAUUUUUAAGUAAUAUUUUUAUAUUAAUUAAUUACAUAAUAUAAUUUUAAUUUCAAAUUAUAACGUUUAUUCCUCUUGUUCCAAUCUAAUCAUCCAAACACUAUUUACCUUAUUCCUAGGACAACCCAAUUUUUAUCCAAACACAAAAUUGGUCUAGUUCCUGCUUAUACCUCAACUUGUACCUAUCCCUAGAACUAACAGUUCUUACUUAUACCUAGGGUUUUAGUGUUCAGGUUUAGGACCGAAGGCUUUAGGGUUUAAAGGUUCAGAGUCUGGGCUUUAUAGGGUAUGGAGUUUAGGGUUUGAGGGUUUUAAGUGUUUAGGAUAUAGGGCUUAGUGUUCAGGGGAGUUAGUGUUUAGGGUUUUAGGGAUUGGGUUUAGGGGGAAAGGAGAAUUCAUAGUAUUAAAAUAGAAAUAUGUGAAGGUUUCUGACAAAUUCCAAACUUACAAAGAUAUACCAUUCGUAACAAUUCAAAAUGUUAUGUGAAAAUAUAGCAAAUUAAGAUUUAAACACAAAACACCGACCGUCCCUAGAGCAAGUGGCAAAUGGCUGGUGGUUGGUACCCGAGAUCCCAAGUUCGAAUCCUAAUUGAUUCACAUUUCCAGCUAAGUUUAUUUCUAAAUGCAAUAAACGAAGCGAAGCAACCUAUCUCUCAAAAAAAAAAAAAAAAUUUAAACAUACGACAAAUUUUGUUUUAUUGAUCCACCACCCACACUACUCAUAAAAGUUGUAUCAUGACUUCGAGAGAUUUGAAGAAGAAAAUACUAGAAACUAUUACAUGAUAACAUAAGUUUCUACCAAAUAACAGAAAGGCAAAAAUAUAACCGUAACAUCAGUUCUGAAGUAUUGCCAUAAUAAUGAAUGGUUAAAUCAUUUCUGUAUAAAGAUCAUAAACCUAAAAUCAUGACUGCUAUACAUGUUGUGCAUAAUUUGGCAGAAUUGUAGGAAUAUUUGAAAGUAGUCUGUAUUUCUAUUGCUAUUUGCUGUGAAGUAAAAAGAGCAGUCCCUGUUCUGGAGAAUUAGCUUGUGUUAACAAAUCUUGUAGAGUGCUGCGAAAAGAAUAUGUAGGUAUGUUCUACGAAAGUAAAAUGACUAUGAACUUACCUAUAUAGCUAGAAGUUAUUGCCUUUCAAAUCCCAAUAACUAGUGACCUGCCUGAAGAUUUCAAGCUGAAUAAGGCUGAAACCAAGUCUCAACUCUAUAUAACAUGGUUUCAUUCUUCUCUGAUCCAAAAUAAAACCCAUGAAAAUCUCCAUCUUUAAUUAAAGACAACAAUUCCUGAAGUUUAAGCAACGUCAGCACAAAAUAAGAUCGACAUUCAAUCCAAUUGGAAAAAUAUAAAAGCUGUGAUAUCUGGCCAAGUUAUUAGUCUAUCAUCUCCAUAGCAAUAUAGUCAUAUGGUUGGAAACACACAUAACUAAAAAAAAGAAAAACACUCACAAAACUAAAAAUAAAUAGAAAAACUGUUAGAGCAAAAGUGAUACAUUCCAUUACUUUUGAUGGAACCACAACAAAACAAACACAAAAAUACUUUGCUAAAAUCACAUUUCAGACCAAAUGAAUAUCUAGCAUAACCCACAAUGAGAACAAAGUCAAUCCUUUAUCUUCCACUAAGAAAUGCGCUUCUUUUAGAACUUUCCACUUCCACUCUACUAGACAUCAGAAAGUACCUUUCUCGCUCUUGAAAUGCUGUGAUUUGGUGUAAAUAAGACACAAAGUUAUAUCUCAAGACUUUUAUCUCAAGGAACUACUAUUCAAAAGUAUCAAUAAUAUACACUAACCAUUAUCAAUUGUGAAGCAUUUACUCUUAAAUGUUAGGAAGUCUAACUAACCUAUAUCAGUGAUUUAUCUUAAUCAUGUAAGAACAAAGAGAAAGGCUUGGCUAUAAUGAAGAAGGAAACCAAACCUUUUCAGUUAUUUUCUAAAAUAACAUAGAAGAUAGCGGCCAGAGGAGACUUAGAAGACAUAGGAAUAUAUAUAUAUAUAGAGAGAGAGAGAGUUGAGCUGGAAUGUUAUCGGUAGCAAACGGGCUCCGUUGCCACCCAUUUGUUUUCGAUGAUUGAGCCUCUAAAUCGACGAUCAGUAUCGUUGAACAUGAUCUAUACCACUUAAAGUGUCUAGAAACCAAAUUUCAAAUCUUUUCGACACCAUUAGCUUAAUAAUCAAAGGGUUUCAAAUUUUAUAAUUUUAAUGGUCGAUAUAAGACGUUUUCUCGUUUAACAGUGUAAAGAUAUCCAAAUCAAUUGAAUUUUGGUUAGAAAAUUCUUUAAACUAUUUAGAACAAGCUCUAUACUUUUGAUCUUGAUUACAAGACUCCUAUCAUCACCUUUUAAAGAAUUAUCAUUUUCAGCCGUUCAUUUUUGUGUCUACUUGAUGAACAAGUGAACAAUAUCGAAAAAACAUGAAAUUUGAUUUCUAGAUACUUCAAGUGAUAUAGAUCAUGUUCAACGGUGCCGAUCGUCGAUUUAAAGGCUCCAUCAUUGAAAACAAAUAGGUGGCAACGGAGCCCAUUUGCUACCGAUAGCUUCCAGCUCAACUCUCUCUCUCUCUCUAUAUAUAUAUAGUAGGGCUACUAUACUCUUAUGAGUAUAGAGCCACUCUUAUGAGUAUAGAGCCUUUCAUACUCAUAAGUUGUUUUCGAUGAUGGAACUUUCAAAUCGACGAUCCACUCUGUUAAAUAUGAUUUAAAAUAUUUAAAACUUCCAAAAAAUAAUUUUCGUAAUUUUUCAAAAUCAUAAUAAAGCCUAUCAAGCAGGCAUAAAAUGAACCGUCAAAAUUGAACGACGUUUUAAAAAUGGAUGAUCGGAUCCUUCAAUUUAAGAUCGGGGUUAUUGAUCAUUAUCUAGAUAGUGAAUAGAAUUUUCUAUCAAAAAUUCAACCUAUUCCAAUUCAUUUACACACACACACACACACACACACACACACACACACACAUAUAUAUAUAUAUAUAUAUAUAUAUAUAUAGAAUUUAGUUAGAAUACUCUCAAAAGCACCAACCUUGGUGCUUUUGAGUUUCUAGCCUUUGGAUCUACUCCUUAAUUAUUAAUAACCUCUGGAUCAAACACUAUUCCACCUACCACCACCUACCACCAUCAUCUCAACCCUACAUUUCUCCAUCCAAUGGCUAAAAACUCAAAAGCACCAACCCCUUGGUGCUUUUGAGAGUAUUCUAGCUCAACUCUCUCCCUCUCUCUCUCUCUCUCUAUAUAUAUAUAUAUAGGCUAGGGCUACUAUACUCUUAUGAGUAUAGAGUCCUUCGUACUCAUAAGUUGUUUUCGAUGAGAGAACUUCCGAAUCGACGAUCCACUCCAUUAAAUAUGAUCUAGAGUAUUUGAAACUUCUAAAAAAUAAUUUCGUAAUUUUUUGAAAUCAUAAUAAAGUCCAUCAAGCGGGUAUAAAAUAAAUGGUCAAAAUCGAACGACGUCUUGAAAAUGGAUUAUCGGAUCCUUCAAUUUAAAAUCGGAGUUAUUGAUCUUUAUCUAUAUAGUAAAUAGAAUUUUCUAUCAAAAAUUUAACCGAUUCCGAUUCUUUUACACCGUUAAACUAGCAAUAUCUCAUACCGGCCGUUAAAAAUUGUCAAUUUUGUGACCUUUUGAUCGUAAGGUAAAUGAUGUCGAAAAAUUAUAAAAUUUGAUUUCUAAACGUUUUAAAUGCUCUAGAUAACGUUUAACGGUGUGGAUUAUUGAUUCGAAAACUCUAUCAUUGAAAACAACUUAUGAGUACGAGAGCGAUCGUACUCAUAAGAGUAUAGUAACCGAACUCUCUCUCUCUCUCUCUCUCUCUAUAUAUAUAUAUAUAUGUAUAUAUAUAUAUGUAUGUAUGCAUGUAUGUAUAAUUGUUCACACUAUUAGCUUGAUACACAGAAGAUUCAACACAUCAUACAAGGAAAAGAGAAAACCAACCAAUUGAUGGAAGUGAAACAAUUGGGUAACUACUAAUAAGCCACAAGAACUACCCUGAAAGAUAACAAAUCUAGUAUUAGUAACCAAAAGUGCAUAUUUAUUAAAGAAACUGGGAGGCUUAAGAAGUUUAGAUACUUGAGCGAAAACAUCAAAUAUUGCUUAAUGUACGAAGCUCACUUUUCAACAUCACAGCAAAGGCUAUGAAUAUUCCUAUCAUAUACUGCAGGAUGAUACUUUGCACAAAAGAAAAGGUAUACAAUAAGCUCUCGCUGCACAGUAUCAUAAAGGAAGUAUGUAACGCUUUAGCUGACACAGUGUUAUAAAGGAAAUGCGUAAUGCUUUUCCUAAGUUAUACAGAAGAAAAUAAUAAACUUGAAUGAGUGAGACCUAUGGUAUUGUAUGGAAUGCAAGUUUUCCUUCAGAAACUUUUGCAUCUUGGCUAGCCCAAUUGGAUCUCAUGGACAGAAAAGAAAUUCUAUUUGAUAGAAAAAGAAAAAAAAAAAAAAAAGGAAAAAAGGAAAAAAGAAAACCUGAGAUUUGAACAAUUUAUACUAGCUAUUAAGUGAACAAUUUCACACUUAAGCUCAAAUAUGAAGCAGAAGUGGAACACAUAGAUAAUCCCAUCGCUUUGACUACCAGCCUGAGACCAGCUUUCUCUCAUUCUGGGAUACAUGCCACUACAAUCAUUUUUUCUUUAACUGUCUAUUUAAGUCAUGUAGUGGAAAAUGUAUGCAUAGCAUUGAUCAUAUAAUUAAUAUUAUCUAUUACUUUAAUGAAGGUACAUAUGUGGAAACAUACCUACAAUCAAUAAUAUACUGAAAAAAAAAAAGUAUAUUUGACAGUAGAACAAUUUAAUACAAACAAAAACAGAACAAACGCACCAUUGGCGUGAAGGACAGUAGCGAUGCAGUGGCUGCCCCAGAGGUCCACAAAGACCUAGUGCACCGGUUGCUCUUGGGGUAACAGUAGAACAAUUUAAUACAAACAAAUGCAAAACCAAUGCGCCAUUGGCGUGAAGGACAAUGGCGAUGCAAUAGCUACCAAAAGGGUCCAUGAAGACAUAGUGACCCAGUUGCUCACGUGGGAAGCAACUUUUGUAGUCACGAAGGCCAAAGUCGUGGCCGAUAAGCCAACCCCUGUCAGUGCCGAGAAGGAUGACAUCAGUGAUGGUGGACAUGAAAGCGAUGACGCCGCGGCCCUUGGCAGUAUAGCACUGCAAUGGGUCAGCCAAGAAGAGGCAGUCGCCGACCAUGUCCAUGGUCUUGGCCUUAGUCUCAAUGUAAAGGUAUACAAUGGAGUACUCCAAAGGAAGAAGGAACAGAUUAGAGAAGGGGGAGACGACCGGAGAAAAAAGUCUAGAAUGUACUAGUUAUAUUACUGACGUGGUGUCCCCAACCAAUAAGAUUGUCCCCAUUGGGUUCACCGUCCCAUCAUGGUUAAUAGAAAAAGAUUUUUAUUGCACUUUUAUCUCAAAAAGAGAGAAUAUGAUUAGUUUAUUACUGAUGAUAUGGUGCCAGUGGGACACAGUAGACUUCCUCCCACACGAGAGGUGCAUAGAUUGGUUGUACUUAUAGGGUAAGUUGCAUCCUCGAACUAUGGGUAUAGCCGGGCCAGAGCCAAAACACUGGUGUUCUUUUCGGUUGGGCUUAGGAUAUCUAAAAUAGAAUUUUGAGUUAGGUGGUUCUUAAAUAAUUUUGGUUCCAUUCCGUGUGUGUUAUGCGUGCAUGCGUCUGCUAGGUUUGAGCGGAGAAAGUUUUGCAAUAAAAGUCAAAAAAAUCAUUCAUAAAUCGAAUGUAGAAAAAAUUGCUAUAGACAUCACACGGUAAAUCAUUGUACAAAACAACUAGGAUAUUGAAACAAGGUGAAUUAGAAACAAAACAAGACAAAAAAAAUAUAAAAAACAGAAAUAUUUGAAAGCCGAAGAGACUUGAAAUAAGAAGACAUCAGAAGAUAAAAAGAAUUGAAACAAUAACGAAAGGCAAAAGCAGAGAAUUAAAAAAAGAGAAGAAAUUAUGACUAUAAAAAAUAAAAAAAAAAGUAGGUAACUUUAGUUGCUUCAAAACCAUUGCUUAGUUGCUUCAAAACCUUAGUUUCCGCAUAUAUGAUAAAGCAAUCUAAGCAGAAUAAACCCUAGCACAGAAAAUAAAACUAUAAGUUGAAUUAAAGAGAUUUCAACAUCGACGAACACGGGUAGAUUGAUUACCUCUUCCGUCAGAAACCUUAUCUCCAGUGAGAAACUUUCUCAGCCUCCAAUCGAGACAGUUUCCACAAACAGGAUCCGGCAAUCUAGCUGAAGUACGCCCUGCGGUUUCUCGAUUGGAGGAAUUGGGCGAGAUCGGAGGAAACGGAGGGGUUCGCUCUAGGGUUGGUCGAUUGGAGGAAUCGGGCGAUCGAAGGGGAGGGGAGAGGAUUGCUCUAGUGUUUCCGGAUUGAAGGAAUCAAACGAUCGAAGGGGAAGGUUUCUUGAUUGGAAAAAUUCGAGCGAUCUGAGGGCGAAAGGAGAUGGCGGAUUGAGGAGACGAUAGUAUUUCGAACGAGGAAUUUGCGGUUGCCUCGGCUUCCCGCUGGAAGGAACAUAUGGAAGGGCAAAAGUCCCAAGCCCAUCCUAGUGAUUUGACGGGAGGGAGUGGCUAGGCCCAAUAUAAUUUCAAGUUUGCAAGCCCAGACCUAUAAACGAAACAGAACCUCAGGCCUUAGCCAGCGCCCAAUCGUGCUUACGUGAUAUGGGUUUUUUUUGUGGUUCUUGACUUUCUACUUAUCAUUGGCCCACACGUUGGUUGAGAGAAUUAUUGAUUAUCUUUAUUUCAAUUGUAUAUGUGAUAUACUUUAUUUUUUAAAAUUAUAAAUUUCUGAUAUAUUAUUUGUUGGUGAUAAUUAACUAUUUUAUAUUUUAUAUAUAGAAUAAUUUUAUAGUAUAAGCGUGGUACUGAGACCAUCAAAAAAAGUUGGAAAAAAAUCAUAUAAGAAUAUACUUUGCAGUUCUCGAUAGAGAAAAAAAUCACAUAGAAUAUACUUCUACGAUUCUCGAUAGAAAUGUAAAAAAUAUAUCAUAACUAACUAAUUACUAUAUGCAUGAGCAAUAUUUUAUACGUAAAUAAAUAAAAUAGUUUUUUGUCUUACUUUCUCACAACACGACAAUCUCCCCGAAUAUGCAUAUGUAAACAUCAUAUUUAUCUAGCGUACUUUUUCAUCACAUGCAACAUAACUCCUCCAUAAUUUCAAAUGAAGUCUAUAUAAGCUAUAGUGUACAUAUUAGUUUUAAACAUGAUAAAUAAUAAAGUAAUAAAUGAUGGAUAGGGGAGAGAGAUUAAGCGGCCCACUUAAUCUAUUUCAAAAUACACCCUCUCCCUCUCCUAUUCAAGCUGGUUAAUAGAAUGAUAUCAUUUCACCACAAGGCCCAGCCAUUGAAAUUUAAUCUGGCCCAAUAGUAAAAUGUUGGAUUCUGCCCGGCAGCAGAAAUGUCGAGCCAAUAUAUGCACAAGGUCUGUUUAAGAAAGUGGGCCGACCCGCCCAGAAAAAAUUUGGUGGCGGAAUAGUAAUAGAAGACUAACUGUUUAAUUCAGAGUAGAACUAGAUUCGAACAAAUCACGUUUCAUUAAGGAGUAGUUUAACUAUGCAUGUGAAGAUUAAUAUGGAUAUGAUUUAUAGUUUAUAGAGUCAUGCAUUAUAUUUUUGAAAGCUUGUUCAAUUUCUCGUGUCAUUGUCUGUUAUUUCCCAUGAGUAAUAAAGCUUUUAGGGCUUAUUUGAUUCAUCCAUUUUGGGUAUGGAAUGAAAAUCGAUUUAAUCAAAUCCGGUUAAUUUUGUUUGGUUCGCAUGAAUCGGUUUGGGAUUUCUAUUCCGGACUGGAAUGGGAAUGGCCUAUUAUCCUUUAACUUGAUUCCGGUCUUUUAGCCCGGAUUGAGAUUUUAUUCCGAAAGCCCACUAAGUUCUCGAAGUCCAUGUGACCAUCUCACUCUCAUUCUCUCCACUCCUUUCUCAUCAAAAAAAAAAAAAAAAAAAGUAACAUAUCCUCUCUCAAAACUCUAUCCCUAACUCACAUCAAUAAAAGUUUUUAAAAAUAAAUUUGAUAUUUUUUUUGGAAAACUUAUUAGAGAAUAGUAUUAUAUUUUUCAUAAAUUUUAAAUAAUAUAAAUUUAUAUUUGAGAGUAAAAUUAGUAUUAUAGUACCCUAUAAUUUUUUAAAUUUAUACGAACCAAAUAAUGAAAUGUGAAUAACUCGUUCUAAUUCCCAAUCCACAAAUAAACCAAACGUCUUGGGGGAGUAGGUCAUUUUAAUUACCAUUUCAAUUCAUUCUCAUUUUAUUAUCCAUUCAAAUUCCAUCAUUGAACCAAACAAGCCCUUAUUUUUGACACUGUUUUCGAGAGUUUUUAUUUUGUUACUAACGAAAACUCAUGAUUUUAACGAGAAUAGAAAAGACCAAGGAGUUCGGUGAUUCAACAGAAUAUGCUUAGUAAUCGGGUUGCCUUGUAGGAGAUUAGUCCACAGAUUCACUGUGAACGUGCAAUCGAACAAUAAGGAGGCGUUUGGAUUGACGUAUUUGUAGAUUCAACGUAAGUCAAGUGUAGUGGUGUUUGAGUUUUCCUAAAGUGUGAUUAUUUUUUUGUUGUUUGUUUUGACGUAACUCGUACCGUCUGAAAGUUAAAUUUAAUCACUUCUGUUGUUUGUUUUGAUGUAACUUGGUGCUGAUAAAAUUAGUUUUUUGAGUUCCGUUGUUUGUUUUGAUGUAAGUAAGUGGAUCUCAUUAUCUCCUAAAUAUAGUAGUAAAUUUACCACUAUAAAAUUUAAUCUAUUAUAUAAUUAAUUUUUUUAUUAUUAUUUAAAGAUAAUUCUAAUUUAUUAUAAAUAAGGUAAUUCUAACCCAUUAUAAAGGAAGUAGAGUUUAGGUUUUACUGUUUAAUAAAUUUUUUAGAGGAGGUUGAGUGUAGUGAAAAUCAAGUUCGGCACUUUAGAGGAGGAAGUCGAGAGUAAGUGAAGUGGAGCUCUAACGUAACUUGAGUUACAUUACAUUUUUCACUUACAUCAAAACAAAUAACGGAAGUGAUGGAACUUGAGUUCCAUCACUCCACUUACACCAAAAUAAACGGGCCCUAAGUGUUCCAGCUUUUCUUCAUUCUUGCAACAAAGAGCGCAUAUCACCCUAAACCCUAAAUCCUAAACCCUAAACACGAUUACUAAGGGGAUAGUGAGCAACGAAGGUCAUAGUGAGCAACAAAGAGCUCAUAUCGAAGCGCAUAUCGAAGGUCCACAGAUUCACCAAAUUUAUUAUAGUGAGGCAGGAUCCCAUUUCGUAAUUUAGCUUUUAUAAUUUUAAUGGGCCGGCCUGGCCAUUGGGCGCCUAUAAAGUAAAACAACUGUUUUGCAAGAAGAAACAUUUCAAUUCGACAGAUACCAUAUCAUGACAUGGACCGGGCCCUUUCUCAGCCAGAGAUUUUAUUUCAUUAUUGGACGCAACAUCAGUACGAAGGUUGGAGAAAGUAAGGAGACUAAAAUGGCAUGAGCUGGGCCUGUUUUUCAGCGCAGGAAGUCUUAACCCAUUCACCGGUAACUAGAGGGUUACGCCACCGAAAUAAAAUUCUUGAUAGUUUCAGCCAGUUCUGAUAAAACAACACUAUAUAGUUAUGCGAAUAAGACCUAAUAAGAAUACAAUGGAAUGCACUAAGCCCUUUCUCGGCCUGUGAAUCUACCAUAUAUAGGCCUAUAGGCCUCCAGUCAGAAAUAUCUAGUCCUGGUCAAACUAGUUUGGGCGCAAUCACAUUGCUAUCAUUAAACACUUUUAGUGGUUUAUCCCUAGAAGAUAUAGAAAUAAGAAAUAGUUCUGUAUAAUCCUCUCCUUAGAUUCAAUUCUAUCCCUAAAUAUAUUAGAUAUUUUAUCUGAUGCAAAUACUCAUUUUUCCAAAUGCAUUGAGAGGGUUUAUAACUUUUAGAGUUUUAGAGCUCUAGCCUAACCCGUCCUCUCUUCCCCAUAAACUAUUUUAAAUAAUAAUUAUUAAAAUAUUAAAAUGCUAAAAAUAUAAUAAGUCAUGUCAAAACAUUGUCAGUUGAAUCUCUGUUUAUCAUUUUUAUUUAAACAAUUACCAAUAUAUUUUAUUUUUUAAUUUUGUAUAAAACAUAGAACAUAUAACUAUAGAUUGAGCACCGUCGUGUUCAACAAUUUGAAUAGAGCGAUUAACAUGCGCUACUUUAAUUUUGCGCACAUUUUCUUUUCUUGCUUCAAAGUUGGACGGAGACCUGCCAAGUAGAAGGCCGCCCUUUGCUAUAUGGUCCGGCAUUGCCGGUGCCUACUGCCUACUAUUUGUAACACUGUUGCAACACUCUAUGUGGAGCCGUCAGUCUAUUUGGGCCCAGCAUGCCCUUUGGUGUCCGAAGUUAUACAAUAUAAUAAUGGGCUCGAUUACAGAUGGGCCAUUUCUUGAAAUUGCAAUUUAAUCUUAAUGUUGGUUGUUAUGUUUAUAUUUUGUAAGUCUACUAUCAGUUUUUGAUUCUUCUCUGGGCCUAUGGUUCUCAGGUCAAAACGAACCCAAUCGUGGUUGAGAUAACUGGGGCUCAAUUUUGGAUGAUCACAAGGGCUGUCCCGUCGAAAGUUCUCUCGGCCCAAGCCCUAAUCCACCUGGACUAGCUUCAGGCGCUCACAUUGAUUCCCGCCCGAACUCCUUUUUCCCAAAUUUCUUUUCCCUCCAUCGAUCUCUUGGGAUUUCAAAUUUUGUAGGAUUUUUUGAUCUUAUUUUUGAAAUAGAAAGAAAGAAAGAGCGAGAUCACCUUCUUCCACUUCGCUACUAUCGAUCGAUCCAUCGAGUCCCACCUCAAGAAAUGCUAGGGAGCCCAACGAGAGCGAGCCAUCACCUUCUUCCACUUUGCCGCCAUCGAUCGAUCCAUCGAGCCCCACCUCAAGAAAUGCUAGGGAGCCCGAUCGGAGGGUUCGCUAAGCGUUGAGGGGGAGGACUCCAUGAAAAGGCCGAGUCCACUUUCAAUUUUCUCACCAUCAUCGCUGGCGAUAUUGUGCAGUUCGCCGAUGCGAUCGCCGCCAACAUUUCUCCAGGUGACUUACCUUUCUUUAUAUGAUUUCGACCAUUUCUUGGCUUAUGUUUAUAUUUGGAUCUAUAUAAUGUCUGUAUACUAUUUGAGCUGAUUAUGGGAAGAGAGAUAGCCUGCGAGAUCAAAGUACAUCAUAGAGUAAACCAGAUCUCUUACACUAUCAUAGAGCAGCAAGCGAAUUAGCAUGUAACUUCUCAUAUUUAACCAAAUGAACAGCGUAUAUGAAGUUAGAAAACCAGAUCUCUUACCCUAUCAUAGAGCAGCAAGCGAAUUACUUGAACAAUCCAAGAGUAUCUGACUAAGAGUAUCUCACUACGAGUACUAGGGUUUGGGUUUUAGGGUUUUAAGGUUAGGGGUUAGGGUUUAUUUCUUUGUGUGAUUACUUGAACAAUCUAAGAGUAUCUGACUACGAAAGAAAAUAAGAAAUCUUAAUUCAUCGAUUAAUAGGUGUUGUGUGUUAUGAUUGCGUUAUUGACUGUUUGUCAUUGAAACAGAAGCUAUAUUGAAUUUGUAAUAUAAUUUGAUUAAAAUAAAAUUCUGUACAAUACAAGUUGAUUGUGACAUUUUCAUUGCUUGUUACCAUAAUUUGAAUAUUGAUAAACUAUAGAAGUAAAAUUUUGAAAGAGAAUUUGUGGAUCUCCUUUAUAGUUCCUAAUUCUCUUUCCUCUUCUCUUCUCUCAAAUAGAGGGUUGGUCCAGGUUUUCAGUUUCUCUCUCAUAUCUAGUUCUGUCUAUUAAGCUUUAGGUUUCUGGCUUUGGCUCAAUUCCAAAACAAAAUUUGAACAUUGAGAAAACGUAACAAAAACAUAAUUUGUAAAGAGAUUUUGCGGGUAUUGUAGCUAAUUAAUUUUUGUCCCGUUCCUCCCAAAUGGAGGUCAUAGAUUGGUCUACGAUUUAUAUAUUCUCAACCCUCUUCUCUAAUUCUGCAACUUGGUUGUGUGGUUUAGGGUCUAGAGACUAGAGUAGGAAAGUCGAAGUUGCAAUAGAAGUAGCACAAUUUUACAGCAGUAGCAACUGUUGAGGGAGCAGCUGGAUAGGUCUGUGGUUUUAGGGGUUGCGUUCAGGGUGUUUUUCAGGGUUUAGGGCUUAAGGAAAAAGCGCAGAUUUGGAAUUAGAGACUAGGAAGUGGUAAUCUCUAAAUUAAAAAGAUUUGCACGUAGUAUUGUUUGAUUACGUGAUUGAGUGUAUGCCAUUAAAAAAUUAACUAAAUGUUAUUAGCCCUUUUAAGUAAUAUCCAUUCUGCCUCCAUAAAAAAUUAAAAUUUCACAUUUGAGGCUUUAAUUGUUUUUUUGUGCAUGAAAGCAAAAUUGUUAUUUCUUACACAACACAAUUUGUUUUUGUGAAACAUGUAUAGCUUGAAAUCAAAAGUUAAUUUGAAAUAGAAUAGAAACAAAAUUUUGCUAGUAGACUUUUGGAUCUGUUUAGUAGCUUCCUAGUUCCUUUCCCUCUCAUCUCAGUAGCGAUUAUAGAUUGGUCUAUGCUUACAGAUUCUUUGCCUCUUCUCUAAUUUUCUUGAGUAGAUUAUGGGGUUACACUGGCUUACGAGGUUAUGGUGAAAAAAAUUCUCUUAGUUUUUUGAAUUGAGUUGACUGCUAAAUAUCAAGAAUGGAUAAUUUUUUGCCCCAGCAUUGUUUGCAUUGGGUACGAAAAAAAAUGACUACACUGUUUGUUCUGGAUUAAGCUAAAUAUCAAUAACAGGUAACUUGAGGCCCCUGCUAUAUCCGCAUAGGAUACGAAAAAAUGGCUACAUUUGUGUAAAACCUCAUGGAGUUAUGUGGUAUAUCUUUAGCUGUUUCUUUUCUUUAAAAUAAAAGCAAUAAUUUUAGAUCUGGCUUGGAUGCAUUAUAGAUACGUCUUGGAUAUUGAAUGUAGAAGAUUAUGAUAUUUCUUAAUGAUAAAAUGCCCUAAUGGAAGAGCUGAAGAUAAAAUGCUUUUUUUUAAACAAUUGAUUAUGCGAUAUGUAUGACUAGUGAUUGCUGUAGAGCUAUGGUUUUUUGUUCUGUAUUUUCCUAUGUCAAGAUAUCAUUAUAACUUUUAAACAAAUGAAAAAUAAAAAAACACAUGCAUCAUUAUAGGCCACGGGUAGUAUGAGUGAUAAACUAUUCUUAUUUUAAGAUAUCAUAUCAUUCCAUAUGUUGAAGGUAGAAAAUAUUGCAAAUCCUAAUAGUAGUAGCUAAGCAAUAGAAAAAGGUUGGUACUUUUUCAGUUAUUAGUAUUGUUUUCACAUUGAUGUUGUAAAAUGCAAACUUACAAGUUUUUCCUUUGACUUUUGCAGGGUUCAAGAUCUGAAACUUCAUAAGGUUCCAGUAAGUCUAGCACUUUUUUUUUUUGGUAAUGUCAAUCAGCAUUUGAAGGUGCUGCACAAUUGCAAAAAUCCAAACACUUUUGACAUUUGCAAAGCAUAAUUUUAAAAGACUAUUAAUGACUGGACGCUAUCCUUUUUUGAGUUAUUGUUCUGUCUCGCAAAUUGAUGCAAUUAAUGUAUGUAGAUGUAAGAUGUAAUUUUCUGAUAGCUAUAAAAAAAAGGAACCAUAAGGGGAUUUAUAUUAAUAAUAAUGAUGGAAAGAAAUGGAAGGAUUAUAUUAUUUCUGAAGAACGCGUGAAAACAAGCAAAUUCUACAGUCGCUGUUAUUUGGAUUGCAUUCUGGUAUAGGAAUAGAAUAAACCAGAAAAAAGGGUUUAUUGUUUGCUUGCGGAACAUCCUAGUUCAGACAGAUGUAGUAAUUGCAGGAAUGCAACAUAUGCCGAUGAAUAAUUCAAAGAGGGUUUUUUGAGAAAUUAUGCUGAAUACUGAUUUAUUCAUUUAUCAAGUAGGAAAAUAAAUCCUAUGUCCAUAUAUAUAUGUAUUUCAUGCAGUAAGUUGUCAGUUCCAAAUGAAGAAAUUAGAGCAAUAAUUGAAGAAUGCAGAAGUUGCUCAGAGGAGGAAAGGGAAAGAGAGAAAAAAGGAAAAUAGAAAAAAAGGGUAGAAAACUAGAGAAGAAUAUUGAACGUUAGAGAAGAUAGAUUCUAUUAUACAUGUAGGAAUAUUUUGAUGCCUGAAUGUCUCGUUUAGUUGAGGAGCAACGAAAGAUGACUAUUAGUGAGAAAGAAGGAUCUAGUAAUCAAACUCGUUAAGGAUAUGGUAAAUCACCUCAUAGGUGGAAUCUACUAACAAAACGAGGAGAAUAAGUAAGACUUGAUAGCUAACCAGCACACUUGUAUUGGCAGUAGGAAGAGCCAAUAGGAGACAAGUUAUUAUGCUAGCAUGUUGCAACUUUGAUUUUGACCCAAAAUGUGGGGAAUUUAUAUUUAACUGUUGUAUGCUGGUAUAAAGAAUCCAGCUGGGAAAGAAAACAGGGCUAUAAGUUUGAUGGUCUCAUCUGCGCAUUGUUUUGAGAAGAAUUGACUUGGGUACUGGUAAAGAAAAUAAGGGCCUAGUGGAAUAACUUUUGUAACCUGCUAGUUUUAGCCAUCGAUUCCCCAUUAUUGUGUAAUUGAGGUAGUACGCCUCAAGAU